rnacentral:lncRNA from 1 species
GCAAACGUUUGUGAUUGUAUUCGGUGUUGACAAAGGUUAUGUGAAAGCCUCUAAGGUGAAGUAGUUUUCCUAUUUUCAACAAUGCAUUGAUAUGGCCUUGAGCUGGAAAUGGAGUCAACACUGCAUGUGGUUUUUUUUCUGCAAAGUUACUCAUCUUUGAUAUUCUUUUAUGCAAUGUUAAAGUAUGAGUCUUUCCUUUAAUAAAGAGAAAAGGCCAAUAUAUAUCGUUAUAUAACUUGUUUGCAAAUUAUAUAGCAAUUAAUUGAGAUAAAUAUUCGGAAACAGAUGUGAUGACUUUGAAACCGAUGCAUAAGAUAAAUAUUUUUUGCAAGUUACUCAAGUGAUUGUUAAUGAAUUUGUAAUGUCAGUUUUCCUUGUUAAUGGAGUAAAUACAAAGGUGUUUCUUCCAAGGUUGAAUGGAAUUAAUGUCUAACAAUAAAGCUAUAAUCAUUGCGAACAAUAUCUCACCUUUCAAUUAAUAUUUCAAAUCAAAUAGUAAAAAUUGUAUAAAUUGGACAGAUUUCAUGAACGCAAUAUAAUCUUUUAAAUCAAUUUUAAUAAAUAACAACCAUUUUAAAUCUAAAUCAUUAUCAUGUUUUCUAUAUCAAAUCAACUCCUAAGACAUUUUUUUUCGAAUAAAGAAGGCCAACCAACUUACCAAAAUUGGCAUAUGGUGGAAAAUCGAACAUGAAAGAAAGGUCUCAACCCAACACUAGUAACAAAGAAGAGUGAAUCAAUAAUAAUUGUUUUUUGAAAAAAUCAAUUGUAGUUAUGAAUCAAGGGGUGAAUGGAUGGAGAAGAUGGUUUAAUGUUGUAGAUGGUGGUUGCUAAUUGUUUUUUUUUUUGUUGACAAAGUGGUUGCUAAUAGUUGUUUUAAGAUUUCGAAAAAACUUUGCUGAAAAAAAAGAUAUCGAAAAAACUGUUUUUUGGAAAAAAUUUUCGGUCUCCGAAGAUAUUAUUAGAUUGAUGAGCACCAGUGGGACUCAAUCACUACAACAUAGUAGAAUGAAAACAUAAUAAAAUGGAAAUAUCAUUUUUAGAAGUAAUCUAGAUGAGAAAUACUAGCAACAUACAUUUUAACAUACACUUUUCAACACUCUCUUUGAUUGGUUAAAAUUAAUACGGGUCCCACCAAAUCAUGUGGGACCCAUAUAAAUUUGGUGUGACCUACGUGAGUUUUAACGGAUCAAAGAGAGCGUGUUGAAAAGUGCGUGUUAAAAUGUGUGUUGCUAGUAUUUCUCCUAAAUACAAUCACAAACGUUUGCUCAAAUCAAGAGGUCUAGCUAGAUGGUGAUGGUGAUAUUAAUCCAGACUUGCAAUCUCGUCGUGAAUCGAUUAGAAAUAAAUUCAUUUACACUUUUCGCAAUCUGGUCUUGUGCCUCCUGUUACUUGCUUAGUUUCAUGUCAUUUACCAUACAAGUUGUUGAAGAACUUGCACUUCCAACGGUUCUCCUUGUCCUAUUUAGUGUAUGUUCUUUCUUGUCUGUUUUACAUUUUCGUACAUUGAUUGAGAAAGGUUUCAUACCACUGAAAGGUAGCAACUUAUGUUCUUUUCUCUCUUCCUAAGAGAAGUGUGUGUUUGUGUCAGUCAAGGUUUUGAGAAAAGGUUCACAACCGCAAUCUGUACAGAACAUAUAUGUUAUGAUGUCUUUGAGAUCGCAACAUAUAGCAGCAUUUGGUUGCAAUCUCAAUAUGAUGUCUUCGCUGGCGCGCUUUUUUUCAAGCCAUUAACUUUUGUAAUUAUGAUAUGCAAAUAAGAGUUAUCUAAGCAAAUGUAUAUUUGGACACUGAAGUAGACUGGGUUCCAGAUUUGAAAAACUUUAGACAGAAUUUUUCGUUGAAGUAGCAUAUACAUUUCAUCUCUUCUAAUGUUUUCAAUACUUUUAAUGAACUAGAGAGUGAUGUUAUGAAUAUGCUCUUGAUACUAUGUUUCCUUCUCUAUAUAUAUACACCAAUGUAACAUUGAUGCUUCCUUUUCGUCUCAUAACAACUAGUUGAAUUUGGAAUUUAUAUUAGAGAUAAAUAUGUCGAUUUUAUUCUUCCUAAAACAGAAUGGUUCACACCAAUUUGUGCAGUUCACAUUGGCAAAGCUCUUGGUUUUGUUUCAGUGCUCAAGUGGAUUAAUGAGCUAAAUUUGGAACCGGUGGAGUUUGAACGAUAUUCAAAGAAAGUUGUUAAUAUCUUCUUCUCCUCCAAGAAAGUUGUUACUGAGUUAGGUGAUAUUAUCAAAAAUCGUUAUUUUCAUCUUUUUAUAGAAGUUUUAGUGUUGAGUUGGUUAGAAGACAAGCAAAUAAGAUUUCUCAUGUAUAUUCUUGCAAAGGCGGUCACAUCUCUAACUCGUUUCUAAAUUAUGGUUGAUAUACAUAUACCCGGUUGUAUUGAACACAUUAUAAUCAAUCAAUCAAUUAAUGUGACGAGAAAAGGGUUUCAUAUUGAUUAUUAACAAUGAUACAAGGCAUAUUUAUAUCCAAAUACUAGCUAUUUGUUAAAGGCCAGUUUACUUGCUCUACAAGUAAGUCUGCUUAAUUAUCUGCUCUCCUUUUGUUUUCACACUAUAAAAGAUUGUUAGUCCAGUAUUUAUGAAGCCACAUUCAAAGAUUGUCCAUAUAAAAGUAAUAUAUCAGCUAUAUUUUCAUACAUUGGCUUCUUUAUUAGUUUUCACAAACAAGGGGAAAUAAAUGGCAAGUUGAAUUCUAUGGUUUAUACAUGGAGGUGAAAUGAAAGAAUAUGAGAAGAGGAUAUGAUAUAUCCAUAUAAUUUUAUUCCUUGGAUGUUUUUAAAUUUGUUGCAAGUUCUUUGAAGGUAAAAACCUCUUGGUCAACUUGUGAUGAUGAAAGCUUAGGAGGUUGAUUGAUGUCAUGCUUGAGGAUAUUGCAUUGCAAAAACUAGUGGGACUACAGAUGGGCACUAGUGAGAAAAUGAAAACAUAAUAAAAAGGAACAGAGCCUAUAUAUUUUAUGCCUCCAUAUUGAAGGUUUAUUACACAUUUUCCUUCUUUCCUAUACAUGCUUUAUUGGAUGAAAACUUGUAAUCAGUUUAGUAUGUAAUUGAAAUCGUGUUGCAUAGUGCAUUCUAUUAUGAAAUCAAAUUUCAAAUGAGCAUGAGAACAUCUUUCACAAUUUUACUCUAGUCAGUUUUGCGAUCCUUUUUACAGAUUCUCAAAAGUUAUUAUGCGACAUUUUUUUAAUGUUAUAGACAAUAUUAAAAGUGUUGCAAAAAUAUAAAUAUGCAACAUUUUUUUAAUGUUACUAAUAAUUCUAUAGAUUGUUACUAAAACUAUUUAAUAACACGGACUUUACCUAACAAUUAUUCAAAUAUUACUAAAUUUAAUUAGUACCAUUUUCCUUGAUUUAGUUGCAUUUUUCAACUGAUACUAGAUCUUAAUUAUGUUGUAGUGAUGUGGACCCAUAUAAACUUGGUGUGACCUAUGUGAGUUUUAACCGAUAGUUGAAAAGUGUAUGUUAAAAUGUGUGUAGCUAGCAUUCCUCUUGUAUUUAUACAUUUAGUGUUAGCAAAAGUUAUGUGAAAGCCUCUAAGCUGAUAUUUUUCUCUGCAACAUGUGGUUUUCUCUCUUCAAAAUUACUCAUCUUUGAAUUUUUCUUACGCACCGGAUAAAACAGAUUACGUAAUGUUACAUAUUACUCUAUAUAUUAUAUUUUUAUGAGGAGAGAUAUAUUGACUCCAAGAGUAACUCUAAAGAGUUAUUUAAAAUCUCCACCUUCAUUUUAUCUUAAUCUAAUGAACUACAUUUAAGUCUUAUUAAUAAUCAUGUGGCUUCAUCAUUUUUUUUUUGUCGUUGAUAGAAAUGAGGGCCUAAGCCCAGAAACAAAGAAAAACUACAAAGAAAUUAAUCGAGGGGUAGAAAUCCCCAUAAUACUGGUUAAUAAUAAAUGUGUAAUUUGAGUUGGACAUGUCUCAUAUAUCUUCAGAUUAUAAUCCAAAGAGCAAGUAAUUGGCUAAAUCAUCUCAAUAUGAAUAAGAAACAUCAACAUUCUAAUCCAUCUCUAAUAGCAAAUUCUUUUAUUAACCAAAGCUCUACCCAAACGACUAUCUGUCAUACCUUCCUUUAUAGUCUUCUUCACACUAAUAGAAUCCACAUUCAAUUCAACUGCUCUAGAUCCCAUCCUUCUUGCAUAUAUCGAACCUUGCAACACUCCCCAAAGCUCUUCCACAAACGCACUACAAUCGCCAAUGAAUUUAACAAAAUAGGGCCGUCUUAACAAAUUCAUAGGCCCGGUUUUAAUUUUAUAAGGGAUGCAAAAAAAAAAAUUCUGGACCCCAAAAAAAAAAAAGUUAUUUUAAAAAAAAAAUAUUAGAAAUCAUACUUUGAUGAAUCUUGAACACAUGAUCUCACACUCAACAAAAAGUGGCCAUGCCUCUAAAGCAAACGGUACAAAUUGAAUAAACUUGCUUUUAAUAGAUAUAUAACCAUUAUUUUCGUGUCUUACAUAUAAAAAAAAAAAAUUUUGGACCCCAAAAAAUUGGAGGCCCGGUGUCGUCGCCCAACCUCGACGGGCUAUGGGCCGGCCCUGUAACAAAACCAUCAAUCCAUUCUCCACCACUCCCUCUCAUCAUUCUAACAAUAUUUAGGUUUCCUUUUUCACACUCAAUGAACAUUUAUGUUUCAUUAACACAAUUUUUUUAGUCAAUGUUUUACAUUAACACAAUUCUUAUGCUUCAAAAAAUUGUUUUCUAUUAUAAAAAUAUAUACUUGUAAACAAUUUAUUUAUUAUAAUUUUUUUUUUUUAAGAAAUUUAUUUAUUAUAGUUUAUUUGAUAUAAAUAACUAACGAAUUUAAGAACUUAAAUUUUAAAUGAAUUAUAAUAAAUAAACUGUUUAGUUAAUCAUGGUUUAACGUACAUUUGAAAUUUAUUCUAAAACAUAACACAAUUAUUUUGGUAUUAUUUUAAGAACGUUAAUCAUAAUCCAACAUUUGAAUUUAUUCUAAAAAAACAUCUCAUUAAGCAUAAGACUAUUUUUUAUUUUUUUCGAUGCAUUCUAUAUAUUUUUUUCAUGGAAAGAUUGUAAGGCCAGAAUCUCAAAUGGGUAAAAUGUAAUUCAAUGGAAGUGGGUCCACUCCUCAACCAAAAAUCAGCAAAUAUUUUAUCAUCAAACCAUGCACGCUAUACACGCUUUACACGCUUCUUUUCAUUCAUGUCAGCUUGUGUUUGGUCUUCAAUUAAAUCAGUAAAUAAUUGGAGGAUUCGUAAAUAUAAUUUUGUAGGUUUAUUUAUUGGUUUUUUUUUAAAUUUCCUAUGAAGAAUGGUGGGUAAUUUACCCACCAACUAAUGAAAAUGAGCAAUUUAUUUGUGGGGUCAAGAUAGUUCAUGAAUAUGUACUCAUGUGGCUAAUGUGUAUUGGUUGGGGUAAAUUACCCAUCAUUCUUUCAUGGGUAGCCUAGUUGCCACCGCAUUUUGUAGGUUAAUUUAUGGGAGCUUCUAUGGUGCAGUUAAAAAAAUGACUUUUUUAAAAAAGUCAUUUUGUUUAACCAAUAGCAUAGUUGUUCAUGCCAUGUCAGCUAGUGUCUUUGUGAUGGACCACUGUAACACUAAAUUUUACUUUAUUACAAAUCAGUCCUCAUACAAAACAUUAAUUGAUUUAUUAACUUAUUUUAUUUAAAAUUUCUAAAAAAAUAAAAUCAUUAUUUGUUCUUCAUCUUUUCAAUUUGUUCAACCUUUCUUCACGUUAUGCAUAUUAUUCAUUUUUCUUCAUCUUCUUCCCAAAAUGGAAGACAUGACCAUCACUGACAAAAAUCAUUCUUAACCCAAUUCAAAAUCGAAAUCGAAAUUGAAAUCCAUUCAAAAUCUUGAGUUCCUCAUCUCAAAAUCGAAAUCCAUUUGAAAUCCAAUUCUUCCAUUCAAAAUCAAAAUCAUGUUCUUCCAUGCGGUUUGAAAUCGAAAUGCAAUUCCGCUUUGAACCGGUUCGUAUCAUUCAAAAACUAAGUGAGAUUGUUCUAUCGCAUAAUCUUGUAUCUAAUCAUGUUCGCUCGAAAUCAUGUUCUUCUGCUUGCUUUGAACCGGUUCAUAAUCCUGCAUCUAAUCCUUCCCCAAUUUCAUUUAUUUUUUCAAUCUCACUUAGUUUUUUCAUUGAUUAAUAAUUUAUUUGUUUAUAUUUAAUUCAAGGUUGAUUGGUAAAAAAUAAUAAUAAUAAUAAAAUGUUUAAUUUUGAUUUAAUCAAGAACACAAUUGCAACAAGUAAAAAUAUAGUGGUACACCAUAUGAGCAAAUGUACAAUGCGCACUAAAAUUUGAUGUGACAUGCAUUAAAUACACAGAUGUAUUAUGAUCGGUCAUUCUAAUGACUUCACCAAAAAAGUCAUUUUAACGACUUCACCGUAGAAUUUCCCUUAAUUUAUAUAUAUAUAUAUGCCUUUUUUUUUUUUUUUUUUUUUUUUUUUUUUUUUCUAUUAAAGCAAAGACGUGUACUAACUUUAACAUUGGAUAAGAAAAAUAUCAAAGAUGAGUAACUUUGAAGAGAGAAAGCCACAUGCAGUGUUAACACCAUUUCCAGUUCAAGGCCAUAUCAAUGCAUUGUUGAAACUAGGAAAACUACUUCACCUUAGAGGAUUUCACAUAACCUUUGUCAACACUGAAUACAAUCACAAACGCUUGCUCAAAUCAAGAGGUCCAAAUGCCUUUGAUGGUUUAACUGAUUUUAGCUUUGAGACUAUUCCAGAUGGUUUAACUCCAACAGAUGGUGAUGGCGAUGUUAGUCAAGAUUUACGCGCUCUUUGUCUAUCAAUCAUGAACAAUUUUCACCAAUUCUUUGGUGUAUUUCUUGCUAAACUUAAUGACUCUGCUACUGCUGGUCUUAUCCCUCCAGUUACUUGCUUAGUUUCUGAUUGCAAUAUGGCAUUUACAGUAGAUGCUGCUGAAGAACAUGCACUCCCAAUUGUUCUCUUUUCCCCAUGUAGUGCAUCUUACUUCUACUCUACUUUUCACAUUACUAAAUUGUUUCAGAAUGGUGUGCUACCACUCAAAGGUAAUCAUUAUGUUCCCUUUUUCAUCCUAAGGGAGGUAUGUUGUGUGUGUACAUGUAUGUCUGCAUCAAGGUUUUUCACAAAAAGGAUUGUGAGCGCAAUAUGGGCCGAACACAACCGUUUUGAUGUCUUGCUAAUUGCAUUAAAUUUGAGGUUUCAUCAACCGCACGAUUAUAAGCAAUGACAGUAUGAUGAAACUACAAACCACAAUCAUUAUUGCAAAGGCGAUUUUAAACCUUGAUAUAUAUUUUAUAUAUAUAACUUCAAGCUAUUGACUUUUGAAAUUGUGAUAUGCAGAUGAGAGUAAUCUAACAGAUGGAAAUUUGGACACUAAAGUUGAAUGGAUUCCAGGUUUGAAAAGCAUUAGUUUGAAGGAUUUUCCUGAUAUAAUAAGGAUAAAAGAUCCUGAUGUGAUAAAAUAUAAAAUUGAAGAGACAGAUAAAUGUCAAAGAGGCUCAACCAUUAUUUUCAAUACUUCUAAUGAACUUGAGAGUGAUGCUAUCAAUGCUCUUAGUUCUAUAUUCCCUUCUGUAUACACAAUUGGCCCAUUUUCUUCUUUUUUAGAUCAAAUUCCAGAAAAUCACUUGAAAUCUUUAGACUCUAAUCUUUGGAAAGAAGAUACUAAAUGUCUUGAAUGGCUUGAAUCAAAAGAACCAGGAUCUGUUGUUUAUGUAAAUUUUGGCAGCAUCACUGUUAUGUCUCGAGAGAAGCUAUUAGAGUUUGCAUGGGGUUUGGCCAACAGCAAGAAACCCUUUUUGUGGAUCAUUAGGCCUGAUCUUGUUAUUGGUGGCUCACAGGUGUUGUCAUCUGAUUUUUUGAAAGAAAUUUCAGAUAGAGGACUAAUAGCAAGUUGGUGUCCACAAGAGAAGGUAUUGAAUCACCCUUCAAUUGGUGGAUUCUUGACUCAUUGUGGAUGGAACUCAAUCAUGGAGAGUAUAUGUGCUGGAGUGCCAAUGUUGUGUUGGCCAUUUUUUGCUGAUCAACCACUUAGCAGUAGAAUUAUUUGCGAAGAAUGGGAGAUUGGGAUGAAAAUUGAUACCAAUGUAAAGAGAGAAGAGGUAGAGAAACUGAUCAAUGAAUUGAUGGUGGGAGAGAAAGGAAAGAAGAUGAGGCAAAAGGCGACGGAGUUGAAGAAGAAGGCAGCGGAGGACACGAGACUCGGUGGUAGUUCAUACAUGAACUUGGACAAAGUGAUUAAGGAUGUCAUGCUUAAAAACUAUUAGAUUUAUAUGAUCUUUUCUUGUUGAUUUUAUUUCUUUUGCGAGCACAAACAAUGCAUGAUUUAGAUUUCUAAUUAUAUCUAAAUUGUAAGCAAUCACAUACCUUGUAUUUUUUUACAAUGCAUUGUUUCAAAAGGGUUCAACGCUAAGUGAAGAUCUUUUGUUUUAUGUAAUAACAUCAUGGGAAGCUUUAUAAAUCCACAGGUUCCAAAUUUAGCUCAUAAAUCCACUUGAGCGCCGAAAGAAAACCAAGAGCUUCGCCAAUAUGAAUUGGACAAAUUGGUGUGAAUAUUCUGUUUUAGCAAGAAUAAAUGCGCCAUAUUUAUCUCUAAUACAAAUUCCAAAUACAACCUUGAUUUUAUGAGAAGAAAAGGAAGCGUUAAUGUUAGAUUUGACUUGAACCGCUGCACGUUUUCUCCAUUUAUCGUCAUCUUUAAACCUGAUCCAAACCUGUAUGGGGCUGAAUAUUACGGGUAGCUUGCAAAUGGUUUAUCAGGCGCUUCAGCUCAAGUAAUCACAAAGUUUUGUGCAACGAAAGUGUUUUUCCAAAUCUUAUGAUUUUCUUACUUCCAAAUGUGUGACAUUAUAGCAGAAAAAUAUGACGGUUCUUUCUCCGAAAACUGGUGUAGGAGUUGGAGAACGACAUCUGCAGCAGCUGAACCGUGGGCUGCUGAUCUAGCAGAAACAGUAGCAGAAAAACUACUUUUCUGCCAGACGCUGUCGCUGUCGGAUAGGUAAAGAAUACGUGCAAGUUGUCUUCCAAUGCAUCGACACAAAUAGCACAAUUGGUUGGGAAAUUAAUCGUGUUGGGCAGCUUUGUCUACACACCGGCCACAGAAAUUUAUAACCUUCAGUGCAGUUUUUAUUUUCCAAAUCAAAUGCCACCGCUCCCCCAAAUCUUAAAGGGGAUGUAUCAAUUAAUUCUUGCACACAAAGGUGAUAAGCCUUGUUCACCAAAUAUUCCCAUUAUUCUCCACUCGCCAAAACCGCUUAUCUUCGGUAACUGAGGAUGAAGUGGAGUAUUUAGAAUUCUGGUCACAUCAUCCGGACUAAAGACAGUAGAGAUUGGGGGAACAUAUAUCAUAAACUAGAAGAUUCAAUCAUAACAUACAAAGUAUAUAGGGCGACUAAUCAAGCCUUAGGAAAAUUAUAAAAAGCUUCAAAUGGUAUUUAUAACUUUAUGAAAUGAAUAUUGAAACAAUGCAUACUGAAAAAUACAAGAUCUGUGAUAAAUUACCAUUUAGACACAAAUAAACUUUUCAAAAGAAUGAAUUGUUUUUUAGGCCUUCUGAUCAUCACAUAGUUCAGAUCAGAUUUCAAGCAUAACGAGGCUUUCAGUCUCUCUUUCUUAGUAUUGGCAGUGUUCAACUCGCUCUUGAGAGCCAUAAUCUCAUUUUCAAAUUCACAUGCGUGCUGCAAUUGAACAUUCAAAUUUCUGGAUUCAUCCAUGUAUUGUUGUCUUUCAUAUUCAUUGUCUGUAAGUUUUGAUUCAAGUGAAUUAAUAGUGCUUUUGAAUUUCAGUUCUCUCGAUUUGUAGUCCUCCACCAGCUCUGACAAUUUUUCAUGUUCAUCCAUCAGCAUUUCCAUUUUAAAUUUGUAAUCGGCAAGCUCAGUUGUUAGGUCUUUCAAUUUCUGUUCAUAUCCAGUCUGCAUCAUACUUGAAGAAGAAUUGAUGACUGUAGAAACAUGUCGAUCUGGUGGUUUUUUCGGAAGCGGCGGUGGCGAUUGAAUUAAAAGGAAAUUAAUUCUAGCAUUCGUGUCAAUAAUUGCCCUUUUGAUAUGAGAAUUUUUGCCAAUGCCAAUCGGAACACUGCCUUUAGCAGCCAAAAACCCCCUAUCAGCAUCUGUCUCAUAAUAAUCUGCCCCCAUUAGCAAUGUGUCCUCAAUAAUUGCAGUUUUUUUCAAAUAUUCCUGAUCAUAAAUUUUUGCAGCGAUGCCAAAGGUUCCAAUGUAGUACUCUUUGACAUAUCUGGCAUAUGCAUCCAUCAAAUCCUCACCAGCGUUCUUUGCAUCAACCAAAGGCUUGCAUAACUUAUCUGGAUUUCCUUACUGAAACGCUAUAACAGCAGCAGCAGCCAGAUAGUACAAGAAGUCUCCAUCAAUUUCAAGAUCAUCUGCAUUAAAAAUUGAUCUCAAGCCUUUCCAUCGGCUGCAAGUUUUGUUUCAACGAGUUGAGUAGUUUCUUGUAAUACUGCUUUACACUCAGGACCAGCCGACUCACCAAUCUGUUGAUCGAAUUCACCGAAGUCUUGAACAGCAAGAACAACGGCAGAACUGGCAAGACAUUCACAUGUUAAAUGGGGAAACUUAAGACGGAACCAUGCACUGAGUGCUCCAGAAUAUGAGCCACUGAAAAAGAACCAUGGAUUUUCAACUCCUGAUCUAUUCAGCUUUGCAUUUAAAGAAUACCGAUAAUACUGGCAAAAAAUACAAUACUCUUUUGCAGACAUAAAAUCAUUUUAAUCUAAUUUUGUUUAAGCAAGACAUCCUUGAUCACUUUGUCCAAGUUCAUGUAUGAACAACCACCAGGUACUGUGUCCUCCUCUGCCUUCUUUUUCAACUCCGUGGCUUUUCUCCUCAUCUUGUUUCCUUUCUCUCCAACCAUAAUCUCAUUGACCAGAUUCUCCACAUUUUCUCUAUUAACAUUCCUAUCGAUUUCUACUCCAAUCUCCAAUUCAUUGCAAAUCAAUCUACAGUUUGUUGGCUGAUCACUAAAGAAAGGCCAACACAACAUUGGCACUCCGGCACAUAUGUUUUUGGUAGUUGAGUUCCAUCCACAAUGAGUCAAGAAUCCACCAAUCGAAUGGUGGUUCAGCAGUUUCUCUUGUGGACACCAACUAGCAAUUAGGCCUCUAUCUGUGAUUGUAUUCGGUGUCAAAGCCUCUAAGGCCUCUAUCUGUGAUUGUAUUCAGCAGUUUCAGCAUUGCAUUGAUAUGACCUUGAGCUGGAAAUGGAAUCAACACUGCAUGUGGUUUUCUGCAAAGUUACUAAUGUUUCUAUUUUUCUUAUGCAAUGUUAGUCUUUCCUUUAAUAAAGAGAAAAUGCCAAUAUAUAUCGUUCUAUAACUUGUUUGCAAAUUACAUGCUAUAUGUACAAAUAUGCAGUGAUGAUAUAAUAAUAUCAAUAUUAAACAGCAAUUAAUUGAGAUAAAUAUUUGGAAAUAGAUGUGAAGAAUUUGAAACCGAUGCAUGAGAUAGAUAUUUUUUGCAAGUUACUCAAGUGAUUGUUAAUGAAUUUGUCAUGUCAGUUUUCCUUGAAUGGUAAGGAGAAAGAAGGUGUUUCUUGCAAGGCUUAAAUGGAAUUAAUGUCUAACAAUAAGCCUAUCAUAAGUGCACACAAUAUCUCACCUCACAAUUAAUAUUUCAAAUCAAAUAAGUAAAACGUUGUAUAAAUUGGACAGAAUUUAUGAACGCAAUAUAACCGUCUAAAUAAAUUUUAAUUAAUAACAGCCAUUUUAAAUCUAAAUCAUAAUCAUGUUCUAUACAUUAUUAUUAUUUUUUGUCAAGUAGACUAGUGGCAGGAGCUCACUACCAUCUGAGCUAUCAACUGAGCUAAGCUCACGAGGAUUGUUCUAUACAUUAUAUCUAUGCACUAGUUGUCCAGUGUUUGAUUUGUAAGACUCUUUCAGGUACAGGACAAACUGGAGGCAAGUGACAGGACAAAAAACUCAUAUUUUUGUCCCUCACCAAACCACAGUACAACUUUUUGUCCCACGUACAAGUUGUCUAAAAUACCGAAAUAACAUUUUGUCCCCAAAAAAUUACUCAUUGCCAUAAAAAAUUUGUCCUGUGUUGUUCUGCCUUAUGUUGUGCUGUUCUAUCCUGUACUGUUCUGUCUAGUACUUACUGUUUUGCAAACCAAACACCUCAACUCAUAAUUUAUAGAGGAAUGCUAGCAGCACACAUUCUAACACAUUUUUCAACACACUUUCUUUGAUUGGUUAAAAUUCACGUCUGAUCCACCAAAUUUAUAUGAGACUCACAUGAUUUGAUUACCCUUUUAUAUUAUUAUCAUAUUUCACAUGGUGUCCAAGUAUUUUUUGUCAAUAUUUGUGUUCAAAUAGUAUUUCUUAAAAUAUUUUAACAUUGAAUGUGUUUAAAAAUAAUUAACUGCAAUCGAUAAAAAAAUGGUUUGACAUUCCAUUUAACUAUGAUUUGAUUUGGACAAUUUUAAAUUAGAAGGUCCAUAUUCAAUUUAUAAAAAAAAAAUAAAAUAAAAGAAAUUGAAUCAAAACCGCAGCAAAAUUUGCAGGAAGUGAAAAUUGAAAAUCCAAAAAAAAAAACCUGCAGCAAAUCAUGUAUUCAUUACCUGUGGAUAUUCAUGACGUGAUAGAACCCGCAAGAAAAAAGUUUUUUUUUUUUUUUUUUUUUUUUUGUGGUGGCCGGGUUCGAAUCCCAGACCUCGCAUAUUUUAUGCAUUGUCCAUACCAACUGAGCUAAGCUCACGAGGACCGCAAGAAAAUAGUCUUGCGCUACAGGACGAGGCAAAAUCCCCAAGAAUUCCUGCGUAUUAUUUUCCAUAGGAAACUCGGAAAGAAAAACGAGAAUUUGUAGUAGUGAAACUAGCCCACCGAAAUUUACAGCGUAGAAAAUCGAACAUGAGAUCUUGAAAGUAAGGAUAUCUUGAAAAUCGAAUGAAUGCACCUUCCAGCUACAACAAUUGUCUUCCUUUGAAUGGGGUAAUUCAAUCUGGCCAAACGGUUGGACUCCAAUGUUCGACCGACAUUUCCAUUGUUCCUUUUCAAAAGAUUAAAUUCUUGUUAGGCCGGUUUAAAUGAAGGUAUUGAAGUGUCAAGGAAUGAACCUCAUUCUUUUGACACUUGAAUACCGUCAUUUAAACCAAAUCUAACAAGAAUUUAAUAUUUUGAAUGGAACUAUGGGAAUGCCGUUGUAUAUUGGAGUCCUGCUGCUUGGCAAGUUUGAAUUGACCCCAUUCAGAGGUAACACAAUUGUUGUAGUUUGAAGGUACAAACGUUCGGUAUAAACGUCCAAAAGAUCGUCAGUAACUACGAAAUAAAUGCACCUUCCAACUGCAACUCCUUUGAAUGGGGUAAUUAAAACUUGUUAAACGGCAGGAAUCCAGCAUUCGAUCGGCAUUUUAAAUGCUGAUCGCAUGCUGGAGUCAUGCUGUUUAGCAAGUUUGAAUUUACCCCAUUCAGAGGUAAGACAAUUAUUGCAGUUGGAAGGUACAUUCCGGAAUGUAGUGUAAUGUAAUGUGAUGUGAUAACAUAUAUAGUUGAAUAUGCAUAAUACAUGUUGUUUUGAAUUGAACAAUAAUUAUCUUAUUUAUUUACUUUUCGAAUUUAUUUAUUCGAAUACGCAAUUUUAAUUAUUUGCAUUCACGUUAGAUUUAAUUAAUUUUUAUUCGAAUACGCAAUUUUAAUUAUUUGAAUUCACGUUAGAUUUAAUUAGUUUUUAUUCGAAUUCACGUUAGAAUUAAUUAAUUUUUAUUCGAAUAAACAAUUUUAAUUAUUUGAAUUUACGUUAGAUUUAAUUAAUUUUUAUUCGAAUUCACUUUAGAUUUAAUAAGUAUUUAUUCAUUACGCAAUUUUUAUUCGAAUUCACAGAAAAUUAUCAUAAACUUAGCAAGUAAUAAUAGGAGGCACAAGAUCAGAUUGCGAAAAGGGUAAAUAAAUAAAUUUCUAAUCGAUUCACGACGAGAUUGCAAGUCUGGAUUAAUAUCACCAUCACCAUCUAGCUAGACCUCUUGAUUUGAGCAAACGUUUGUCAUUGUAUAUAUUUAGACAUUUAGUGUAAACAAAAGUUACGUGAAAGGUGAUAUUUUUUAUAUUUUUCUCUGCAAAAUUACUCAUUUUUGAUAUUUUUCUUAUGCAAUAGAUAAACCAGAUUGCCUAAUAUUACAUAUUACUCUAUAUAUUCUUUUUGUAAAAAACAAUAUAUACCGUAUAAAAUUGAAAUAAUUAUCUUUCAAAAAAUAAAGAGUUUGGGGUGGCUUUUUCACUGUCCUUAAACAAAUUUAUUUAUAAGAAUGUUAUAUUGCUAGUGUCAUUAAAAAAUGGCUUAAAUAGGUAAAUCGUCAUUGUAAGUUCACGUGUUUUUGGUUUUCGUCCAUGUAUUAAUUUGUUCUAAAACAAACCAUGUAAGUUAUCAUCGUUUUGGUUUUGGUCCAUAUGUUGUCAUCAUUUGUUACAAAAAUGAGUAUGCGGGAAUCACAUGAUGACGUUGCGACAUGUGACGUGGCAGACGACGCUGAUGUGUCAUCUCAGAUGCUGAGUUAGAAAGUUAGAGGAACGAAAACCAAAAAAACAAAAUUACUAAAAGGACCAAAACUAAGAAACAAGAAAACAAACAAUCGAGAAAAAUAUCCAAAAAAUUCUUCAUUUUCUUCGUUCUAUAUAUUUCUUCUUCAUCAUCUUCAAAAUAUAGAAUUUUUUGGUUUUUUUUUUGGGAUCUUUAUGAAUGUUGAUGAAGGUGGUGUUAAAGAUGAUGUAGAAAUAAAAGGAAGAAGUUGAAGAAUUUUUUGAUUUUUUUUUUUUGUAUUUUUUGCCUUCUCAUUUGUUAGUUUUAUUCCCUCUACGAAUUUUGUUUUUUGGUUUUGAUCCCUCUAACUUUUUGACUCAGCAUCUAAACGAUACAUCAAUGUCGUCUACCAGGAUGAAAUAAGAAACUCGCAAACAUAAAUGUAGUUUUUAAUGUAGCCUCCCUCAAUCAAUGUCAUGGUGAUAUUGGUAUGCAUGGUAGGCCAUGUAAUUUUAUUUUGAAAAAACGAAAUGUAAUUUUUUUUCCAUGCAUUCUAUAUAAUGUAAUUUUUUUUUCCAUGCGUUCUAUAUAUUUUUUCAUGGAAAGAUAGCAAGGCCACAAUCUCAAAUGACUAAAAUGUAAUUCAAUGCUGCUUCAAAAAAAAAUGUAAUUCAAUUGAAGUGGUCCUCAACCACGCUAUUCUUGUCAGCUUUACACGUUUCUUUUCUUGUCAGCUUGUGUGCGGUCUUCAAUUAAAUCAGUAAUAAUUAGAGGAUCCAAAGCAGAGAGAAAAUGGUUGGGAUAAAUUGUUUACCAAUGUAGUGUCUUUUUGUGAAAAGUAUGAAAUUGAGAUUUCUGACCUUAAUGAUUGUCGUUCAACAACAAAAUUUAGGCGUUCUGGUCUCGACGAGAAUCAGGUAACAAUAGAGUAUUAUUUUAGAGUUGAAAUAUUUUUUUACUACCAUUUACAUACAAUUACAAGAGUUGAAUUCAUAAAUAUAAUUUUGUAGGUUUAUAUAUAUAUAUAUAUAUAUAUAUACACACAUAUUUUCUAUUAAAGCACAGACAUAUACUCACUUUAACAUUGGAUAAGAAAAAAUAUCAAAGAUGAGUAACUUUGAAGAGAAAAAGCCACAUGCAGUGUUAACUCCAUUUCCAAUUUAAGGCCAUAUCAAUCCAUUGUUGAAACUAGGAAAAUUACUUCACCUUAGAUGUUACAUGUUAAUAUUUAAUUUAAUUAUCAUUAACUAUAACCUAUUAGUUAGCCUGCUUAUUAGUAUUCUAUUCAAUUGUAUUUAUACAUGUUGAUUAGUCUUCUCUUUAUUUUAGUGUAUAAAUAAACCUGUCAUGUACUUUUACACAUAGAUCAAUGAGAAUUAUAUAUCACUUGUCUUUCUAUUUUCUACUGUGUUCUAAAUAUUAACAUGGUAUCAGUUGUGAAUCUCUUCAUCAAUUUCUCUUGUUGAUCGAUUCAUCUCAAGAAUCCUCUUUAUUAUUCAAUUUCUGAAUUUUUAUUUUCAGUUUUCAUUCCGCUGUUCAUUUGAUUCCUUGAUUAUUUGAUUUCUUUCAUCUCUAUGGAGAAUCCACCAUUUUUUGAUUUUGCAACCAAUCCUUCAAAUCCUUACUACUUGCAUCCUAAUGAAAAUCCAUCACUUGUUCUUGUUACUCCAUCAUUGGAUAACAAGAAUUACCAGACUUGGUCGCAAUCUAUGCGGGUCGCCUUAAUUUCCAAGAACAAAUUGAAAUUUGUUGAUGGCACCCUAAAUCCUCCUCCUGUUUCAAAUCUCCUUCAUGAACCAUGGUUAAGAUGUAACAACAUGGUUCUGUCUUGGCUUCAACGAUGUAUUUCUGAAACCAUUGUGAAAUCAAUCAUUUGGUGUGAUCGAGCCUCCGUGGUUUGGAAGCGAUUGGAGAACCGUUUUGCACAGGGUGAUAUUUUCAGAGUUGCUGAUAUUCUUGAGGAAUUGGCUAAAUUUCAACAAGGUAAUCUUGAUAUCUCCUCCUAUUUUACACAAUUAACCACUUUGUGGGAAGAAAUUCAGAACUUCCGGCCAAUUCGUGAUUGCACUUGUGCCAUCCCUUGCACUUGUGGUGUUGCUUCUGAUCUCAAAAAGUAUAAUGAGCAAGACAAAGUAAUUAAGUUUUUGAAAGGUUUGAAUGAGCAAUAUGCACAUGUGCGCUCUCAGAUUAUGCUAAUUAAUCCUUUGCCUGAACUGGAUAAGACUUUUUCUCUUGUACUUCAACAAGAAAGACAAACACAUAUUCCUGUUUUUGGUGAAAUUCCUGUUGAUCAACAAUCAGCUGUUAAUCAAGUUCAGCAAACCAAUUCUAACAAAGGUUUUGCUCAUGGUGGUUCUUCUAGCUAUAGAGGUCGAGGUAAAGGAUCUUAUAAUGGAACAAGAGGACAGAAUCAAGGCAUUACUCGCACUUGUAGUCAUUGUGGAAGACAUAAUCAUACAAUUGAGACUUGUUUCCUUCUCCAUGGCUAUCCUCCUGGUUAUCAAAACAAAGGUCCUAAGUCAGCGAAUCUUGCGGUUUCUGAACAAAAGUAUACUGAUGCUGUCCAGAACCAAGGAUCUGUUAGCAGCCCUUCACUGAAUUCUAUCCAUGAGCAAUAUAAUCAGAUUUUGCAGCUUCUACAACAUUCAAAUUUGCAAGCUUCAACGUCAAACACCAAUGCUACUAUGCCUCAGCCUGCUGUCAAUUCAGUUAUCUCACUUCCCGCAGCUUAUACUUCCACAUCCACUCCCAUAAUCGGUAAGAAAUCUACUCUUUGGGUCAUAGACUCAGGAGCAACUGAUCAUAUCACUCACUGUUUGCAAAAUUUUUCUUCUUUCUACAACAUUCCACCUAUCUCCAUGUCACUACCAAAUGGUAAUAAAAUAGUGACAACCAUAGCAGGCACAGUAUCCUUAUCCAAUUCACUUAUCCUUCAUAAUGUUUACUACAUUCCUGAUUUCAACAUCAAUUUAUUUUCAAUAUCUCAAUUUUUGAAAACUUCUAAUGCCAGUUUCUUGUUUUCUAUUGAUACAUGUUCUAUUGUGCAGAUUUUGAAUCAGAGAGUGAUUGGUACAGCUAAGAAGUUUGGAGGACUGUAUGUGUUGGAUUCUUCACUUCUAAAUAAAUCUCAAAAUAAUGGUUUAGUUUCUGCUUCAAUUUGUAAUUCUGUUUUUCCAAGUUUGUCGUCUAAGUCAACUGAUUCUGCAAAUGUUUGGCAUUAUAGAUUGGGUCACAUUUCGGAUUCCAUACACAAAUGUAUUUCCAUUCAGUUUCCCAUUGUAAAAUACACCAGUACCCACUCUCCUUGUGAUAUAUGCCAUUAUGCAAAACAUAAGAAAACAUCAUUUCCUCAUAGUCUUAUUCAUUCCACUCAAAUAUUUGAUAUACUACAUGUUGAUAUUUGGGGACCCUAUGCUACCCCUUCUGUUUCCGGAUUUAAAUAUUUUUUAACCUUGGUUGAUGACUUUAGUAGAUUUACAUGGGUCAUUUUUAUGAAAUGUAAAGGUGAAACAAGAAAUCAUCUCAUGAAUUUCAUUUCUUUCAUUGAUACUCAAUUCCAUAAGAAACUUAAAUGCUUGAGAAGUGAUAAUGGACUUGAGUUCAUCAUGCCUUCAUUUUAUCUUUCUAAAGGCAUCAUUCAUCAAAGGUCUUGUGUUGAGACUCCUCAACAAAAUGGUAUUGUAGAAAGGAAGCAUCAACAUAUCCUUAAUGUGGCUCGAGCCCUCUCCUUUCAAUCUCAUAUCCCUACCAAUUUUUGGCAUUUUUCAAUUCAACAAGCUGUCCAUAUCAUUAAUCGAAUCCCAACUCCCCUUCUACAAAAUAAAUCCCCAUAUGAAUGUCUUCACCAACAACAACCUUCUUUAAUUCACCUAAAAGUCUUCGGUUGCCUUGCUUUUGCCUCCACCAUCCAAAGUCAUAGAACCAAAUUUGAUUCUAGAGCAAGAAAAUCAGUUUUUCUUGGAUAUAGAGAAGGCACCAAGGGUUACCUUCUUUAUGAUCUUCAUUCACAUGAAUUUUUCUUAUCAAGAAAUGUCAUCUUUCAUGAAUCAUCUUUUCCAUUUUCUACAUUGCAUGAACGAUGUUCCCCUGAUUCCUCUACACCUCAUGUCUCCGUUGAUAAUUCACAUCUUUCUUCCUAUCAUGAACCCAUCCAAUCAUCUGUUAUUCCAAAUUCUUCUUUUCCUCUCUCUCAAAACCUUGAUAAUUCUGAUACUUCUACAACACAUAAUUCUACCCCUCCUAAUGCUACAUCUUCUGCAACAGCUAUUCCAGAUCAGACCACAACAGAUGUACCUAUUCGACGAUCUGCACGACCUAAAACAACACCGGCAUAUCUUAAAGACUAUCACUGCAGUCUCCUUACUUCUUCUGAAUCACAAUUACUCUCUGACUCAGGUAAAUCGGCAUAUCCUCUCUUUUCUGUUUUGACAUAUGAUCAUUGCACUCCUUCAUAUAAAAAAUUUUGUCUAACUGUUUCUUCUAACCCUGAACCUAAGACCUAUAAUCAAGCUUGUAAGAUUGAAUGUUGGAAAGAAGCUAUGAAAGAUGAGUUACAUGCUCUUGCAGCCACAAAUACUUGGUCAAUUGUUGAUUUACCACCAGGAAAAGUUCCAAUUGGAUGCAAGUGGGUUUACAAAACUAAAUACCACUCUGAUGGUUCUCUUGAAAGGCAUAAAGCCCGGUUAGUUGCAAAGGGUUAUACUCAAAUGGAAGGAGUUGAUUACUUUGAUACUUUUUCACCGGUUGCAAAAAUGACUACAGUUAGAACAUUACUUUCUUUGGCAGCCAUCAAAGGGUGGUUUCUUGAGCAACUUGAUGUCAAUAAUGCAUUUCUCCAUGGUGACCUCAAUGAAGAAGUUUACAUGGUGUUACCCCCUGGUCUGAAGCUUCAAAAUUCAGAUUCUAAUGAUCUUAAAGUUUGUCGGUUAAAUAAGAGUCUCUAUGGCUUGAAGCAAGCUAGUAGGCAAUGGUAUGCCAAACUUUCUGCAGCGUUGGUUUCUCUCGGAUACACUCCUUCUGUUGCUGAUUCUUCUUUGUUCACUAAGCUAAAAGGUACCAAUUUUACUGCCUUAUUAGUUUAUGUGGACGACAUAGUUUUAUCAGGAAAUGAUUAUGCUGAAAUUCAGCAUGUUAAGCAGUUUUUGGAUCAAAAAUUUCGCAUCAAAGACCUUGGGAAGCUAAGAUUUUUUCUUGGCUUGGAAAUAGCAGGAUCAAACAAAGGAAUUUCGGUGAAUCAACGCAAAUAUACUCUUGAGCUUCUUGAAGAUAGUGGUCACAUGGCUGUUAAGCCUAGUUCCACUCCCUAUGAUACCUCCUUAAAGUUGCAUAAUUCUGAUUCCCCUCCAUAUCAUGAUGAAUUCUCCUUCAGAAGUUUGAUUGGUAGACUUCUCUAUUUGACACUCACGCGGCCUGACAUUGCUUUUGCUGUUCAACAACUUAGUCAAUUUGUUUCCAAGCCCCGUGAAGUCCACUUUCAAGCUGCUACAAAGAUUCUGAAGUAUCUCAAGAACUCUCCAGCCAAAGGGUUAUUCUAUUCAUCUUCAUCUCCCGUCAAACUUGCAGGUUUUGCUGAUUCAGAUUGGGCUAGCUGUCCCUCUACUAGACGAUCUGUCUCCGGUUUUUGUGUGUUUCUUGGCUCUUCCCUCAUCUCAUGGAAGUCUAAGAAGCAAACAACUGUUUCUAGAUCCAGCUCUGAAUCUAAGUAUAGAGCCUUGGCCAGCCUUACUUGUGAAUUACAAUGGCUCUCCUAUUUGUUCAAGGAUCUUCAUAUCAACUUUCAACAACCAGCUUCAGUAUAUUGUGACAAUAAAUCAGCCAUAUAUCUUGCUCAUAAUCCAACAUUUCAUGAGAGAACAAAACACAUUGAGAUUGAUUGUCAUGUUGUGCGCGAAAGAAUUCAAAGUGGUCUCAUUCAUCUCUUUCCCGUGCCAUCUUCUUCUCAAAUAGCAGAUUUGUUGACAAAACCACUUCUGUCUCCAGCUUUCAAUUCCUUGGUUUCCAAGCUUAGCCUAUGUGAUCUUCAUAGUCCAGCUUGUGGGGGGAUGUUACAUGUUAAUAUUUAAUUUAAUUAUCAUUAACUAUAACCUAUUAGUUAGCCUGCUUAUUAGUAUUCUAUUCAAUUGUAUUUAUACAUGUUGAUUAGUCUUCUCUUUAUUUUAGUGUAUAAAUAAACCUGUCAUGUACUUUUACACAUAGAUCAAUGAGAAUUAUAUAUCACUUGUCUUUCUAUUUUCUACUGUGUUCUAAAUAUUAACAUUAGAGGAUUUCACAUAACCUUUGUCAACACCGAAUACAAUCACAAACGCUUGCUCAAAUCAAGAGGUCCAAAUGCCUUUGAUGGUUUCAAUGAUUUUACCUUUGAGACCAUACCAGAUGGUUUAACUCCGGUGGAAGGUGAUGGUGAUGUUAGUCAAGACUUACGCGCUCUCUAUCUAUCAAUCAAGAAGAAUUUUCACCAAUUCUUUGGUGAAUUUCUUGUUAAACUUAAUGACUCUGCCACUGCUGGUCUUAUCCCUCCAGUUACUUGCUUAGUUUCUGAUUGCAACAUGCCAUUUCCAGUAUAUGCUGCUGAAGAACAUACACUCCCAAUUGUUCUCGUUUCCCCAUGUAGUGCAUCUUACUUCUACUCUACUUUUCACAUUGCUAAAUUGUUUCACAAUAGUAUGCUACCACUCAAAGGUAAUUAUUAUGUUCACUUUUUCUUCCUGGGGUAUGUUGUGUGUGAACAUGUAUGUGUGUGUAUCAAGUUUUUAAAAAAAAUGGUCUAUGACCAAUACGGGCCGAACCCCAACGUUGUGAUGUCUUGGUAAUUGCAUUAAGUUUGAGGUUGCAUCAACCGCAUUGGGCGGCAAUUAUAUGCAAUAUCAGUAUGAUGAAACUAUUAACAACAAGUUCACAAUCAUUAUUGCAAAUGUGAUUUUAAACCUUCAUAUAUCUUUUACAUAUAUAUCUUCAAGCUAUUGAGUUUUGCAAUUGUGUUAUACAGAUGAGAGUUAUCUAACAGAUGGAAAUUUGGACAGUAAAGUUGACUGGAUAAAUGAAGUGGCAGAUAAAUGUCAAAGAGCCUCAGCCAUUGUUUUCAAUACUUCUAAUGAACUUGAGAGUGAUGCUAUGAAUGCUCUUAGUUCUAUAGAGAAGGGAAUAUUCCCUUCUCUAUACACAAUUGGUCCAUUAGCUUCUUUUGUAAAUCAAAGUCCACAAAAUGACUUGACAUCUUUAGACUCUAAUCUUUGGAAAGAAGAUACUAAAUGUCUUGAUUGGCUUGAAUUAAAAGAACCAGGAUCUGUUGUUUAUGUAAAUUUUGGCAGCAUUACAGUUAUGUCUUAAGAUAAAUUGUUAGAGUUUGCUUGGGGUUUGGCCAAUAGCAAGAAACCUUUUUUGUGGAUUAUUAGGCCUGAUCUUGUUAUUGGUGGCUCAGAGGUGUUGUCAUCUGAUUUUGUGAAUGAAACUUCUAAUAGAGGACUUGUAGCAAGUUGGUGUCCACAAGAUAAAGUGUUGAACCACCCUUCAAUCGGAGGAUUCUUGACUCAUUGUGGAUGGAACUCAACCACUGAAAGUGUUUGUGCUGGAGUGCCAAUGUUGUGUUGGCCAUUUUUUUCUGAUCAGCCACUUAAUAGCAACAUUAUUUGCGAAGAAUGGGAGAUUGGGAUGAAGAUUGAUGCCAAUGUACAGAGAGAAGAGGUAGAGAAACUUAUUAAUGAAUUGAUGGUGGGAGAGAAAGGAAAGAAGAUGAGGCAAAAGGCCAUGGAGUUGAAGAAGAAGGCAGAGGAGGACACAAGACUUGGUGGUUGUUCAUACAUGAACUUGGACAAAGUGAUUAAGGACGUCUUGCUUAAAAAAUAUUAGAUUAAUGUGAUCUUUUAUUAUUGAACUUGUUUCUUUUGCAAGCACAAUUGAUGCAUAACUUAGAAGUGCUAAUUAUCUCUAAAUUGUAAGCAAUCACAGACAUUGUAUUUUUUUUACUAUGCAUUGUUUCAAAAGCGUUCAACAUAUGAAGCUUUUUUGGUUUAUAAAUCCAUCGGUUCCAAAUUUAGUUCACAAGUCCACUUUGUGCGCCGAAAGAAAACCAAGAGCUUCACCAAUGCGAAUUGCACAAAUUGGUGUCAACCAUUCUGUUUUAGAAAAAAUUAAAGCGCCAUAUUUAUCUCUACUACAAAUUUGAAAUACAACUUUGUUGUUAUGAGCAGAAAAGGAAGCGUCAAUGUUACAUUUAUUUCGCACUGCUGCACAUUUACUCUGUUUAUCGUUAUUUUUUUAAAUCUGAUCCAAACCUGUAUGAAGCUGAAUAUUACGGGCAGCUUGCAAAUGGUUUAUAAGCGCUUCAGCUCAAGUAAUCGCAAAAUUUUGUGCAACGGAAGUGUUUUUCCAAUCUUAUGAUUUCCUUCAUUCAAAAUGCUUAACAUGAUAUCAGCAAAAUACGACGGUUCUUUCUCCGAAAACUGGUAUCGGAGCUGAAGAACCACAUCUGCAGCAGCAGAACCACGGGCUAGCAGAAACAGUAGCAGAAAAACCGCUUUUCUGCCAGACACUGCGACUGUCGGACAGGUAAUGAAUAUGUGCGAGCUGUCUUCCGAUGCAUCAUCAUAAAUCACAAUUGGUUGGGAAAUUAACCGUACGUGUUGGGUGGCACCGUCUACACAUCCACCACAAUUUUUUUUAACCUUCGCUGGAGUUUUUAUUUACCAAAUCAAAUGUCACUGCUCCCCCAAAUCUAAAAGGAGAUGUAUCAACUAAUUUUUUCGAACAAAGGUAAUAAUCACUUUUCACCAAAUAUUCGCAUUAUUCGCCACACGCCAAAACCGCUUAUCUUCGGUAACUGAGGAUAACGUGAGUAUUAAGAAUUCUAGUCACAUUAUCCGGACAAAAAACAGUAGAGAUUUUGGUAACAUAUAGCAAGAACUAGAAGAUCCAACCAUAACAUAGCUAGAAUAUAGAGACACUAAUCAAGCCUUAGGAAAAUUCUAAAAAGCUUCACAUGGUUUUAAUAUCUUUAUGAUUAAUGAACAAUGCAUACUGAAAAAUACAAGAUCUGUGAUAACAUGCCAUUUAGAUACAAAUAAACUGUUCUAAAGAAUGCAUUGUUUUUUCUUGUCAAUGAAAGAUUGUCAAUACAAGAAAAUCAAGGAACUAGUACAAUACACUUUUGCAGACAUAAAAUCAUUUUAAUCUAAUUUUGUUUAAGCAACACCUCCUUAAUAACUUUGUCCAAGUUCAUGAAUGAACAACCACCAGGUCUUGUAUCCUCCUUUGCCCUCUUUUUCAACUCCAUGACCUUUUUCCUCAUCUUGUUUCCUUUCUCUCCAACCAUAAUUUCAUCGACCAGCUUCUCUACAUUUUCUCUAUUCACAUUAGUAUCAAUUUCGAUUCCAAUCUCCAAUUCAUUGCAAAUAAAUCUACAGUUUGUUGGUUGAUCACCAAAGAACGGCCAACACAGCAUUGGCACUCCAGCGCAUAUGCUUUCAGUGGUUGAGUUCCAUCCGCAAUGAGUCAAGAAUCCACCAAUUGAAGGGUGAUUUAACACUUUCUCUUGUGAACACCAGCUUGCUAUAAGGCUUCUAUCUGAAAUUUCAUUUGCAAACUCUGAAGACAAAACCACUGAGCCACCAAUUACAAGAUCAGGCCUAAUGAUCCACAAAAAGGGUUUCUUGCUAUUGGCCAAACCCCAAGCAAACUCUAAAAAUUUCUCCGGAGACAUAAUUGUGAUGCUUCCAAAAUUCACAUAAACAACAGAAGCCGGUUCUUUUGAUUCCAGCCAUUCGAGACAUUUAGUAUCCUCUUUCCAAAGAUUUGAAUCUAAAGUUGCAAACUGAUUUUGUGGACUUUGAUUUACAAAUGAAGUUAAAGGGCCAAUAGUGUAUAGAGAAGGAAACAUAAUAUCAAGAGCAUUCAGAACAUUACUCUCAAGUUCAUUAGAAGUAUUGAGAACAAUAGAAGAGGCUCUAUGAAAUGUUUCUGCUGCUUCAAUAAUAAAUUCUAUCCUCAAAUCGUUAGGAUCUGUUGUCCUUAUAAAAUCAGGAAGAUCUUUCAGUCUAAAGUUUCUCAAACCUGGAAUCCAGUCUACCUUAGUGUCCAAAUAUCCAUUUGUUAGAUAACUCUCAUCUGCAUAUCAUAAUUACAAAAGUUAAUGUCUUGAAAAACUUGGCGCCCUUGCACACACAUAAAUAUAUAUUAAUGUUUUAAAUCACCAUUAGAACCAAAUGCUGCUGUGAGCCUUUUCUCAAAAUCUUGACUCACACACACACACACACUUCUCUUAGGGAGAGAUAAUAGAACUUGUUACCUUUGAGUGGUACGAGACCUUUCUCAAUCAAUGUACGAAAGUGUAAAACAGACAUGAAAGAACAAGCACUAAAUGGGACAAGGAGAACAAUUGGAAGUGCAAAUUCUUCAGCAACUCUUAUGGUAAAUGACAAGAGACAAUCAGAAACUAAGCAAGUAACAGGAGGCACAAGACCAGAUUUCGCAGAGUCAUCAAGUCUAGCUAGAAGUUCGCGAAAAGGGUAAAUAAAUUUCUUUCUAAUCGAUUCACGAAUAGAUUUCAAGUCUGGAUUAACAUCACCAUCACCAUCCAUUGGAGUUAAACCAUCUGGUAGAGUCUCAAAGUUAAAAUCAGUGAAACCAUCAAAGGCAUUUUCACCUCUUGAUUUGAGCAAGCGUUUGUGAUUGUAUUCGGUGUUAACAAAGGUUAUGUGAAAGCCUCGAAGGUGAAGAAGCUUAGCUAGUUUGAACAAUGGAUUGAUAUGGCCUUGAGUUGGAUAUGGAAUCAACACAGCAUGUGGUUUUCUCUUUGCAAAAUUACUCAUCUUUGAUCAGUCUAUGAUAUGUCAUAAAACUAUACAAAAGAUAAAACAGGUUACGUAAUGUUACAUAUUUUGGUUUUUGUAUGUUUUGCAACAAGUAACACGAGGAACAUUUUUUUAUAAUUAAAAUAAUGGAGCGGCAAAUAGUACGCCUCUUCUAUCCGUAUAGAUAAAUCAAUAGCAAGUGGUCCACAUUUAUUAAUACAUGUCUCUUUGUCUGAAUAUGUUUUCAAAUGAAUCAUAGUUUCAAAUGAAUCAUCAAUAUCAUUCUAGUCCUUGCAAAUAUCACCUAAGCGCCAUGUAAAUUUUCCAAAAAUGCCCUUGUGUAUUCCGGAUUUUAAAAUCCGGAUUCAUGUUUACUAUUUCGAAUUUUAUAAUCCGGACAAUUCUUAUGUAUAAUCAGCCAUCAGACUCUCACAUUUCAGCAAUUUUGAGUUUUGUUUUUAAAAACAACAAAAAAACUAAGUAAAAAAAAUGCUAAAAGCCUGUCAAAUAAAAUCAUAAAAAUAGAAACAUAAAAUUCUAAAAAUCAAAUAAAACUAAUGCAAAUUUUUCCGAAUUUUUCUGAGAAUAUGAAAAAUUAAAAAAAAUGAAAAAUGGGUCUAAACGAUGGAAUUUUGGAUUUUGAGGGGCGGAGUCCCUUAAGAAGUCUCUUCUGUGGGAGUCAUGGUCCUUGAAUUGUUUCUGAUUUUCUGCGGAAGUUUCGGAGCAAUCCAAUCAAGUAGCCCGAAAACCCGAUUUUUGACUAAGAACAUGUAACAAUGACCCAAAACAGAAGGAUGAAAGUUAGGAAGAUUAAUAUUGUCCCUAAAAUGACUAUCCAUAUUACAAACAUGUUUAGAAUUUGUGCUGAUACAGUUCAGAUUAUAUAAUCCGAACUGUUUUACCUUGAAAAAAGUUGUUUAGGGGAUUUCCGGAUUAUAUAAUCCGGAAACAUCAUGUAACACGCCCUAAUUUUUGAAAUUUCUGGAUUAUAAAAUCCGGAAAAAUCCGUUACUCAUUUUUUCACCCUCUAACAAAAGAAAACACCAUUCUGGAUUAUAAAAUCCGGAAACUUAAGGACAUUUUUGGAAAAAUAGGGCGCGCGAGGAAACCCACAGGGUGGGAAAAGUAACUCCCUAAAAUCUUACAACUUCAUAUUUUUAGGCCCCUUAAAUUAAAGCCCAAAAUAUUAAGAUCCAAGUCCAACGAGAUUUUAGGAUCCAUCAGCAGCCACUUUCUUGCAUGAAAUGUGCAUGGCUUCUUACAUGAGAUUGCACAUGGCACUUUGAGUGAAAUUACACUUGGAUGAUUGCAUGAAUAACACAUGUCCUUGUUGCGUGUAGCUCUCUUGCCGCAUGACUUAAUGCAUGUAACUCUCUUGCCACUAGGCUUAAUGCAUAUAAUUCUUCAUUUUCAUUCUCCUAUAGAUAAGAGUUUCUAAUGUAACUUCAUCAUUCAAGUUUUAUAAAGUGAGUGUUCAUCAAAACCGACCAUCUAUUUGUUCUUGUCCGGUUGUUGUAAACCAUUUUUUCAAAGAUUAAUGAUAUUUGUAGACAACUCUCAUUUUUUCUCUUCUUAUUGGUCAAAAUAAUAGAGAGAGACGGCAAAAAGUUAAGAAGAUAAUGUGAAAAUGAAAGAGAUAGUUGCUUUAAAGUUAUACAAAAAUAAUUGUAUAAAUAUGAUUUCUCUUUUUCAAAUUAAUUGGUUUUGAAAAAAAAUACAAAAAUGUCCUACAUUGAAACAUGAAUACCAAAAUAACUUGUUGUAGAUUGUUUCCUUCGUCAUGGCAGUGAGGUUACCAUGAAGAAUUUGUAAACAGUUUGAAGGCGAAGGAGUUUAUAAAAACGUGAAACCGAAAAAUCACAAGAUGGAAGAGGAAAGGAGAUGCAACAGUCAUUGUGUAAAUGGUGAAACACUGAAAGGUUAAUGACAAAUGCAAUAAAAAAUAAUGUUUUAAUAUUGGCAAAUUCUAUGGUACACCUAAUAUAUUUGAGUGUACCGGUACACCCACUCUUUAAAUUAAUAGUUAAAUAAGUUAUUUUUUGAAGAAAAAUAUUAUUUUUUAUCAUUUAUAAUUAUAAUAACUAAAUCUUAUUCAUAAAAAAUGUCAACAAAAUAAAAUUACUAUUUUUUGAAUUUUUAUCACUCAUAAUCGAGAACAUUCAUUAUUUUUUAUGAUAAUAUGUAAAAAUAAUUACUAUAAUUCUUAUAAACAAUGAAAUGAUGUUUUUUCUUAUGAAAUAAUGUUCUAUAAAAUAUAAAUAUUGAAAAUAGCUAUUUAUUACAUAAAAAAUAUCGUUAAUUUAUAAAAUUAUGAAGCAGGAGUACCGGUACACCUCACUUUGUGAGUGUACCGUAGAAGUUCCCUUUAAUAUUUAGUAUUUUUAAAAAAUUCAACAGAUGACAGAAAAAUAUCAGUUAUUUCUUGUCAAAAAAAAAAUAUCAGUUAUUAAAUUUUGACAGCUUAUACAACGAUUAUAUAACGUACACUUUGCAAAAUAGACAACACUUUUUUUUAAGCAACUUUUAUAUAAUCAUUGUUGAUAUAUACAUUUGAAAAAAAAAAAAAAGGAACCUAUCUUCGUCAUUUGGAAUGGCGACGCUCUUCCAAUCAUUUCCUAAUCCUCGCUAAUCCAAAUUGCAAGGUCCAGCUAGUUUCCAAAAAGUAAAAGAUUUUGGUAUUUAGUUCUUAAUGUAGGGCAUUUUUGUAAUUUUUUAGGGUUAAAUAUGUUUUUAGUCCUUACAUUUUACGCCUAUUUGAAGAAUAGUCCCUACAUUUCAUUAAAUGUUUUUAAAAUCCUCCAUAUUUUAUCUCGGUUAUCAAAAUUAGCUGCCGUUAAUUCUCGUAAAGAUCAUAUUUUGAGAGAGAGAAAACAUAUAAUAUUUUUGCUCAAGAAAGAUCAAAUGCCAAGAAAGUUGCUUACCGACGAUAAGUAUAGUACAUAUUUGACUAUAUGAGGUCAGUGUACAAGUAUCAUACAAUAUGAUUGAAUCCAUUUAGAUUGGUCCGGUGACGUUGGUUUAGGACCUUCAAUUAUGCUCUCUAUAGGUUAUUGUGUUCGAUUUUCCCUAUCGUCAAUUUCGGUGAAUUAAUUUAGUUUCUUAAAAAAACAUAAAGUGGAAGUGAUUAGAAAGACACAUAAUUUAUUAUUAAUAUUGUAAUGUAUUCUUGAAAUGUAUGAGGCAGCCUCUGGACAAGUUAUUAGCCUUCCAAAGUCUGAAGUUUAUUAUAGUAGAAGUCUUCCGAUCCCUACACAAGAGUCCAUCACGGCAAUCCUUGGUGUUGGUGCCGUUAUGGGAACUUGGAAGUAUCUGCCUUCCAUGAUUGGCCGAAGCAAAGAAGCCACCUUCGGCUUUAUUAAAGACUGUGUUUGGCAUAAAAUCAAUUUUUGGAGUAGCAAAUGUCUUUCCAAAGUAGGCAGAGAAGUUCUUAUUAAAUCGGUACUCCAAUCCAUUCCUUCUUAUGUUAUGAGUAUUUAUUUGUUGCCAAACAGAUUAGUCGAUGCUAUAGAAAAAUGAUUAAUGCAUUUUGGUGGGGAAAUGGCGGUUCUACUAGAUGAAGUUUGCAUUGACUUUCUUGGGAAAGGUUAUCUGUUCAUAAAAAUUAUGGUGGAAUGAGAUUUAAAGAUCUUACGUCCUUUAAUGUAGCAAUGCUAGGUAAAUAGGGUUGGAAGUUUCAAACAGAUUCAGAUAGUCUUGUGUCACGUUUGUUUAAGGCGCGCUAUAUUCCUCAUACUGAUUUUCUGAUUUGUCGAAUUGGUGCUAAUCCUAGUUAUGUGUGGCGUAGUAUUUUUAGUGCUAAAAUAGAUGUCCAACAUGGUGCUAGAUGGAGGAUUGGAACGGGUGCUAAUAUUCCUUUGUUUGGUGCACCGUGGCUCAAAGAUGGGCGAUCUUUUACAACAAAUUGUCCUAUGUAUGAAUCUCUUUCUCAUGUUAAAGUACAGAAUAUUAUCGAGCCAACGACAAAGGUUUGGAGCACCACUCUUAUAUCUUCUCCUUUUCGUUAUAAUACUAUCCAGAUUAUUUUGAAUACUACUCUUCAUCCACUUGUUAGCGAAAACAAAUUAGUGCGAAAGGCUGAGAAAAAUGGUAAUUAUUCUGUCCGUAAUGCAUAUCGUAUUUGUGUAACUGACAUUGCAGAUAAUUUCCAUUUACAUGUGUCGGGGAGAUGGAAUUUGAUUUGGAAGCUUAAAGUUCCUCCCAAGAUCAAAAACUUUGUGUGGCGUAAGUGUCAGGGAUGUUUCCUGAUGACAUCUCGUCAUUACGUAAUUUUAUAUGUAUUUUGAUCACAAAUUGGAGUUCACAAGGAAUCUUAUGCAGCAAAAAGAGCAGAAAAUGUGUCAUGAUUUGGAACAAACGUGACACGAUUUUAGAAACCAAAACAUGCUUUCAAUAUUGAGGAAAACGUGUCACGAUGGCAAAAACGUGACACGAUUUGAGGAAACCCUAAUUUAGCUUUUUGUUAUUCAGAGGAAACCAUGUCACGAUUAACUUAAAACGCGACACGAUUUUGGGCGAAUUUCUAUGCCUAUUUAAGCUGAAGUCUAUUCCAAAGACAAGCGUUACAAUUUGAAGAGAGCAAAGUGCGAUUUUGAGACUACAAGAUGGCUAGGAGGGCGAUUUCUUCAUCCUUUUACCUGUUCAUGUAUGUAUUGAUUCCUCUAAUGAUUAUGUUAUUUGUAAACACCAUUAUGACUAGCUAAAUCCAUUAGAGGUUAGGUCUGAGAUGAUUCUUUAUAACCUUAAUUGAACCAUGUUGCUGUGAAACUCUAUUUAUUGUGAAUGACAAUAUAGUUUUUAUUCAAUUCAAUUGUUCUUAAUACUUUUUAUCUCGUGAUCAAAUAUAAACAUGAUUUAGUGAGAACGAAUGACUACUGACCCUAGCUUUCGACUUAGACUGAAUUGAAUUGUUCUAAUAAACAUGGUUAGUCUAGGAAUGAAUAAUCAUUUAUUAGUGAUAUUAGGUUAACAUGCUUAAACCUUCAAAAGUUAGUAGACCACCUAAGGAAUUAGGGGCUACAAGUAACCCUAGAAGAGGGUCCGAACUCAAUGGAUUGAUUAUGACUAUUUUGUUAAUUAUCGUGGAACUAAUGAAUCAUUCAUAAGAAUAGGUGCAGUAUACCAAUUAGGGGAACAUAGAUGAUUCGAAAGACCUAAACUCAUCUCUCUCUUAUUCUUAAAACCAACUUUACUUUAUUUCGUUAAUUUUAUGCAAUCAAACCAAUCAACUGCCUAGUGGCAAAUAAAAAUAACUUUUGUACAUCCUAACUUACAACGUAAUUGAAUUAUUGAAAUUAAAAUCAGUCCUUGUGGGAACGAUAUUUUUACUACUUCGAUAGUAUUCGGUACACUUGCGAAACGUCUAUCAUUUCCCAACACGCACACGCCUUAGCAGCCGAGGAGUGCAUUGUUCCACACAGUCUGUUCUUUGUGGUAGUAACUAUGAAGAUAAGAUUCAUGUGUUGUUGGAAUGCCCAGGUGCAAGGAAAGCUUGGCGUGAGGUUCAAUUAUGGGACACGAUUGACAAAACUCUCCGAAAAAAUUAUAAUAUGGAUACACUUAUUUUUACUCUUCUUGAUCAACUGCCUUUGGUCCAAAGAGAAUUAGUUUUCAGAACUCUCAUGUCGAGUUCAAUAGGAGGCAAGCCAAUGGGGUCGCUAAUGAAUUAGCUAGGGUAGCCCCAUCUCAUACUAGCUCCCAUGUUUAUGAUAAUGUACCGUCAUGUAUUUCUUCUUUGAUUGAUAAUGAGAAGCAAUGAAUUUCUCCUUUCAAAAAAAAAAAAAAUAUAUAUUUUAAUGUAUAUAUUCUAUCCACACCAGUCUUGGAGGAGUUUACUAUGGUCGGUCCAUUACAUUGUACCGUUACAUGACAAAACUUAUACAACCAAAAUAACUAUAUUUAAAACUAUGUAACGAGAAACACUCCAAUCUGUUUACUUGUCUUGUUCUAUUUCCUUUGUAGUUUUCUUGCAUAUCAUAUAUUGUAAUAUUCCAUUUGUUUCUAUUAAAGAAAAUACUCAUCCUUAGAAUACUUUAACAUUGCACAAGAAAAUUAUCAGAAAUGAGUAAUUCUGCAAGCAGAAAACCACAUGCUGUGUUGAUUCCAUAUCCACUUCAAGGCCAUAUCAAUCCAAUGUUCAGAUUAGCAAAACUACUUCACCUUAGAGGCUUUCACAUAACCUUUGUUAACACCGAAUACAAUCACAAACGUUUGCUCAAAUCAAGAGGUCCUAAUGCUUUUGAUGGUUUCACCGAUUUUCGCUUUGAGACUAUUCCUGAUGGUUUAACUCCAAUGGAUGGCGAUGGUGGUGAUGCUACUCAAGACUUGAUAUCUCUUCGCGAAUCAAUCAGAAAGAAUUGCAUCGAACCUUUUCGCGAACUUUUAGCUAAACUUAAUGACUCUGCAAAAGCCGGUCUUAUACCUUUUGUUACUUGCUUAGUUUCUGAUUGUAUUAUGCCAUUUACUACACAAGUUGCUGAAGAACUUGCACUCCCAAUAGUGAUCUUUUUCCCGUCAAGUGCUUGUUCUUUCCUGUCUAUUUUACACUUUCGUGCACUUAUUGAGAAAGGUCUCAUACCACUCAAAGGUAACAGUUUGUGUUCCUUUUCUUAUUAUUUAAGAGAGAUGUGUGUGUACAUAUCAAGGUUUUGAAAACAAGGUCUGCAACCGCGAUCUAGGCUGAGCAUAAAGAUUGCGACGUCUUUAUGAUCGUAUAUGAGGCUGCAUUAGGCUUAUUUGGUUGCGAUUAUGAUUCAUAUAAAAAUAGCGACAUCAUAGAGAUGAUUAUUGCGACCAAGAUUGAAAACCUUGAUAUUUAUAUAUUUCUGCUAUUUACUUUUGCAAUUAUGAUAUGCAGAUGAGAGUUAUUUGACAAAUGGAUAUUUGGACACUAAAGUUGACUGGAUUCCAGGUUUGCGAAACUUUAGACUGAAGGACCUUCCUGAUUUUAUACGGACAACAGAUGCUAAUGAUUUGAUGUUAGAAUUUAUCUUUGAAAUGGUAGAUAGACUUCAUAGAGCUUCUGCUAUUUUUUUAAAUACUUCUAAUGAUCUUGAGAGUGAUGUUAUGAAUGCUCUUUAUUCUAUGCUCCCUUCUCUAUACACCAUUGGCCCAUUUGCUUCGUUUUUGAAUCAAAGUCCACAAAAUCACUUGGAAUCUUUAGGUUCCAAUCUUUGGAAAGAAGAUACUAAAUGUCUUGAAUGGCUUGAAUCAAAAGAAUCAGGAUCUGUUGUUUAUGUUAAUUUUGGUAGCAUCACGAUUAUGUCUCCGGAGAAAUUGUUAGAGUUUGCUUGGGGUUUGGCCAAUAGCAAGAAAACCUUUUUAUGGAUCAUUAGGCCUGAUCUUGUCAUUGGUGGCUCAGUGGUUUUGUCGUCUGAGUUUGUGAAUGAAAUUGCAGAUAGAGGCCUAAUAGCAAGUUGGUGUCCACAAGAGAAAGUUUUGAACCACCCUUCAAUUGGCGGAUUCUUGACUCAUUGCGGAUGGAACUCAACCACUGAGAGCAUAUGCGCUGGAGUGCCAAUGCUUUGUUGGCAAUUCUUUGGUGAUCAACCAACAAACUGUAGAUUUAUUUGCAAUGAAUGGGAGAUUGGGAUCGAAAUCGAUAUGAAUGUGAAGAGAGAGGAGGUUGAAAAGCUUGUCAAUGAAUUGAUGGUGGGAGAGAAAGGAAAUAAAAUGAGGAAAAAGGUUAUGGAGUUGAAAAAGAAGGCAGACGAGGACACUAGACUUGGCGGGUCUUCAUACUUGAACUUGGACAAAGUGAUCAAGGAGGUGUUGCUUAAACAAAAUUAGUUCAAAGUGAUUUAUUUUUUGCAAAGAAGUACUUUUCUUGUAUAUCGAUUUUCUCUUGUUUAAUAUAUUUCUUUGACAAGCAAAAACAUAUGAUUGUGGACCACCACCAUAAGUUUUGUUCCUAAGCUUAUGCAAGCUACACAGAAACAGUGUCUGAUGUUAUCAAGACUCAUUCAUCCAAAAUAUAUAUAUGCUGCAGCUUCACUCUACAUAUUCAAAAUAUAAUUUUAUAUCAUUCAACUCGAUUAAUAGAAAAAACAUUUUCACACUUACAAUAUUCCGGUAAAAGUAUAACGGAUUCAUCACAUAAAACAGAACAGAUUCUAGUUUUAGCCCAAAAAAUAAGAGCAAAACAAUUAAGAAAUAGACUAGAGACCAAAGUUGCAAAAUUCAACUUUAUAUGCAUACCAUAUAACUUCAAAAUGUUGAUACUCAAAACAUUUAAGAUUAGCCAGAAUCACAACUUCAGUUUAGGAACUCCAGCUGAUGAUAGGUUCCAUCAUUAUAAACUCAUUAACUUAUUACCAUCAUUGUAUUUGUACUUGCUAAUACACUGCAAUAACAUCAUAACUUAAGACCCUGUUUGGAUUAACAGCUAAAUUUAUAGCUUAUAGUAUUAGUACUUACCAUAAUAAGCACUUAGUUAUAAGCUAUAUUUAUAAUGCGAAAAUAAAAUAAAGUUAAAUUAGUUUUUUUAUAAGCUGUAAGCUCUUUUUAUAAGCUACUCUUCUAGAGCUUACGGAAAUAAGUUGAAAACAACUCAUGAACAUAUAAGAAGUUGUUUACAUAAAUUCUGCAAACAGUCUUCUAAGUGUUUAUGCCGGUAAAUAAGUUCAAUUAAGCUAAACCAAACAGACCCUAAAUCAUGAAUAGCUAGAAAUUUAAGUGCGGAAUAAGGUUGAAACCCUGAUCAACCAAAUUAUAAACCUAUGAAGCACGGACACAGACAGAGACAUUGGACACGAUACUCACAUGUGUUGGAGCUUGUCAAAGAAAUAUAUUCAAUAAGAGAAAAUCAAUAUAGAAAUACAGUACUUUGCAGGGAAAAAAAUCACUUUAAUCUAAUUUUGUUUGAGCAGCACCUCCUUAAUCACUUUUUCCAAGUUCACAUAUGAACAACCACCUGGUCUUGUGUCCUCCUCUGCCUUCUUCUUCAAUUCCAUGGCCUUUUGCCUCAUCUUCUUUCCUUUAUCUCCCACCAUUAAUUCAUUGAUCAGCUUCUCCACCUCCUCUCUCUUCACAUUGGUAUCAAUUUCUGCUCCAAUCUCCCAUUCAUUGCAAAUAUAUCUGCAAUUUGUUGGCUGCUCAGCAAAAAAAGGCCAACACAACAUUGGUACUCCGGCACAGAUGCUUUCCAUUGUGGAGUUCCAUCCACAAUGAGUCAAGAAUCCUCCAACUGAAGGAUGGUUCAACACUUUCUCUUGCGGACACCAGCUUGCUAUUACGCCUCUAUCCGAAGUUUCAUUCACAAAAUCGGAUGACAAAAUAACCGAGCCACCAAUGACAAGGUCAGGCCUAAUAAUCCACAAAAAAGGUUUCUUGCUGUUGGCCAAACCCCAAGCGAACUCUAACAGUUGAUCUGGAGUCAUGACCGUGAUGCUUCCAAAAUUCACAUAAACUACAGAACCUUGUUCCUUAGAUUCAAGCCAUUCAAGACAUUUCAUAUCUUCUUUCCAAAGAUUAGAACCUAUAGAAGCCAAGUUAUUUUGCGGACUUUGAUUCAAAAAUGAAGUUAAAGGGCCAAUGGCAUAAAUAGAAGGGAUCUUAAUAGAUAGAGCAUUUAUUACAUCAUUCUCAAGUUCAUCAGAAGUAUUGAAAACAAUAGAAUUAGCUUCAUGAACCCUAUCGGCCGCUUCAAUGAUAAAUUUUAUCAUUAUAUCAUUAGGAUCAGUAGUUCUUAUAAAGUCAGGCAGGUCCUUUAGUCUAAAGUUUCCCAAACCUGGAAUCCAGUCAACUUUAGUGUCCAAAUAUCCAUUUGUCAAAUAACUCUCAUCUGCAUAUCAUAAUCACAAAAGCCAUUAACAUCAAACUCUCCAAACUUCUAAUACAUAUUAAGACUUAACUAUUUCAUAAGUUCUAGAUAUAAAAGGAUCAGAUUCUUACAACAUGGACAAAGAAAUAACAUAUAUAAAGUGUUACCUUUGAGUGGUAUGACACCUUUAUCAAUCAAUGUACGAAAGUGCAAAGCCGACAGAAGUGAACAUGCACUAGCUGAACUAAAUAGAACACUAGGUAAACCAUGUUCUUCAGCAGCUUGUAUAGUAAAAGUCAAUCCAAUAUCAGAAACUAAGCAACUAACAGGAGGAAUAUGACCAUCAUUGGAAGAAUCUUUAAGUCUAGCAAGAAGUUCACAGAAGGGGUGAUAGAAAUUCUUUCUUAUUGAAUCGGAAAGAGAGAUAAUGUCUUGACUAACAUCACCAUCGCCUUCUAUCGGAGUUAAACCAUCUGGAAUAGUCUCAAAGGUAAAAUCAGUGAAACCAUCAAAGGCUUUUGGACCUCUUGAUUUGAGCAAACGUUUGUGAUUGUAUUCGGUGUUGACAAAGGUUAUGUGAAAGCCUCUAAGAUGAAGAAGUUUUGCUAGUUUUAACAACGGAUUGAUAUGGCCUUGAAGUGGAUAUGGAGUUAUCACUGCAUGUGGCUUAAUUCUCUCUGCAAAAUUGCUCAUGUUUGAAUUUGUGUGUGUAAGAUAAGUUUAAGAAUAAAGGGAUACAAGUGAUCUUUGCUUUAAUAGAGAGAAAAUGUCAUCUUCAUUGUUUGGUGUAAGAAAAUGAGGGAAGUACAAAGGAUAAGUGUUAUACCCUGUUUUUGGACCUAAAAAUACUGGGCCCAAUUUCAUUUCAAACUUUGUCAAUUAUCAAAUUUCAACUGCACAGUUCAAAUUGUCUCUGCCUCGCAGUAUUUUUCAAUCACAAUUUUACCUAUGUUUUUCUUGCAUAAAACCUUUCGAAAUGUCUUUACUUGUCUUGUAAGUCAUUCAAAAGUGUCUCUGAAUCAUUACAUUGCUUUUUCCACAGUUUAUUUCAAAAUUUGCAAAGAAGUCAUACAGAAGGGUAUUUUGGUCAUUUCCCGCAGUGGGACCCAUUUUCAUCCUUGUGACUGUCUCUGAGUCUUUUCAAAUUCAUUUUUAACUUUCCAUCAGUAAACCUUGCUAAUUUCGUUUCAAACUUGCAUCUGAGUCAGUGUCGAGUUAAUUUGAUUCUGUUUAGGUCAUUUUUAGCCCUAGGGGCAUUUUGGUCAUUUCACAUAAAAUUUUGGCAUGGGGAGGUUACUUUGAAGUACCUCAUUUAGGCCAUUGGUUCGUUUUAGUCCGUUUUGUCAAUUUUAUUUUUUUGUUUCGCUUUACGUUUUGUCAGGUUACCAAUUUUAUUUCAAUUUUAUUUUAUUUUGCAUUUUGGUCCUCAAAGAGGUCCAAAAUUGCAUUUCAGUCCAGAAUUCUUUCUAUUUGCAUUUUUAGUCCUUUUUGUUAUUUCCAUUUUAGUCCUUUAAUUUUUCAAUUUUGCAGAAAAGGGCUCAAAGUGUCAAGCUCACGUUUUUUUUCAGUUAAAGUCCAGAUGUCACAAUUCUAUUGGUCCAAGAUCACACAUGUCAGCUAUAAAAGGUGUACAGUGCCACACAGACCCAUUAAUCACACGCCAACUCAUAAACACAAAAUCAAUUUUCUCUUUCUCAGCAAUUAGAUCAAAAACAGAAAAUCUCUCAGAAUUUCUCAAGAACACCAGGAACAAAAACCCUAACCGUUUUCCAGAAACCCUAAUUUUCAUCAGAAUCAACAUUUUUUGCAUCAAUCCUCAGAGAUUCGUGUGAAUCUUCAUCACCGGACUGAAGAUUUUCCUGCAAUUCCAAGUGCGAGCUCGCAUUGAAGCAAGCUCAAGCACUGAUCACAGGAUCUCCUCGCGUGGAUCUAAGAAACAUUGAAGCAAGCUCAAGCACGUAAUCACAGAGAAGCAGAGAAAGAGUCAGAGAAGAUGAAGAAUCUGGACCGGUGAAGCAAACAGAAUCAAAAAUCAUCAAGAACAGAAUCAAGAUUUCCAAAGAUUUCCUCCAUUAAAGGUUUCAACCAAAACCUUAGGUAAAACUCAUAAUCUUUUCUCAGAAAAUAAUAUCACUGUUAAACCUAAAAAUCACGCAAGCAAAACAGAUCCAAAAUUUCCAGAAUUCAAAGCCAAAACCGUAACCGUGAACACAAAACCUAGAUCCAUAAGGAUCUAAGUUUUGAAAGCAAAAACAAACAUCAAAGAGGUGUUAAACAACGAAAUGAUGUAGAUCUUCAAGGAUCUAAACGUUUUCUUUCAAAAAAUCAAAAUCAAAUUCAAAGCCGUACGACAAAUUUCCAGAUCUACAUCGUUUCGAAUUGAAUUUGAAAAAACAAUUGCUGGAUUCGUGUUUAGGGUUAAAGGACGAAUUGAUUGAUGAAGAAAUUUUGAAAUUCUGGAAAUUUUAGGUCACCGGAGUUCUUGAACUCGCCGGAGAAGAUGAAGUUUCCGGCGGACCUUCAAGGUCUCCGCCGUAGCUUCAUCCUCGCCGGCGGCGAGGUUAGUGAGAGGUGAGAGAAGAGAGAGGAACUUAGAGAGAGAAAGGGGAGUGAAAAGUGAAGAAAACCGGAACCUCUUCCCUUAUAUAAGCUAGUGAACCAGACCGGUUCAAGACCGGUCCAAUCCUGUUGAUUCCAGGCCGUUUGAUCUAGGGUUUCAGGAUCCUGGAUCAAUCCUGUGGCUCCUGUGAAUCCGGUUCUUUAGGGUUUUGGGUUGGGCCUUUGGUUUCUUUGGAUCUUUACGUUUUGCUAUUUCUGUGCUAUUCACACCCCUAUUUUUUGCUGCCUGCACCUAUGUCUUGAUUAAAAUUGUGAUAAAAUUCCUAGAAAAAUUCAUACAUGUUUCUUGAUAUUUUCUUAGUGUUUUUAUGACAUUUUUGCACAUUAAGGAUCUAUGAAAAUUUUGUAUAAUCAAUUCAUAGCAUUUUAAUUCUCUUUGAAUUAUUUGUUAUGGAUUCUUCUUCACACAUUUGUCCUUGAUGUGAGAAUAUGUAAUAAAAGCUACUUGAUGUGUUAAUAUGAGAGAUUUGUGCCUAUAAUUUCAUGUUGAUUUGCUGUUUUGAUUUGGUUUAUGAGUUCUUGUUUUUAUGAACAAUAUAUCCAUAUUUUGAAAGAUAUAAAAUGCCAAGUUUACUCUAGAAAAUAUGGCAUGAAAUCAUGCUUGCAUGUUUCCAAUAAUUCCAUGCUAUAACUUGAGAUAAAGAAAACUCUUUCAAAAUUUGUUAAAGCAUGAGAAUUAGAGGCCAAGAAUGCUUUAGGUUUCAUACCUAAGUUUUUAGGGUUUAAUGUCAUUUUGUUAACUUUUUGUGCCAUCUUGCAUGCUUUUAUUUCUUAGUACUUGUUAUGUUUUUUCUUUUCACUAACAAGUUUAUUUCCAUGUUUCAUGCAUCCCAUUUAGCAUUCCCUCCACUUUCUUUAGCCUAGCCUUUAUCUUUUGCAAGUUUUAAUUCAUUUGGUAAUGUAAUUUGUUAUCAUUGGUUUGUAGCUUGGCAAAGGGGCCAUAGAAUGUAUUUAGGCAAUUUUUGUAAUAUGGACUAUGGACACUAUGAUGCACCGACACGCACACACUCACCUUAGAUGUAUGCAUAGGAUUGUAUGGUUAAAUAAGCGUUUAGGUUUUAAACACUUAGAGAAAAUCCAUCUUUUUUUCAAAAAAAAAUAAUUGAACUUCACUUCAAAAACUUUCCUAAUAAGUAUGAAGUCAACACUUCAUUUUUUUCCUUUCUUUUUUUCUUAAGAAAAAUUCAAUUCAUCUUAAUCAUUUAGACUUUCUUUCUAAUCACUAAUCAAACCUCACUUUUUGCUAAAUCUAAUGCUCAUGAAGCCUCCCAAUCUCCUUCUUCAAAACCUUUUUUCUCAAAACUUAAAAUUAAACAAUUAGAACAAAAAACAAGUCUUUUUAGCAAGAACUACGCCGGUUUUGAUCCCGUAAAACGGUACGUAGGCAAUGAGUCAAAACUCAUCCAAGCCGAAAUAAAAUCCAAUUCUACUUCUUCUCACCCCCAUUCUUCACUAAUCAUACUUUCUUUUUUACAAAUAAGCAAUAAAACUAAAGCGUAGAAAUAAACUUAGGAAAGCGGUUCUUAUGGAGUACCAUAAUCGCUCCGGGUGCCUAACACCUUCCCGUAGCGAAAACGACCCCCGAACUUAGAAUCUAAGGGUUUUUCUCAAUUUUGCCCUUCCCAAGAAAAAAUAGAGAAUAUCAACGGUCAAAAGGUUCAAGUCCAAUUAAUGGCUUGGCACCCAAAAACCAUGAUAACAGAAAUGGCGACUUCACUGGGGAUUUUUUUAGCGGGUCACGCCUAGUUUUCCUUAGUUUAUUUACGCUUUGUUUUAUUGCUUACAUAUGUGAAUACUUGUUUACUUUCAUUUGACGUGUGGGGUGAGAAUAUCAAAAGUCCUAUACCCGGGCUGAGUGAACUUAUGUUUAGGUAGAGAUAUAAUCGAGAAUUCGAUCCGGGGGUUGCCUCGUGUAUUGGAUUAUGCGAUCAAUCUCACAUAGCUGAGGCAUUUUGAAGGUGAUAUUGUCGGCGUGUGUUGUCAUGCUUAGGCACUUCACUUUCAAUUGUUCGACGAAGCUAUGAACCGUAGUUACCAAACCCAUCCUAGCCUUUUUAGGACGUAGUGCGGUGGCUAAAUUGAGUGUUGUCUCAAACUUUAGUCGUCACGCGAUACUACACUCAAGCUAGACCUUCUCACAAAUAAUCAUGGAACGGGUGUCGUCCUGUACUACCAUGAUAUAUGUGAGAGAGGUUGCAGUUUGGGAACUGUGUUAGAACCAUGGUUACUACUAUCCAAAGCCUUAGUUCACCGGACGCCGUGUCCAUCCGUGGCCCCGUUACUUUGAAACUCAAUCCACUUUUAACAACACGAUCAUGCAUACAUGCAUUCAUGCAUAAACAUUUUUCAUGCAUUCAUCGAAGGGUUUAAACAAAUGGAAAUUUUUGUAAAUAAUCACAGGUAUGAAGAAGACUAAGUGCUACAAGUUCAAGGAAGUGGAUUUGGUUAGUUUGAGAGAGUUGGCACUCAAGGUCAAGAGUCAAACAGGGUUCCGACUCCGGUAUGGGGGAUUGCUUACUUUGCUCCGAACCGAUGUGGACGAGAAGCUAGUGCACACUCUAGUGCAAUUUUAUGAUCCAAGCUUCUGUUGCUUCACCUUCCCGGACUUCCAGUUGGUUCCUACUCUCGAGGCUUACUCCAAUCUAGUGGGUUUACCUAUGGCCGAGAAGACGCCUUUCACCGGUCCCGGGACUUCUCUUACUCCUCUGGUUAUUGCUAAGGAUCUCUACCUCAAGACUUCCGACGUCUCCAACCAUCUUAUUACCAAGUCUCACAUUCGGGGGUUCACUUCGAAGUAUCUUCUUGAUCAGGCUAAUCUCGGUACUACUCGUCAGGAUACACUCGAGGCUAUUCUUGCUUUGCUUAUCUACGGGCUCAUUCUCUUCCCGAACCUCGACAACUUCGUGGACAUGAAUGCUAUCGAGAUCUUUCAUUCCAAGAACCCGGUUCCUACUUUGCUAGCGGAUACCUACCACGCCAUUCAUGACAGGACUCUCAAGGGCCGUGGGUAUAUUCUUUGCUGCAUACCUCUUCUGUAUAGGUGGUUUAUUUCGCACCUUCCGAGUUCCUUCCAUGAUAACUCGGAGAACUGGUCCUACUCGCAGCGGAUUAUGGCCCUCACUCCUAAUGAGGUCGUCUGGCUCACUCCGGCCGCUCAGGUGAAGGAAAUUGUCAUGGGUUGUGGAGACUUUCUCAAUGUACCUCUUCUUGGUACUCGUGGAGGAAUUAACUACAACCCCGAGCUUGCUAUGAGGCAGUUUGGUUUUCCUAUGAAGUCGAAGCCCAUCAAUCUUGCUACAUCUCCAGAGUUCUUCUUCUAUGCGAAUGCUCCUACCGGACAAAGGAAAGCUUUCAUGGAUGCUUGGUCCAAGGUUCGAAGGAAGAGUGUGAAGCAUCUAGGUGUGAGAUCCGGUAUUGCUCAUGAGGCCUAUACUCAGUGGGUGAUAGAUCGAGCUGAGGAGAUCGGUAUGCCUUAUCCAGCUAUGAGAUAUGUGUCUUCGUCUACUCCAUCUAUGCCUCUACCUCUACUCCCCGCGACUCAGGAUAUGUAUCAGGAGCAUCUAGCUAUGGAGAGUCGUGAGAAGCAAGUGUGGAAAGCUCGGUACAAUCAAGCCGAGAAUCUAAUCAUGACUUUGGAUGGUAGAGAUGAGCAGAAGACUCAUGAGAAUCUAAUGUUGAAGAAAGAGCUAGCUAAGGCCCGGAGGGAAUUGGAAGAGAAAGAUGAGCUGCUUAUGAGGGACUCCAAGAGAGCCAGAGGACGACGAGACUUCUUUGCCAGAUACUGUGAUUCAGAUUCCGAGUCCGAUGAUCUUCCGACUACUUCCUAUGCUUGAGGGCUUCAUAUGUUUAUUUCAAAGUCUUUCUGUUGAGAAUACUAUGUAGUUUUGUUUAUUUGCAAGAUUUCUAAUUUGUUUAAAAAUCCUUCGAUGAGAGAAUAAGUCUUUUGCAUUUGCAUUUGCACAUCAUGCAUCAUAUGCAUCAUGCAUUGGUCACAAAGGCUUCCAAGUGCUUACCACCUCCUGGUUUCUCUGCCGCAGUGUGAAAAGUGGCUCGUGCUCAGAGAAUUUACGAACCUGAUAGAAUUGAUCGAACCAGAGAAUACAGAAGAAAGAAAAGGGCUAUGGAAGAAGAGAACACACAGCUUCGUACCGAAUUGGCAUCUCUAAGGGAGGAAUUGGCCAAAGCUCAUGAUGCUAUGACUGCUCUGUUGGCUGCUCAGGAACAACCAGUUCCUGUAGUUUCUACAGCUGCAAAUGUGACUCCUACCGUAACAACUGAUCCCCGCUCUAUCAUGCCAUCCGGGUACCCUUACGGACUUCCGCUGUACUAUACUACUAAUACAGGGGCAGGGACCUCUGGUACUACCAACAAUGGCCCAAUCCCAGGGGCAAACUUAACUCCUGUUAGUACCGCCUUGACUCAAGCUGCAACGACUGUUACCGAGCCCAUUGUGAAUGCGGUGCCUCUAUUUGUCCAUGCUAAUGCGCACCACGGGAGUAUUGCCACAACCGGAACUAUGGAAGAGAGAAUGGAAGAACUUGCCAAAGAGCUCCGACGGGAAAUUAAGGCCAACAGGGGAAACGGGGACUCCAUUAAAACCCAGGAUCUCUGCUUGGUAUCGAAGGUAGAUGUUCCAAAAAAGUUCAAAGUCCCGGAGUUCGACAAAUAUAACGGGCUGACUUGUCCUCAAAAUCAUAUUGUCAAAUACGUCCGGAAGAUGGGCAACUACAAGGACAAUGAUUCCCUUAUGAUCCAUUACUUCCAAGACAGUCUGAUGGAAGAUGCUGCAGAGUGGUAUACUAGUCUGAGCAAAGAUGAUGUCCAUACCUUUGAUGAGCUAGCCACCGCUUUCAGGAGCCACUACGGGUUUAACACUCGUUUGAAGCCGAAUAGGGAGUUCCUCAGGUCCCUAUCUCAGAAAAAGGAGGAGAGUUUCCGUGAAUAUGCGCAAAGGUGGAGAGGGGCAGCUGCCCGUAUCACUCCUGCUUUAGAUGAAGAAGAAAUGACCCAGACAUUCUUAAAGACCUUGAAGAAGGAUUAUGUUGAGAGGAUGAUCAUCGCCGCCCCGAACAACUUUUCAGAGAUGGUCACUAUGGGAACCCGUCUUGAGGAAGCAGUCAGGGAUGGAAUCAUUGUGUUUGAGAAAGCUGAAUCUUCUACGAGUGCAUCGAAGAGGUAUGGUAAUGGACACCACAAGAAGAAAGAAACGGAAGUGGGGAUGGUGUCAGCUGGAGCCGGUCAAUCUAUGGCUACUGUUGCACCUAUCAAUGCAGCUCAAAUGCCUCCGUCAUACCCAUAUAUGCCGUAUUCUCAGCAUCCGUUCUUCCCACCGUUUUAUCAUCAGUAUCCUUUGCCACCAGGCCAACCUCAGGUUCCUGUCAAUGCCAUCGCUCAACAGGUACAACAUCAACCGCCAGUUCAACAGCAGCAGCAGCAGUAUACUAGACCAACUUUUCCUCCUAUACCAAUGUUGUAUGCUGAGUUGCUUCCAACUUUACUCCAGAGAGGACAUUGCACAACUAGACAGGGCAAGCCACCACCUGAUCCGUUGCCUCCAAGGUUCAGGUCUGAUCCCAAAUGUGACUUUCAUCAAGGUGCCUUAGGUCAUGAUGUCGAGGGGUGUUAUGCUUUGAAGUAUAUUGUGAAGAAGCUCAUUGAUCAGGGAAAGCUGACUUUUGAGAACAAUGUUCCACAUGUCCUUGACAAUCCACUACCAAAUCAUGCCGCUGUGAAUAUGAUCGAAGUGUGUGAGGAAGCUCCUAGACUUGAUGUCCGCAAUGUUGCCACUCCCCUGGUGCCUCUGCAUAUCAAGCUAUGCAAAGCUUCUCUGUUCAGCCAUGAUCAUGCCAAGUGUCUAGGAUGCCUCCGUGAUCCUUUGGGUUGCCAUACUGUUCAAGACGACAUCCAAAGCCUGAUGGAUGAUAAUCUUCUGACUGUCAGUGAUGUUUGCGUGGUCGUGCCAGUUUUUCACGAUCCGCCUGUCAAGAGUGUACCUUUGAAGAAGAAUGCUGAGCCUUUGGUGAUAAGGUUGCCAGGACCAAUUCCUUAUGUUUCGGACAAGGCAGUGCCAUACAAGUACAAUGCUACUAUGAUAGAAAAUGGAGUAGAGGUGCCUCUAGCCUCCUUUGCCACAGUAAGCAAUAUUGCCGAAGGGACUUCUGCAGCGCUAAGAAGCGGGAAGGUUCGUCCGCCAUUAUUUCAGAAGAAGGUAGCUACGCCAAUCACUCCACCAGUUGAAGAAGCAACUCCAACCGUUGUUUCACCCAUUGCUACAGAUGUGAAUCAGCCAGGCAAGUCUAUAGAGGAUUCGAAUUUAGAUGAGAUUCUGAGAAUAAUAAAGAGGAGCGACUACAAGAUCGUUGAUCAAUUGCUGCAAACUCCUUCGAAGAUAUCCGUCUUGUCACUACUCUUGAGCUCUGAGGCUCAUAGGAAUACCUUGUUGAAAGUGCUGGAGCAGGCUUAUGUUGACCACGAAGUCUCGGUAGAUCGUUUCGGUGGCAUAGUGGGAAAUAUCACUGCUUGUAACAACCUCUGGUUCAGUGAAGAAGAGUGGCCAGAAGUGGGAAAGGGUCACAAUCUGGCUUUGCACAUCUCGGUGAACUGUAAAUCAGACAUGAUAUCAAAUGUGUUGGUGGAUACCGGUUCCUCUCUCAAUGUAAUGCCCAAGACAACUCUAGAUCAGUUGAGCUACCGCGGGACCCCGUUGAGGAGAAGUACUUUCUUGGUCAAAGCUUUUGACGGAUCUCGAAAGAAUGUGCUGGGAGAGAUAGACUUGCCGAUAACUAUUGGCCCUGAGAAUUUCUUGGUUACCUUCCAAGUGAUGGACAUUAAUGCAUCCUACAGUUGCCUGCUGGGAAGACCGUGGAUACACGAUGCAGGUGCGGUUACUUCCACUUUACAUCAGAAGUUGAAAUUUGUGAAGAAUGGAAAACUCGUUACAAUCCAUGGUGAAGAAGCAUACUUAGUCAGCCAGUUGUCUUCUUUUUCUUGUGUUGAAGCAGGGUCUGCUGAAGGGACUGCUUUCCAAGGUUUGACCAUUGAAGGCGCAGAGCCUAAGGAAGCUGGGGCUGCUAUGGCUUCAUUGAAAGAUGCUCAGAGAGCCAUCCAAGAAGGUCAGACUGCCGGCUGGGGCAAGGUGAUACAGCUCUGUGAGAACAAGCGUAAAGAAGGUCUCGGGUUCUCCCCGUCAUCAAGGGUUUCCUCGGGAGUCUUCCACAGUGCAGGGUUUGUUAAUGCUAUCUCUGAAGAAGCCACUGGAUCUGGUCUCAGGCCUGUAUUUGUUACACCAGGAGGCAUUGCGACAAAUUGGGAUGCCGUUGACAUUCCUUCAAUCAUGCAUGUUUCUGAGUAAUGUGUCUUGUUGCUUUAGUACUUUGUUUUCAAAAUAACAAUCCUCUCGCUCUGCCCAAAGCGAGAGUGAUAUUUUCUGUAAGGGCAUGUUUGUUUCGGCAUUGCCGUUGAUUAAUAAAAUUUUGUCGUUUCUUCCACGACUACUUUUUUUAAGUGCUUUUUCCCUUGGAAGCAAUGGUAAUGCCAGAAAAAACCAAAACGUCUGUAUUUUCUUAUUAAUUUCAAAAAUCUGCAUGAAAAAAAACUCUUUCUAAAAAUCAUCCAAUCAUUAUAUGCAGGUUGAACCAUAAUAAAUCCGUUGAACACAGUAAUCCUACGGUUCCUCCAAGUUUUGAUUUCCCUGUAUAUGAAGCCGAAGAUGAGGAAGGUGAUGACAUACCGUAUGAGAUCACUCGGUUACUUGAGCAAGAAAAGAAAGCCAUUCAGUCUCACCAAGAAGAGAUUGAGCUUAUCAACAUAGGUACCGAGGAAAACAAGCGAGAAAUCAAGAUUGGUGCUACCCUAGAGGAAGGGGUUAAACAGAAGAUCAUCCAACUCCUCCGGGAAUAUCCGGAUAUUUUUGCAUGGUCCUAUGAAGAUAUGCCAGGUCUAGACCCUAUGAUCGUGGAGCAUCGGAUCCCUACCAAGCCUGAAUGUCCUCCCGUCAGGCAGAAAUUGAGAAGGACUCAUCCUGACAUGGCCCUCAAGAUUAAGAGUGAAGUUCAAAAGCAGAUUGAUGCGGGUUUCCUCAUGACAGUGGAGGUAUCCCGAAUGGGUUGCCAAUAUUGUGCCUGUGCCAAAGAAGGAUGGUAAAGUCCGGAUGUGUGUUGACUUUAGGGACUUGAACAAAGCCAGUCCAAAAGACAACUUUCCGUUACCUCAUAUUGAUGUGCUUGUUGAUAAUACUGCUCAAUCUAAGGUGUUCUCCUUCAUGGACGGUUUUUCCGGUUAUAAUCAGAUCAAAAUGUCUCCUGAAGAUAGAGAAAAGACAUCUUUUAUCACGCCAUGGGGUACUUUCUGCUACAAAGUGAUGCCGUUCGGCCUAAUCAAUGCUGGUGCUACCUACCAAAGGGGAAUGACCACUCUGUUUCAUGACAUGAUUCACAAAGAAGUUGAGGUAUAUGUGGAUGACAUGAUUGUGAAGUCAGCAGAUGAGGAGCAGCAUGUUGAAUAUUUAACAAAGAUGUUUGAAAGGUUGAGAAAAUACAAGCUGCGACUGAAUCCCAACAAAUGUACAUUCGGUGUCAGGUCUGGAAAGUUAUUAGGCUUCAUUGUCAGCCAAAAGGGCAUUGAAGUCGAUCCUGAUAAAGUCCGGGCCAUCCGAGAAAUGCCAGCUCCACAGACAGAGAAGCAAGUCAGAGGUUUCUUGGGACGUUUGAAUUACAUCUCCCGAUUCAUAUCUCAUAUGACUGCAACCUGCGGGCCGAUCUUCAAACUACUUAGAAAGAACCAGCCUGUUGUAUGGGAUGAUGAAUGCCAAGAAGCUUUUGAUAGCAUCAAGAAUUACCUGCUGGAACCACCUAUCCUUGUCCCACCCGUGGAAGGAAGGCCUUUGAUUAUGUAUUUGGCAGUAUUUGAUGAAUCCAUGGGAUGUGUACUUGGUCAACAAGAUGAAACCGGAAAGAAAGAGCAUGCUAUCUACUAUCUAAGCAAGAAGUUCACCGAUUGUGAAACUCGGUAUACAAUGCUUGAAAAGACUUGUUGUGCUCUAGCUUGGGCUGCCAAACGCCUGCGCCAUUAUUUGGUGAAUCAUACAACUUGGUUGAUAUCCAGAAUGGAUCCGAUAAAGUAUAUCUUUGAGAAAGCGGCCGUUACUGGGAAGAUCGCACGCUGGCAGAUGCUUUUGUCUGAAUAUGAUAUUGUGUUCAAAACUCAAAAGGCAAUCAAAGGCAGCAUUCUUGCCGAUCACCUUGCUUAUCAACCUCUUGAUGAUUACCAACCAAUUGAAUUCGAUUUCCCUGAUGAAGAGAUCAUGUAUUUGAAAUCCAAAGACUGCGACGAACCGUUGAUUAAUGAAGGUCCAGAUCCCAAUAGCAAGUGGGGUUUAGUCUUUGAUGGUGCUGUCAAUGCUUAUGGCAAAGGAAUUGGGGCAGUCAUUGUAUCCCCGCAAGGGCAUCACAUUCCUUUUACCGCCCGUAUUCUGUUCGAAUGUACAAACAAUAUGGCUGAGUAUGAAGCAUGUAUCUUCGGGAUCGAGGGAGCAAUUGACAUGAGAAUCAAACACCUCGACAUCUAUGGAGAUUCUGCGCUCGUCAUCAAUCAGAUAAAGGGUGAAUGGGAGACCCACCAUGCUAAGUUGAUUCCUUAUCGUGAUUAUGCGAGACGUCUUCUGACAUAUUUUACAAAGGUUGAGCUGCAUCAUAUUCCUCGUGAUGAGAACCAAAUGGCUGAUGCUCUUGCUACUCUAUCUUCCAUGUUUCGAGUAAACCAUUGGAAUGAUGUGCCAUUAAUUAAAGUGCAACGCCUUGAAAGACCUUCGCAUGUGUUUGCUAUUGGGGAUGUGAUCGAUCAGGCUGGUGAAAAUAUGGUUGACUAUAGACCCUGGUACUACGACAUCAAACAGUUCUUGCUGAGCCGUGAGUAUCCGCCGGGUGCUUCCAAACAAGACAAGAAGACCUUGAGAAGAUUGGCCGGUAGAUUCUUGUUAGAUGGAGAUAUUCUGUACAAGAGGAACUAUGACAUGGUAUUGUUAAGAUGUGUUGAUGAACAUGAAGCAGAGCAGUUAAUGCAUGAUGUACAUGACGGUACCUUCGGGACCCAUGCUACAGGGCAUACUAUGUCAAGAAAGUUGCUACGGGCAGGUUACUACUGGAUGGCCAUGGAGCAUGAUUGCUACCAAUACGCCAGAAAAUGCCACAAAUGUCAAAUCUAUGCUGAUAAGAUUCAUGUGCCUCCGCACGCUCUCAAUGUUAUGUCAUCCCCAUGGCCGUUCUCAAUGUGGGGCAUCGAUAUGAUUGGAAGAAUUGAACCGAAAGCUUCAAAUGGUCAUCGUUUCAUCUUAGUGGCAAUUGACUACUUUACCAAAUGGGUUGAAGCAGCAUCUUAUACCAAUGUGACCAAGCAAGUGGUAGCUAAGUUCAUCAAGAACAACAUCAUCUGUCGAUAUGGUGUUCCCAGCAAGAUUAUUACCGACAAUGGUACCAACCUGAACAACAAUGUGGUGCAAGCUCUUUGUGAAGAAUUCAAAAUUGAGCAUCAUAACUCUUCUCCUUAUAGACCUCAGAUGAAUGGUGCAGUUGAGGCCGCCAAUAAGAAUAUCAAGAGAAUUGUCCAGAAGAUGGUAACCACUUACAAGGACUGGCAUGAGAUGUUACCCUAUGCUCUGCAUGGCUACCGUACUACCAUGCGCAGUUCAACCGGGGCAACCCCUUUCUCUCUUGUAUAUGGUAUGGAAGCAGUUCUUCCUUUGGAAGUGGAGAUCCCAUCUCUCCGUGUGAUCAUGGAAGCAAAGUUAUCCGAAGCUGAAUGGUGCCAAAGCCGGUAUGAUCAGUUGAAUUUGAUUGAGGAAAAACGUAUGGAUGCCAUGGCUCGUGGACAGUCAUAUCAAGCAAGAAUGAAGACUGCCUUUGACAAGAAAGUCCAUCCUCGAGAAUUCAAGGUAGGGGAACUUGUAUUGAAAAGGAGGAUAAGCCAGCAACCCGACCCGAGGGGCAAGUGGACGCCUAACUAUGAAGGUCCUUAUGUCGUCAAGAAGGCCUUCUCCGGUGGUGCUUUAAUCCUUACACACAUGGAUGGUGUAGAGCUUCCAAAUCCAGUGAAUGCCGAUAUAGUCAAGAAAUACUUUGCCUAAAAAUAUGAAAAGAACAGCGUGGUAGGUCGAAAACCCGAAAGGGCGGCCUAGGCAAAAAUGCGCUUCCCGGUGGAUCGAAAACCCGAAAGGGCGGUCCAGGCAAAAAUAAGGGACAAAAAAAACAACAAAUAUGAAAAGCUCGCUGAGAUUGUACACAACUCAGGCAAGAAUGAGCGUCUCGAUGAGCCGAAAACCCGGAAGGUCGGUUCAUGCAAAAAUGAGAUUGAAACAAAAGGCAAGUAACUAUAUCUGGCCAACCACCGUCCCCCUUGGGGCAUCUGCAGCUGUUAAUGCCUAUCUUCAUCAAAAGCUUCUGUACUUGUGAAUUCGAAGUUUCUGGGAAAUGUCAUGAUUACUGUGUUCAAUGUACCACCAACCAAUAAAAUUACCAUUUUCCAAGCUUUGUGAAUCCGUGGAGUCGUGCCUUCGGCUGAUCACCACUCUUAUACAUCAAUUUGAGCUUGUGCUUUUGUUUGAAACUCUAUUUUUCUUCUACUUUCAAAGCUGUAUACAAAACAUUCUCUUUCCAUUUUGAUAAUGACAAUGCUUGAAACAAACAUUUUUGAAAAUUGAAAACUUUUUGUCUAUUUUGAAAAGCAAACCCGAGCAACAGGGUACAUUCAAAUGAACAUGCAUGAGCGAGUGUGUGUGGGUGUCUAUCUUCAAUAUAUGUUACAAGCAGGUUCUCCUCCAAGAUAAUCUGUGGUCAAUGGCAAGAAUGAAAAAACAGAAUGAAAAUGCAUGAAAAUGAAUGAGCUCGCUAAGUUGAAAACCCGAAAGGGCGACUUAGGCAAAAAUGAGCACCCCGCUGGAUUGACAACCCGAAAGGGCAGUUCAGGCAAAAAUGGGGCAUUGAAAAGAAUUUAUUUCCCCGGUGGGUCGAAAACCCGAAAGGGCGAUCCAGGCAAAAAUGGGAUGCAAAAAAUGAAUGAUGAAGAUUGAGAAUAUAACAUGCAAAAAGCAUUGACCACAGAUGCGAUGUCCACAACAUGCCCAGCACAACGGCAUUAUCCCCAGUAAAGUCUCUCAAGAUUCUAUCCCCAGCAAGUUGCAUAGCUACCAGCCCUCAGCCUAGGUCCCGAAACGUCUCCCAACGACGUCAUCUCCAAAGAGGAUUUCCAAGAAUGUGUAAUAUAGCUCGAGCCACUACGUGCCCAAUACUCUGAUGUCUUGUCUUCCCCGUGAAGUCGUGCCUACAAAAUGCCAACAGUCAUGCAUUACAAGCAUUCAUACAUGCAUAAUCAUGCAUAUUACGUACCCAUGCAUUUAAUGAAAUUGUUAUAUCAUCCAUGCAUAUUGCAUUUCCAAUGUCAACAUCAGUCUCAAUUCAACACUCAUGUCAGGUUCUCUGUCAAAACCUUGUGAGCCAAUAAUAUCGGUCAAUUUCUACCUUUCAAUUCAAAUCGACGUCAAGUCAAUCUCAAUCUAUAUUUUGUCAACAAACCAAUCCCCAGUGAAUAUGUUUUUGUUCGGUCAAGUUACUAGUUCGCAUCCAAGAACGACUUGCACCCGUUUACUUUUCAAUGUUAUCGGUCGAGUGCCCAGCUCAAUCCAAGAGCAGCUUGUACCUGUCUAUUUGUUUCUGUCCGGUGGAGUAACCAGUUCGCAUCCAAGAACAAGCUCACACCUGUUUAUUUGCCUUGCUUUCGGUCGAGUAACCAGUUCGAAUCCUUAAGAACAACUCGUACCUGCCAAUUUUACAUGUUUUCAGUCGAGUCACCAGUUCGAAUCCGUAAGAACAACUCGUACUUGCCAAUUUUCUCUUUUUCCCAGUCGGGUCACCAGUUCGAAUCCAUAAGAACAACUCGCACUUUCCAGUAUCCCCAAGUGAGUUAUCAGUUCGAAUCCAUAAGAACAACUCAUAUUUGUCCAGUAACCUCUAUCCCCUGUGGAGUGACCAGUUCGAAUCCAUAAGAACAACUCGCAGUUGUCUGUUUGUUUCAUUCCCGGUCAGGUGCCCAGCUCGAUCCAAGAGCAGCUUGUACCUGUCCAACUUGUUUCUAGUUUCCCGUUACUCUGCUAUUCACUAUCUUUGUCAAUGUCUACCAAUCCCGCAAUGGAUACGACAUAUUUUGUUAAUUCCAAUCCCCAUGAGGUCUUGCAUUCAUAAUCCAAACGAUGCAUGGCAUGCAUAUUAUUUGAAAAUGGGUAGGCGUAUUUUUACGUCCAAACACAGUGCAAAUGCUAAUAUUUAAGUAUCUUCGUCCUGUCAAGCCAAAGACUCCGUCUCUUGACUCUCCAGACAAAGAAACUUAAAUAGGGGCAGCUGUUAUACCCUGUUUUUGGACCUAAAAAUACUGGGCCCAAUUUCAUUUCAAACUUUGUCAAUUAUCAAAUUUCAACUGCACAGUUCAAAUUGUCUCUGCCUCGCAGUAUUUUUCAAUCACAAUUUUACCUAUGUUUUUCUUGCAUAAAACCUUUCGAAAUGUCUUUACUUGUCUUGUAAGUCAUUCAAAAGUGUCUCUGAAUCAUUACAUUGCUUUUUCCACAGUUUAUUUCAAAAUUUGCAAAGAAGUCAUACAGAAGGGUAUUUUGGUCAUUUCCCGCAGUGGGACCCAUUUUCAUCCUUGUGACUGUCUCUGAGUCUUUUCAAAUUCAUUUUUAACUUUCCAUCAGUAAACCUUGCUAAUUUCGUUUCAAACUUGCAUCUGAGUCAGUGUCGAGUUAAUUUGAUUCUGUUUAGGUCAUUUUUAGCCCUAGGGGCAUUUUGGUCAUUUCACAUAAAAUUUUGGCAUGGGGAGGUUACUUUGAAGUACCUCAUUUAGGCCAUUGGUUCGUUUUAGUCCGUUUUGUCAAUUUUAUUUUUUUGUUUCGCUUUACGUUUUGUCAGGUUACCAAUUUUAUUUCAAUUUUAUUUUAUUUUGCAUUUUGGUCCUCAAAGAGGUCCAAAAUUGCAUUUCAGUCCAGAAUUCUUUCUAUUUGCAUUUUUAGUCCUUUUUGUUAUUUCCAUUUUAGUCCUUUAAUUUUUCAAUUUUGCAGAAAAGGGCUCAAAGUGUCAAGCUCACGUUUUUUUUCAGUUAAAGUCCAGAUGUCACAAUUCUAUUGGUCCAAGAUCACACAUGUCAGCUAUAAAAGGUGUACAGUGCCACACAGACCCAUUAAUCACACGCCAACUCAUAAACACAAAAUCAAUUUUCUCUUUCUCAGCAAUUAGAUCAAAAACAGAAAAUCUCUCAGAAUUUCUCAAGAACACCAGGAACAAAAACCCUAACCGUUUUCCAGAAACCCUAAUUUUCAUCAGAAUCAACAUUUUUUGCAUCAAUCCUCAGAGAUUCGUGUGAAUCUUCAUCACCGGACUGAAGAUUUUCCUGCAAUUCCAAGUGCGAGCUCGCAUUGAAGCAAGCUCAAGCACUGAUCACAGGAUCUCCUCGCGUGGAUCUAAGAAACAUUGAAGCAAGCUCAAGCACGUAAUCACAGAGAAGCAGAGAAAGAGUCAGAGAAGAUGAAGAAUCUGGACCGGUGAAGCAAACAGAAUCAAAAAUCAUCAAGAACAGAAUCAAGAUUUCCAAAGAUUUCCUCCAUUAAAGGUUUCAACCAAAACCUUAGGUAAAACUCAUAAUCUUUUCUCAGAAAAUAAUAUCACUGUUAAACCUAAAAAUCACGCAAGCAAAACAGAUCCAAAAUUUCCAGAAUUCAAAGCCAAAACCGUAACCGUGAACACAAAACCUAGAUCCAUAAGGAUCUAAGUUUUGAAAGCAAAAACAAACAUCAAAGAGGUGUUAAACAACGAAAUGAUGUAGAUCUUCAAGGAUCUAAACGUUUUCUUUCAAAAAAUCAAAAUCAAAUUCAAAGCCGUACGACAAAUUUCCAGAUCUACAUCGUUUCGAAUUGAAUUUGAAAAAACAAUUGCUGGAUUCGUGUUUAGGGUUAAAGGACGAAUUGAUUGAUGAAGAAAUUUUGAAAUUCUGGAAAUUUUAGGUCACCGGAGUUCUUGAACUCGCCGGAGAAGAUGAAGUUUCCGGCGGACCUUCAAGGUCUCCGCCGUAGCUUCAUCCUCGCCGGCGGCGAGGUUAGUGAGAGGUGAGAGAAGAGAGAGGAACUUAGAGAGAGAAAGGGGAGUGAAAAGUGAAGAAAACCGGAACCUCUUCCCUUAUAUAAGCUAGUGAACCAGACCGGUUCAAGACCGGUCCAAUCCUGUUGAUUCCAGGCCGUUUGAUCUAGGGUUUCAGGAUCCUGGAUCAAUCCUGUGGCUCCUGUGAAUCCGGUUCUUUAGGGUUUUGGGUUGGGCCUUUGGUUUCUUUGGAUCUUUACGUUUUGCUAUUUCUGUGCUAUUCACACCCCUAUUUUUUGCUGCCUGCACCUAUGUCUUGAUUAAAAUUGUGAUAAAAUUCCUAGAAAAAUUCAUACAUGUUUCUUGAUAUUUUCUUAGUGUUUUUAUGACAUUUUUGCACAUUAAGGAUCUAUGAAAAUUUUGUAUAAUCAAUUCAUAGCAUUUUAAUUCUCUUUGAAUUAUUUGUUAUGGAUUCUUCUUCACACAUUUGUCCUUGAUGUGAGAAUAUGUAAUAAAAGCUACUUGAUGUGUUAAUAUGAGAGAUUUGUGCCUAUAAUUUCAUGUUGAUUUGCUGUUUUGAUUUGGUUUAUGAGUUCUUGUUUUUAUGAACAAUAUAUCCAUAUUUUGAAAGAUAUAAAAUGCCAAGUUUACUCUAGAAAAUAUGGCAUGAAAUCAUGCUUGCAUGUUUCCAAUAAUUCCAUGCUAUAACUUGAGAUAAAGAAAACUCUUUCAAAAUUUGUUAAAGCAUGAGAAUUAGAGGCCAAGAAUGCUUUAGGUUUCAUACCUAAGUUUUUAGGGUUUAAUGUCAUUUUGUUAACUUUUUGUGCCAUCUUGCAUGCUUUUAUUUCUUAGUACUUGUUAUGUUUUUUCUUUUCACUAACAAGUUUAUUUCCAUGUUUCAUGCAUCCUGUUAUCAUGGUUUUUGGGUGCCAAGCCAUUAAUUGGACUUGUACCUUUCGACCGUUGAUAUCUCUAUUUUUUCUUGGGAAGGGCAAAAUUGAGAAAAAACCCUUAGAUUCUAAGUUCGGGGGUCGGUUUUACUACGGGAAGGUGUUAGGCACCCGGAGUAACUAUAGUCCUCUAUAGGAGCCGUUUUCCUAAGUCUAUAUUCACGCUUAUUUUUACUUACUUUUGAAGAUGGGAGGUUUAUUUAGUUAAGAAUGAGGGGAGAGAAGUUGUAAGACUUUUUAAUUUUAUUUCGGCUUGGAUGAGUUUUGACUCAUUGCCUACGUACCGUUUUACGGGAUCAAAACCGGCGUAGUUCUUGCUAAAAAAAAGACUUGUUUUUCUUUUGUUUUAAUUGUUUGAUUUUAAGUUUUAAAAAAAGGUUUUGAAGAAGGAGAUUGGGAGGCUUCAUGAGCAUUAGAUUUAGCAAAAAAGGUGAGGUUUGAUUAGUGAUUUAGAAAGAAAGUCUAAAUGAUUAAGAUGAAUUGAAUUUUUCUUAAGAAAAAAGAGAAAGGAAAAAAAAAAUGAAGUGUUGACUUCAUACUUAUUAUGAAAAUUUUUGAAGUGAAGUUCAAUUGCUUUUUUUGAAAAAAAGAUGGAUUUUCCCUAAGUGUUCAAACCUAAGCGCUUAUCUAACCAUACAAUCCUAUGCAUACAUCUAAGGUGAGUGUGUGCGUGUCGGUGCGUCAUAGUGUCCAUAGUCCAUAUUACAAAAAUUGCCUAAAUACAUUCUAUGGCCCCUUUGCCAAGCUACAAACCAAUGAUAACAAAUUACAUUACCAAAUGAAUUAAAACUUGCAAAAAAAACAAAUGCUAGGCUAAAAAGUGGAGGGAAUGCUGAGUUUUUAUGGAGAUUCUGUUAGGUUUCUUCGGAAACACUUGGAUUUGGCUUUUGCUUGUUGAUUUCUGGCUUUGAACCGAAAAUAAAUCGGUGAUUCUUCUUUUCUCACUGAUUCCGUUUCUUCAUCUUCUUCGCCGGCUUAAAACCUUGCUUCUUUCCCUUUUCUUCUCCUUUUUCAACGCCUCUGUGAUCGGUGUUGGAGUUCUUCGCCACUGGGGAAGAAUUCUCACCUUGAAUUGCAGAGGGAUCAACUCAGUGAUGAAGAUUCGCCAUUGAAUCUCUGAGAGUUUGAUGCAAAAAUCAAUGAAUUUGUGUAUGAAUUUUGGUUCUGGAAAUUUCUAGGGUUCUUGUGUUCUUGAUGAACUUGAUGAUUUUUCUGUUUCUGAUCUAACUGAAUGGAGAGAGAAAGUCUCAUUGUGUUUGUUGAGUUGGCGUGUGAUUAAUGGCUUUGAAUCUGACUCACUGUUUAUAUAGUUGACAUGUGUACACUUGAGCCAAUGAAAUUGUGACACGUACCCUGGACUUGCUCACUUGGGCGCUGCUUGCUAUUUUAAGGACCAAUCUGCAAAUUGUGAAAAUGACAAGGACUGGACUGCAAAAUUAAAAAAAACUUGAAAUGAAAUAAAUAAUAAAAAAACAGUUUGGACAAAAAUGCAAUUUUGGGACCUCAAUUGAGGGACCAAAAUGCAAUACAAAAUAAAAUUUGAAUAAAAAACGUAAUUUGACCAAACGUAAAGUGAAACAAAAAUAAAAUUGACAAAACGGACUAAAACGAACCAAUGGCCUAAAUGAGGUACUUCAAAGUAACCUCCCCAUGCCAAAAUUUCAUGUGAAAUGACCAAAAUGCCCCUAGGGCUAAAAAUGACCUAAACUGACUCAAACAGACUUGACACUGACUCAGAUGCAAGUUUGAAAUGAAUUUAAACAGGGUUUACUGACGAAAUGUCAAAAAAUGAAUUUGAAAAGACUCGGAGAUAGUCACAAGGAUGAAGAUGGGUCCCACUGCAGGAAAUGACCAAAAUACCCUUCUGUAUGACCUUUUGCAAAUUUUGAAAUAAACUGUAGAAAAAGCAAUGUAAUGAUUCAGAGGCACUUUUGAAUGACUUACAAGACAAGUAAAGACAUUUUGAAAGGUUUUAUGCAAGAAAAACAUAGGUAAAAUUGUGAUUGAAAAUACUGCGAAGCAGAGACAAUUUGAACUGUGCAGUUGAAAUUUGAUAAUUGACAAAGUUUGAAAUGAAAUUGGGCCCAGUAUUUUUAGGUCCAAAAACAGGGUAUAACAGCUGCCCCUAUUUAAGUUUCUUUGUCUGGAGAGUCAAGAGACGGAGUCUUUGGCUUGACAGGACGAAGAUACUUAAAUAUUAGCAUUUGCACUGUGUUUGGACGUAAAAAUACGCCUACCUAUUUUCAAAUAAUAUGCAUGCCAUGCGUCAUUUGGACUAUGAAUGCAAGACCUCAGGGGGAUUGGAAUUAACAAAAUAUGUCGUAUCCAUUGCGGGAUUGGUAGACAUUGACAAAGAUAGUGAAUAGCAGAGUAACGGGAAACUAGAAACAAGUUGGACAGGUACAAGCUGUUCUUGGAUUCAAACUAGCCACUUGACCGGGGAUGAAACAAACAGACAACUGCGAGUUGUUCUUAUGGAUUCGAACUGGUCACUUCACAGGGGAUAGAGGUUACUGGACAAACAUGAGUUGUUCUUAUGAAUUCGAACUGAUAACUCACUUGGGGAUGUUGGAAAGUGCGAGUUGUUCUUAUGGAUUCGAACUGGUGACCCGACUGGGGAAAUUGACAAGUACGAGUUGUUCUUAUGGAUUCGAACUGGUCACUCGACCGAAAGCAAAGGCAAAUAAACAGGUGUGAGCUUGUUCUUGGAUGCGAACUGGUUACUCCACCGGACAGAAAUAGAUAGACAGGUACAAGCUGCUCUUGGAUUGAGCUAGCCACUUGACCAAACGGAAACAUAUUGACAGGUACGAGCUGCUCUUGGAUUGAGCUGGACACUCGACCGAUAACAUAAGCAAAUUGAUAGGUACAAGCUGUUCUUGGACUUGAACUAGCCACUUGACCAAACAGAAACAUAUUCACUGGGGAUUGAGUUUUGUUUGACGAAAUAUAGAUUGAGAUUGACUUGGCGUCGAUUUGGUUUGAAAGGUAGAAAUUGAUUGAUAUUAUUGGAUCACAAGGCUUUGACAGAGAACCUGACAUGAGUAUUGAAUUGAGACUGAUGUUGACAUUGGAAAUGCAAUAUGCAUGGAUGAUAUAACAGUUCCAUUAAAUGCAUGGGCACGUAAUAUGCAUGAUUAUGCAUGUAUGAAUGCUUGUAAUGCAUGACUGUUGGCAUUUUGUAGGCACGACUUCACGGGGAAGACAAGACAUCAGAGUAUUGGGCACGUAGUGGCUCGUGCUAUAUUACACAUUCUUGGAAAUCCUCUUUGGAGAUGACGUCGUUGGGAGACGUAUCGGAACCAUGGCUGAGGGCAGGUAGCUAUGCAACUUGCUGGGGAUAGAAUCUCGAGAGACUUUACUGGGGAUAAUGCCGUUGUGCUGGGCAUGUUGUGGACAUCGCAUCUGUGGUCAAUGCUUUUUGCAUGCUAUUUUCUCAUUCUCAUUUUUCGCAUCCCAUUUUUGCCUGGAUCGCCCUUUCGGGUUUUCGAUCCACCGGGGAAAUAGAUUCUUUUCAAUGCCCCAUUUUUGCCUGAACUGCCCUUUCGGGUUGUCAAUCCAGCGGGGUGCUCAUUUUUGCCUAAGCCGCCCUUCCGGGUUUUCAACUUAGCGAGCCUUUUCAUUUUCAUGCAUUUUCAUUCUGUUUUUUCAUUCUUGCCAUUGACCACAGAUUAUCUUGGAGGAGAACCUGCUUGUAACAUAUAUUGAAAUAGACAUUAACAUACUCUCGCUCAUGCAUGUUUCAUUUGAACGUACCCUGUUGCUCAGGUUUGCUUUUCAAAACAGACAAAAAGUUUUCAAUUUUCAAAAUGUUUGUUUCAAGCAUUGUCAUUAUCAAAAUAGAAAGAAAAUGUUUUGUAUAUAGCUUUGAAAGUAAAAAGAAAAAUAGAGUUUCAAACAACAGCACAAGCUCAAUUUGAUGUAUAAGAGUGGUGGUCAGCCGAAGGCAUGACUCCACGGAUUCACAAAGCUUGGAAAAUGGUAAUUUUUAUUGGUUGGUGGUACAUUGAACACGGUAACCACUACAGUUCUUAGAAACUUUGAAUUCACAAGUACAGAAGCUUUUGAUGAAGAUAGGCAUUAACAGCUGCAGAUGCCCCAAGGGGGACGGUGGUUGGCCAGAUAUAGUUACUUGCCUUUUGUUUCAAUCUCAUUUUUGCAUGAACCGCCCUUCCGGGUUUUCGGCUCAUCGAGACGCUCAUUCUUGCCUGAGUUGCGUACAAUCUCAGCGAGCUUUUCAUAUUUGUUUUUUUUUUUUUUUUUUUUUGUCCCUUAUUUUUGCCUGGACCGCCCUUUCGGGUUUUCGAUCCAUCGGGAAGCGCAUUUUUGCCUAGGCCGCCCUUUCGGGUUUUCGACCUACCACGCUGUUCUUUUCACAUUUCUAGGCAAAGUAUUUCUUGACUAUAUCGGCAUUCACUGGAUUUGGAAGCUCUACACCAUCCAUGUGUGUAAGGAUUAAAGCACCACCGGAGAAGGCCUUCUUGACAACAUAAGGACCUUCAUAGUUAGGCGUCCACUUGCCCCUUGGGUCGGGUUGCUGGCUUAUCCUCCUUUUCAAUACAAGUUCCCCUACCUUGAAUUCUCGAGGAUGGACUUUCUUGUCAAAAGCAGUCUUCAUUCUUGCUUGAUAUGACUGUCCACGAGCCAUGGCAUCCAUACGUUUUCCCUCAAUCAAAUUCAACUGAUCAUACCGGCUUUGGCACCAUUCAGCCUCAGAUAACUUUGCUUCCAUUAUCACACGGAGAGAUGGGAUCUCCACUUCCAAAGGAAGAACUGCUUCCAUACCAUAUACAAGAGAGAAAGGGGUUGCCCCGGUUGAACUGCGCACGGUAGUGCGGUAGCCAUGCAGAGCAUAGGGUAACAUCUCAUGCCAGUCCUUGUAAGUGGUUACCAUCUUCUGGACAAUUCUCUUGAUAUUCUUAUUGGCGGCCUCAACUGCACCAUUCAUCUGAGGUCUAUAGGGAGAAGAGUUAUGAUGCUCAAUUUUGAAUUCUUCACAAAGAACUUGCACCACAUUAUUGUUCAGGUUGGUACCAUUGUCGGUAAUAAUCUUGCUGGGAACACCAUAUCGACAGAUGAUGUUGUUCUUGAUGAACUUAGCUACCACUUGCUUGGUCACAUUGGUAUAAGAUGCUGCUUCAACCCAUUUGGUAAAGUAGUCAAUUGCCACUAAGAUGAAACGAUGACCAUUUGAAGCCUUCGGUUCAAUUCUUCCAAUCAUGUCGAUGCCCCACAUCGAGAACGGCCAUGGGGAUGACAUAACAUUGAGAGCGUGCGGAGGCACAUGAAUCUUAUCAGCAUAGAUUUGACAUUUGUGGCAUUUUCUGGCGUACUGGUAGCAAUCAUGCUCCAUAGUCAUCCAGUAGUAACCUGCCCGUAGCAACUUUCUUGACAUAGUAUGCCCUGUAGCAUGGGUCCCGAAGGUACCGUCAUGUACAUCAUGCAUUAACUGCUCUGCCUCAUGUUCAUCAACACAUCUUAACAAUACCAUGUCAUAGUUUCUCUUGUACAGAAUAUCUCCAUCUAACAGGAAUCUACUGGCCAAUCUUCUCAAGGUCUUCUUGUCUUGUUUGGAAGCACCCGGCGGAUACUCACGGCUCAGCAAGAACCGUUUGAUGUCGUAGUACCAGGGUUUAUAGUCAACCACAUUUUCGCCAGCCUGAUCGAUCACAUCCCCAAUAGCAAACACAUGGGAAGGUCUUUCAAGGCGUUGCACUUUGAUUACUGGCACAUCAUUCCAAUGGUUUACUCGGAACAUGGAAGAUAGAGUAGCAAGAGCAUCCGCCAUUUGGUUCUCAUCACGAGGAAUAUGAUGCAGCUCAACCUUUGUAAAAUAUGUCAGAAGACGUCUCGCAUAAUCACGAUAAGGAAUCAACUUAGCAUGGUGGGUCUCCCAUUCACCCUUUAUCUGAUUGAUGACGAGCGCAGAAUCUCCAUAGAUGUCGAGGUGUUUGAUUCUCAUGUCAAUUGCUUCCUCGAUCCCGAAGAUACAUGCUUCAUACUCAGCCAUGUUGUUGGUACAUUCGAACAGAAUUCGGGCGGUAAAGGGAAUGUGAUGCCCUUGCGGGGAUACAAUGACUGCCCCAAUUCCUUUGCCAUAAGCAUUGACAGCACCAUCAAAGACUAAACCCCACUUGCUAUUGGGAUCUGGACCUUCAUUAAUCAACGGUUCGUCGCAGUCUUUGGAUUUCAAAUACAUGAUCUCUUCAUCAGGGAAAUCGAAUUCAAUUGGUUGGUAAUCAUCAAGAGGUUGAUAAGCAAGGUGAUUGGCAAGAAUGCUGCCUUUGAUUGCCUUUUGAGUUUUGAACACAAUAUCAUAUUCAGACAAAAGCAUCUGCCAGCGUGCGAUCUUCCCAGUAACGGCCGCUUUCUCAAAGAUAUACUUUAUCGGAUCCAUUCUGGAUAUCAACCAAGUUGUAUGAUUCACCAAAUAAUGGCGCAGGCGUUUGGCAGCCCAAGCUAAAGCACAACAAGUCUUUUCAAGCAUUGUAUAUCGAGUUUCACAAUCGGUGAACUUCUUACUUAGAUAGUAGAUAGCAUGCUCUUUCUUUCCGGUUUCAUCUUGUUGACCAAGUACACAUCCCAUGGAUUCAUCAAAUACUGCCAAAUACAUAAUCAAAGGCCUUCCUUCCACGGGUGGGACAAGGAUAGGUGGUUCCAGCAGGUAAUUCUUGAUGCUAUCAAAAGCUUCUUGGCAUUCAUCAUUCCAUACAACAGGCUGGUUCUUUCUAAGUAGCUUGAAAAUCGGCCCGCAGGUUGCAGUCAUGUGAGAUAUGAAUCGGGAGAUGUAAUUCAAACGUCCCAAGAAACCUCUGACUUGCUUCUCUGUCUGUGGAGCUGGCAUUUCUCGGAUGGCCCGGACUUUAUCAGGAUCGACUUCAAUGCCCUUUUGGCUGACAAUGAAGCCUAAUAACUUUCCGGACCUGACACUGAAUGUACAUUUGUUGGGAUUCAAUCGCAGCUUGUAUUUUCUCAACCUUUCAAACAUCUUUGUUAAAUAUUCAACAUGCUGCUCCUCAUCUGCUGACUUCACAAUCAUGUCAUCCACAUAUACCUCAACUUCUUUGUGAAUCAUGUCAUGAAACAGAGUGGUCAUUCCCCUUUGGUAGGUAGCACCGGCAUUGAUUAGGCCGAACGGCAUCACUUUGUAACAGAAAGUACCCCAUGGAGUGAUAAAAGAUGUCUUUUCUCUAUCUUCAGGGGACAUUUUGAUCUGAUUGUAACCGGAGAAACCGUCCAUGAAGGAGAACACCUUAGAUUGAGCAGUAUUAUCAACAAUCACAUCAAUAUGAGGUAAUGGAAAGUUGUCUUUUGGACUGGCUUUGUUCAAGUCCCUGAAGUCAACACACAUCCGGACUUUACCAUCCUUCUUUGGCACAGGCACAAUAUUGGCAACCCAUUCGGGAUACUCAACUGUCAUGAGGAAACCCGCAUCGAUCUGCUUUUGAACUUCAUUCUUGAUCUUGAGGGCCAUGUCAGGAUGAGUCCUCCUCAAUUUCUGCCUGACGGGAGGACAUUCAGGCUUGGUAGGGAUCCGAUGCUCCACGAUCAUAGGGUCUAGACCUGGCAUAUCUUCAUAGGACCAUGCAAAAAUAUCCGGAUAUUCCCGGAGGAGUUGGAUGAUCUUCUGUUUAACCCCUUCCUCUAGAGUAGCACCAAUCUUGAUUUCUCGCUUGUUUUCCUCGGUACCUAUGUUGAUAAGCUCAAUCUCUUCUUGGUGAGGCUGAAUGGCUUUCUUUUCUUGCUCAAGUAACCGAGUGAUCUCAUACGGUAUGUCAUCACCUUCCUCAUCUUCGGCUUCAUAUACAGGGAAAUCAAAACUUGGAGGAACCGUAGGAUUACUGUGUUCAACGGGUUUAUUAUGGUUCAACCUGCAUAUAAUGAUUGGAUGAUUUUAGAAAGAGCUUUUUUUUUUCAUGCAGAUUUUUGAAACUAAUAAGAAAAUACAGACGUUUUGGUUUUUUCUGGCAUUACCAUUGUUUCCAAGGGAAAAAGCACUAAAAGAAAAGUAGUCGUGGAAGAAACGACAAAAUUUUAUUAACCAACGGCAAUGCCGAAACAAACAUGCCCUUACAGAAAAUAUCACUCUCGCUUUGGGCAGAGCGAGAGGAUUGUUAUUUUGAAAACAAAGCACUAAAGCAACAAGACACAUUACUCAGAAACAUGCAUGAUUGAAGGAAUGUCAAUGGCAUCCCAAUUCGUCGCAAUGCCUCCUGGUGUAACAAAUACAGGCCUGAGACCAGAUCCAGUGGCUUCUUCAGAGAUAACAUUAACAAACCCUGCACUGUGGAAGACUCCUGAGGAAACCCUUGACGAUGGAGAGAACCCGAGACCUUCUUUACGCUUGUUCUCACAGAGCUGUAUCACCUUGCCCCAGCCGGCAGUCUGACCUUCUUGGAUGGCUCUCUGAGCAUCUUUCAAUGAAGCCAUAGCAGCCCCAGCUUCCUUAGACUCUGCACCUUCGAUGGUCAAACCUUGGAAAGCAGUCCCUUCAGCAGACCCUGCUUCAACACAAGAAAAAGAAGACAACUGGCUGACUAAGUAUGCUUCUUCACCAUGGAUUGUAACGAGUUUUCCAUUCUUCACAAAUUUCAACUUCUGAUGUAAGGUGGAAGUAACCGCACCUGCAUCGUGUAUCCACGGUCUUCCCAGCAGGCAACUGUAGGAUGCAUUAAUGUCCAUCACUUGGAAGGUAACCAAGAAAUUCUCAGGGCCAAUAGUUAUCGGCAAGUCUAUCUCCCCCAGCACAUUCUUUCGAGAUCCGUCAAAAGCUUUGACCAAGAAAGUACUUCUCCUCAACGGGGUCCCACGGUAGCUCAACUGAUCUAGAGUUGUCUUGGGCAUUACAUUGAGAGAGGAACCGGUAUCUACCAACACAUUUGAUAUCAUGUCUGAUUUACAAUUCACCGAGAUGUGCAAAGCCAGAUUGUGACUCCUUCCCACUUCCGGCAACUCUUCUUCACUAAACCAGAGGUUGUUACAAGCAGUAAUAUUUCCCACUAUACCACCGAAACGAUCUACCGAGACUUCGUGGUCAACAUAUGCCUGCUCCAGCACUUUCAACAAGGUGUUCCUGUGAGCCUCAGAGCUCAAGAGUAGCGACAAGACAGAUAUCUUCGAAGGAGUUUGCAGCAAUUGAUCAACGAUCUUGUAGUCGCUCCUCUUUAUUAUUCUCAGAAUCUCGUCUAAAUUUGAAUCCUCUAUAGAUUUGCCUGGCUGAUUCACAUCUGUAGCAAUGGGUGAAACAACGGUUGGAGUUGCUUCUUUAACUGGUGGAGUAAUUGGCGUAGCUACCUUCUUCUGAAAUAACGGCGGACGAACCUUCCCGCUUCUCAGCGCUGCAGAAGUCCCUUCGGCAAUAUUGCUUACUGUGGCAAAGGAGGCUAGAGGCACCUCUACUCCAUUUUCUAUCAUAGUGGCAUUGUACUUGUAUGGCACUGCCUUGUCCGAAGCAUAAGGAAUUGGUCCUGGCAACCUUAUUACCAAAGGCUCAGCAUUCUUCUUCAAAGGUACACUCUUGACAGGCGGAUCGUGAAAAACCGGCACAACCACGCAAACAUCACUGACAGUCAGAAGAUUAUCAUUCAUCAAGCUUUGGAUGUCGUCUUGAACAGUAUAGCAGCCCAAAGGAUCACAGAGGCAUCCUAGACACUUGGCAUGAUCAUGGCUGAACAGAGAAGCUUUGCACAGCUUGAUGUGCAGAGGCACCAGAGGAGUAGCAACAUUGCGGACAUCAAGUCUAGGAGCUUCCUCACACACUUCGAUCAUAUUCACAGCGGCAUGAUUUGGUAGUGGAUUGUCAAGGACAUGUGGAACAUUGUUCUCAAAAGUCAGCUUUCCCUGAUCAAUGAGCUUCUUCACGAUAUACUUCAAAGCAUAACACCCCUCGACAUCAUGACCUAAAGCACCUUGAUGAAAGUCACAUUUGAGAUCAGACCUGAACCUUGGAGGCAACGGAUCAGGUGGGGGCUUACCCUGUCUAGUUGUACAAUGUCCUCUCUGGAGUAGAGUUGGAAGCAACUCAGCAUACAACAUUGGUAUAGGAGGAAAAGUUGGCCUAGUAUACUGCUGCUGCUGCUGUUGUUGUUGUUGUUGAACCGGCAACUGUUGUUUCAUCUGUUGGGCAAUUGCAUUGACGGGCACUUGAGGCUGGCCCGGUGGCAAAGGGUACUGAUGAUAAAACGGUGGGAAGAACGGAUGCUGAGAAUACGGCAUAUAUGGGUAUGACGGAGGCAUUUGAGCUGCAUUGAUAGGAGCAACGGUAGCCAUAGAUUGACCGGCUGCAGCUGACACCAUUCCCACUUCCGUUUCUUUCUUCUUGUGGUGUCCAUUACCAUACCUCUUCGAUGCACUCGUAGAAGAUUCAGCUUUCUCAAACACAAUGAUCCCAUCUCUGACUGCUUCCUCAAGACGGGUUCCCAUGGUGACCAUCUCCGAAAAGUUGUUCGGGGCAGCAAUGAUCAUUCUCUCAACAUAAUCUUUCUUCAAGGUCUUUAAGAACGUCUGGGUCAUUUCUUCUUCAUCUAAAGCAGGAGUGAUACGGGCAGCUGCCCCUCUCCACCUUUGCGCAUAUUCACGGAAACUUUCCUCCUUUUUCUGAGAUAGGGACCUGAGAAACUCCCUAUUCGGCUUCAAACGAGUGUUAAACCCGUAGUGGCUCCUGAAAGCGGUGGCCAGCUCAUCAAAAGUAUGGACAUCGUCUUUGCUCAGACUAGUAUACCACUCCGCAGCAUCUUCCAUCAGACUGUCUUGGAAGUAAUGGAUCAUAAGGGAAUCAUUGUCCUUGUAGUUGCCCAUUUUCCGGACGUAUUUGACAAUAUGAUUUUGAGGACAAGUCAGCCCGUUAUACUUGUCGAACUCCGGGACUUUGAACUUUUUUGGAACAUCUACCUUCGAUACCAAGCAGAGGUCCUGGGUUUUAAUGGAGUCUCCAUUUCCCCUGUUGGCCUUAAUUUCCCGUCGGAGCUCUUUGGCAAGUUCUUCCAUUCUCUCUUCCAUAGUUCCGGUUGUGGUAAUACUCCCGUGGUGUGCGUUGGCAUGGACAAAUAGAGGCACCGCAUUCACAAUGGGCUCGGUAACAGUUGUUGCAGCUUGAGUCAAGGCGGUACUAAUAGGAGUUAAGUUUGCCCCUGGGAUUGGGCCACUGUUGGUAGUACCAGAGGUCCCUGCCCCUGUGUUAGCAGUAUAGUACAGCGGAAGUCCGUAAGGAUACCCGGAUGGCAUGAUAGAGCGGGGAUCAGUUGUUACAGUAGGAGUCACAUUUGCAGCUGUAGAAACUACAGGAACUGGUUGUUCCUGAGCAGCCAACAGAGCAGUCAUAGCAUCAUGAGCUUUGGCCAAUUCCUCCCUUAGAGAUGCCAAUUCGGUACGAAGCUGUGUGUUCUCUUCUUCCAUAGCCCUUUUCUUUCUUCUGUAUUCUCUGGUUCGAUCAAUUCUAUCAGGUUCGUAAACUCUCUGAGCACGAGCCACUUUUCACACUGCGGCAGAGAAACCAGGAGGUGGUAAGCACUUGGAAGCCUUUGUGACCAAUGCAUGAUGCAUAUGAUGCAUGAUGUGCAAAUGCAAAUGCAAAAGACUUAUUUUCUCAUCGAAGGAUUUUUAAACAAAUUAGAAAUCUUGCAAAUAAACAAAACUACAUAGUAUUCUCAACAGAAAGACUUUGAAAUAAACAUAUGAAGCCCUCAAGCAUAGGAAGCAGUCGGAAGAUCAUCGGACUCGGAAUCUGAAUCACAGUAUCUGGCAAAGAAGUCUCGUCGUCCUCUGGCUCUCUUGGAAUCCCUCAUAAGCAGCUCGUCUUUCUCUUCCAAUUCCCUCCGGGCCUUAGCUAGCUCUUUCUUCAACAUUAAAUUCUCAUGAGUCUUCUGCUCAUCUCUACCAUCCAAAGUCAUGAUUAGAUUCUCGGCUUGAUUAUACCGAGCUUUCCACACUUGCUUCUCACGACUCUCCAUAGCUAGAUGCUCCUGAUACAUAUCCUGAGUCGCGGGGAGUAGAGGUAGAGGCAUAGAUGGAGUAGACGAAGACACGUAUCUCAUAGCUGGAUAAGGCAUACCAAUCUCCUCAGCUCGAUCUAUCACCCACUGAGUAUAGGCCUCAUGAGCAACACCGGAUCUCACACCUAGAUGCUUCACACUCUUCCUUCGAACCUUGGACCAAGCAUCCAUGAAAGCUUUCCUUUGUCCGGUAGGAGCAUUCGCAUAGAAGAAGAACUCUGGAGAUGUAGCAAGAUUGAUGGGCUUCGACUUCAUAGGGAAACCAAACUGUCUCAUAGCAAGCUCGGGAUUGUAGUUAAUUCCUCCCCGAGUACCAAGAAGAGGUACAUUGAGAAAGUCUCCACAACCCAUAAUGAUUUCCUUCACUUGAGCGGCAGGAGUGAGCCAGACGACCUCAUUAGGAGUGAGGGCCAUAAUCCGCUGCGAGUAGGACCAGUUCUCCGAGUUAUCAUGGAAGGAACUCGGAAGGUGCGAAAUAAACCACCUAUACAAAAGAGAUGUGCAGCAAAGAAUAUACCCACGGCCCUUGAGAGUCCUGUCAUGAAUGGCGUGGUAAGUAUCCGCUAGCAAAGUAGGAACCGGGUUCUUGGAAUGAAAGAUCUCGAUAGCAUUCAUGUCCACGAAGUUGUCGAGGUUCGGAAAGAGAAUGAGCCCGUAGAUAAGCAAAGCAAGAAUAGCCUCAAGUGUAUCCUGACGAGUAGUACCGAGAUUAGCCUGAUCAAGAAGAUACUUCGAAGUAAACCCCCGGAUGUGAGACUUGGUAAUAAGAUGGUUGGAGACGUCGGAAGUCUUGAGGUAGAGAUCCUUAGCAAUAACCAGAGGAGUAAGAGGAGUCCCAGGACCGGUGAAAGGCGUCUUCUCGGCUAUAGGUAAACCCACUAGAUUGGAGUAAGCCUCAAGAGUAGGAACCAACUGGAAGUCCGGGAAAGUGAAGCAACGGAAGCUCGGAUCAUAAAAUUGCACCAGAGUGUGCACUAGCUUCUCGUCCACAUCGGUUCGGAGCAAAGUAAGCAAUCCCCCAUACCGGAGUCGGAACCCUGUUUGGCUCUUGACCUUGAGCGCCAACUCUCUCAAACUAACCAAAUCCACUUCCUUGAACUUGUAGCACUUAGUCUUCUUCAUACCUGUGAUUAUUUACAAAAAAUUUCCAUUUGUUUAAGUCCUUCGAUGAAUGCAUGAAAAAUGUUUAUGCAUGAAUGCAUGUAUGCAUGAUUGUGUUGUUUAGUUACAAUGUGGGUUGAGAUUCAAAGUAACAAGGCCACGGAUGGACACGGUGUCCGGUGAACUAAGGCUUUGGAUAGUAGUAACCAAGGUUCUAACACAGUUCCCAAACUGCAACCUCUCUCACAUAUAUCAUGGUAGUACAGGACGACACCCGUUCCAUGUUUAUUUGUGAGAAGGUCUAGCUUGAGUGUAGUAUCGCGUGACGACUAAAGUUUGAGACAACACUCAAUUUAGCCACCGCACUACGUCCUAAGAAGGCUAGGAUGGGUUUGGUAACUACGGUUCAUAGCUUCGUCGAACAAUUGAAAGUGAAGUGCCUAAGCAUGACAACACACGCCGACAAUACCACCUUCAAAAUGCCUCAGCUAUGUGAGAUUGAUCGCAUAAUCCAAUACACGAGGCAACCCCCGGAUCGAAUUGUCGAUUAUAUCUCUACCUAAACAUAAGUUCACUCAGCCCGGGUAUAGGACUUUUGAUAUUCUCACCCCACACGUCAAAUGAAAAUAAACAAGUAUUCACAUGUGUAGGCAAUAAAAUAAAGCAUAAAUAUACACUAAGGAAAACUAGGCGCGACCCGCUAAAAAGAAUUUCCCCAGUGAAGUCGCCAUUUCUGUUAUCAUGGUUUUUGGGUGCCAAGCCAUUAAUUGGACUUGUACCUUUCGACCGUUGAUAUCUCUAUUUUUUCUUGGGAAGGGCAAAAUUGAGAAAAAACCCUUAGAUUCUAAGUUCGGGGGUCGGUUUUACUACGGGAAGGUGUUAGGCACCCGGAGUAACUAUAGUCCUCUAUAGGAGCCGUUUUCCUAAGUCUAUAUUCACGCUUAUUUUUACUUACUUUUGAAGAUGGGAGGUUUAUUUAGUUAAGAAUGAGGGGAGAGAAGUUGUAAGACUUUUUAAUUUUAUUUCGGCUUGGAUGAGUUUUGACUCAUUGCCUACGUACCGUUUUACGGGAUCAAAACCGGCGUAGUUCUUGCUAAAAAAAAGACUUGUUUUUCUUUUGUUUUAAUUGUUUGAUUUUAAGUUUUAAAAAAAGGUUUUGAAGAAGGAGAUUGGGAGGCUUCAUGAGCAUUAGAUUUAGCAAAAAAGGUGAGGUUUGAUUAGUGAUUUAGAAAGAAAGUCUAAAUGAUUAAGAUGAAUUGAAUUUUUCUUAAGAAAAAAGAGAAAGGAAAAAAAAAAUGAAGUGUUGACUUCAUACUUAUUAUGAAAAUUUUUGAAGUGAAGUUCAAUUGCUUUUUUUGAAAAAAAGAUGGAUUUUCCCUAAGUGUUCAAACCUAAGCGCUUAUCUAACCAUACAAUCCUAUGCAUACAUCUAAGGUGAGUGUGUGCGUGUCGGUGCGUCAUAGUGUCCAUAGUCCAUAUUACAAAAAUUGCCUAAAUACAUUCUAUGGCCCCUUUGCCAAGCUACAAACCAAUGAUAACAAAUUACAUUACCAAAUGAAUUAAAACUUGCAAAAAAAACAAAUGCUAGGCUAAAAAGUGGAGGGAAUGCUGAGUUUUUAUGGAGAUUCUGUUAGGUUUCUUCGGAAACACUUGGAUUUGGCUUUUGCUUGUUGAUUUCUGGCUUUGAACCGAAAAUAAAUCGGUGAUUCUUCUUUUCUCACUGAUUCCGUUUCUUCAUCUUCUUCGCCGGCUUAAAACCUUGCUUCUUUCCCUUUUCUUCUCCUUUUUCAACGCCUCUGUGAUCGGUGUUGGAGUUCUUCGCCACUGGGGAAGAAUUCUCACCUUGAAUUGCAGAGGGAUCAACUCAGUGAUGAAGAUUCGCCAUUGAAUCUCUGAGAGUUUGAUGCAAAAAUCAAUGAAUUUGUGUAUGAAUUUUGGUUCUGGAAAUUUCUAGGGUUCUUGUGUUCUUGAUGAACUUGAUGAUUUUUCUGUUUCUGAUCUAACUGAAUGGAGAGAGAAAGUCUCAUUGUGUUUGUUGAGUUGGCGUGUGAUUAAUGGCUUUGAAUCUGACUCACUGUUUAUAUAGUUGACAUGUGUACACUUGAGCCAAUGAAAUUGUGACACGUACCCUGGACUUGCUCACUUGGGCGCUGCUUGCUAUUUUAAGGACCAAUCUGCAAAUUGUGAAAAUGACAAGGACUGGACUGCAAAAUUAAAAAAAACUUGAAAUGAAAUAAAUAAUAAAAAAACAGUUUGGACAAAAAUGCAAUUUUGGGACCUCAAUUGAGGGACCAAAAUGCAAUACAAAAUAAAAUUUGAAUAAAAAACGUAAUUUGACCAAACGUAAAGUGAAACAAAAAUAAAAUUGACAAAACGGACUAAAACGAACCAAUGGCCUAAAUGAGGUACUUCAAAGUAACCUCCCCAUGCCAAAAUUUCAUGUGAAAUGACCAAAAUGCCCCUAGGGCUAAAAAUGACCUAAACUGACUCAAACAGACUUGACACUGACUUAGAUGCAAGUUUGAAAUGAAUUUAAACAGGGUUUACUGACGAAAUGUCAAAAAAUGAAUUUGAAAAGACUCGGAGAUAGUCACAAGGAUAAAGAUGGGUCCCACUGCAGGAAAUGACCAAAAUACCCUUCUGUAUGACCUUUUGCAAAUUUUGAAAUAAACUGUAGAAAAAGCAAUGUAAUGAUUCAGAGGCACUUUUGAAUGACUUACAAGACAAGUAAAGACAUUUUGAAAGGUUUUAUGCAAGAAAAACAUAGGUAAAAUUGUGAUUGAAAAUACUGCGAAGCAGAGACAAUUUGAACUGUGCAGUUGAAAUUUGAUAAUUGACAAAGUUUAAAAUGAAAUUGGGCCCAGUAUUUUUAGGUCCAAAAACAGGGUAUAACACAUCCCAUUUAGCAUUCCCUCCACUUUCUUUAGCCUAGCCUUUAUCUUUUGCAAGUUUUAAUUCAUUUGGUAAUGUAAUUUGUUAUCAUUGGUUUGUAGCUUGGCAAAGGGGCCAUAGAAUGUAUUUAGGCAAUUUUUGUAAUAUGGACUAUGGACACUAUGAUGCACCGACACGCACACACUCACCUUAGAUGUAUGCAUAGGAUUGUAUGGUUAAAUAAGCGUUUAGGUUUUAAACACUUAGAGAAAAUCCAUCUUUUUUUCAAAAAAAAAUAAUUGAACUUCACUUCAAAAACUUUCCUAAUAAGUAUGAAGUCAACACUUCAUUUUUUUCCUUUCUUUUUUUCUUAAGAAAAAUUCAAUUCAUCUUAAUCAUUUAGACUUUCUUUCUAAUCACUAAUCAAACCUCACUUUUUGCUAAAUCUAAUGCUCAUGAAGCCUCCCAAUCUCCUUCUUCAAAACCUUUUUUCUCAAAACUUAAAAUUAAACAAUUAGAACAAAAAACAAGUCUUUUUAGCAAGAACUACGCCGGUUUUGAUCCCGUAAAACGGUACGUAGGCAAUGAGUCAAAACUCAUCCAAGCCGAAAUAAAAUCCAAUUCUACUUCUUCUCACCCCCAUUCUUCACUAAUCAUACUUUCUUUUUUACAAAUAAGCAAUAAAACUAAAGCGUAGAAAUAAACUUAGGAAAGCGGUUCUUAUGGAGUACCAUAAUCGCUCCGGGUGCCUAACACCUUCCCGUAGCGAAAACGACCCCCGAACUUAGAAUCUAAGGGUUUUUCUCAAUUUUGCCCUUCCCAAGAAAAAAUAGAGAAUAUCAACGGUCAAAAGGUUCAAGUCCAAUUAAUGGCUUGGCACCCAAAAACCAUGAUAACAAUAAGAAACUGAAAUAGUGUAUUUUGUUUAUAACCCUCCGUCCCAUAAAAACCGAGCCAUUUGCAAAAAAAUAUUGUCUCAGAAAAAUUGACUCAUUUCACUUUUCAAUACAAUAUUAAUUACUUUUUUUUUCCUUUCAAUUAUAACACUAAUUAAUAUUACUUUCACCACUCCCAAUUUAAUAUAUUCUAAUUUGCAUUUAUGAUAAAGAAGAAUGCACCAAUAGUUACUCAAAACCAUUUUUCUCUCUCUUUUUACUUAUACAUAUUUUCUUAAUAAGUGUGAAAUGAGCUAAGAGCUGAGCUCGAGCUCAGUUAAAAUGGGACGGAGGAGGAAUGUAAUUCAAAGUAACUCAAUUUUAUGCUAUUUAUUUAUUUAUGCUGAAGCCUCAUUAUAAUAGUAUAUAGUGAUAUGUGUGAGAAGCAUAGGAAAAGUACAUAUGGUGAUGAAUGAUGGAACAAGCUUAAAGUCAUAAUUAUUAUUGUUCAAUCAUAAAUAGAUGGUCCCCCAAUUAGAAAAGUAUUUAUGAUCCCCCAUUUUAAAAUGACCCUCGUCCUUUUUUAGAAUUUUAAUCUUAAUAAUGGUGAUAUAUCAUAAUUAAAUGGAUGCAUUUAGGAAGUUUAUAAAUAAUUUUAUAGGUAUUGAUGAUUUUACAUUAUCGGAUCGUAUGACACAUCAUUUAAAAUAUGUCAUGUUAUAGUUUUUUAGUUUAAAAAUAUGAAGAAAAAGAUAUGUCACGUCAGUACUUUUGAGUCCAAAAAUAUAAAAAUAGGCCAAAACGAAUUAUUCUAAAAUUUGGGACAAAUUUCAUGAAAAUAAAGACCUAGAGUGUAGUUAAGACUUAUAACUAUUUUAAACAUUCCUUAAAAAAACUAAUCUAUAAAAUGACAUACGAUUAAUUAUAAAUAUGAUUGACAUAUACUCUAAAAAAGGAAAUGUUUGCAUAUGGUAUUUUAAACACCGUUCUCGUGAACUUAACUCAAUUGAUACGGACAAUGCUUAAUAUGUGCAAGGUCUAGGGUUUUAACCUUGAUCACAAAAAAAACACCAAUAUUUUUUUUCGGGGAUAUUAAACACCAAUAUUCUUUGGAUACUUCUACCCUAAUAUCCAUUACUAAAGUAUUUUAAAUUAUUUAUUUAAUUUUUGUGUGGCUUUUGAUGGUCUAAUCCUAAUUUGUAGAGCAACAUGCAAAUAAUUGGACUAUAAAAGUUACGUGCACAAUUUUUCAUCAAGAAUUUUUUGGCAGCACGCAUUGAAAAUUUGUGUCUCAUUAAGAAUUUGUUAGCACUACGCAUGCAUAUUCUUUUGGGCCUGUCAUCCUGUGUAUUUUCAUUUUCAACAGUAAUUUGUCGGCACUACUAAGCAUCUAUAUCUAUCUUUGUUUUGAAACAGCAAAACUUAUAAAAAAAUCCACUCUUUAGACAAAAACGAACAAAUACCGACAAUUCAAAAACUACAAAAUAAAACGUCAUAUGUAGGCAGAACACAAAAAAAACACCAUAACAUAUCUCACCUCACCAAACAAAAACCUACGUUCAACCGCCAUAAGAAAACAAUCACCAAACCCAACUUCAUCACUCAAACCAAACUCCAUCGCAAACGACCACUGAAAACAAAAUCCAUAAACAUCCAUCGUCCGCUACUCACCCCAAUACCUCCAAAAACCAUCUUAAACAUCAUCAUCUUCUCAUCACCAUAACCUAGCCCAAUUUAACACCCGAAAAGUCCUAUUCCAACUCUCCUUCGGGUUCUACCACCCCUCAUCCCCUGGUCCACCAAAGAAAACAUCAUAAAUAUCCCAAAAUAAACUUGACUCACCGUAUAUUUAUAUCUAUAUCUAUAUCUAUAUCUAUCUAUAUAUCAAUUAAUUCAGGCUCUCAAGUUAUAUCUAUUAAUUUAGGCUCUCAAGUUAACCUCUUCACAACUCACCAUGUUAUAUAUAUCAUAUAGUCUAAUUUUGGCCACAUCAAAUAAAUUCUAAUGUGACAUCUUCCAAAACACACCAUUCCUUAUUCUCUCGUUGCCUUGCUUCAUAAUUUAUGUAUUAUUACAUCUCAUUCCCUUACGAAUUCACAAUUAAAUGACGUUUACUACAUGUCAUAACUCUCAUGUAAUAACGUCAAAUAAGAUGCAUGACCUUAAAUGUCAAAUCAUUAUUAUUAUUAUUAUGAGAGAAGAAGUGAAUGAAUAAUAUUCUCAUUAUUGAUCAAAUGAUAGAGGUUACAACUUAUAUAGUCAUGGUCUAGGAAUACAGUAAUACAAUAGUGGUAACAUCGAAUAUAAAAACUAAGAUAGCUAACUCUACUUGAUAAUAACUCUCAUGUAAUGUCAAAUAAGGUGCAUAACCUUACAUGUCAAAUCAUUAUCAAAUUUAUUACGAAAUUAAUCAAGAACCAAACCUUGAUCCAACAUGGAACUCAAUCAACAAUCAACCCACUUAUUUUGUCGUUAACAUGUUUGUAUGUUUUUUUCUUUUGUUCUCUUUGUAUCAUUUGAUUAUUACUUUAUUGUUUAGAUUCUUUAGAUUGAAUGUGUUUUUUCCUUCAUCUCCUAUGCAAUUAAUAUAUGGACAUGUUUUAAUUCGGUAAUAACGGUGUGCUCAUCAAAUUGGCAAAAUGUUUCCACAUAAAAAAAAAUAAAAAAAUAAAAAAUGUAGCGGUUCAUGUCUAAUAUGAAUCCGGUUAAUAAAAUAAUAUUUUUUUCUCUCCAAUUUUUGCUAAACAUAGGACACCAUUGUUAUUUUUUGCAUGUUAUUUUUUAAGCGACACGUUUUAUAGAUUUUUUUUAGGGAACAUUGUAUGGAAUUUUAGGAAAUGGAUCUCGCCAACUUAAUUUUUUUGUCAGGUUGUCUAGUGGUUCGAGUUCACACAUAUUAGAGAUAUAUAGUUUAGUUACAAGUAGUACUAGUCCUGGUAGUAUAUAUAGUUGUAACCACCUCAUAAGUGGGAUACUUUUCACUCAUUAGUAAUAUUUCAUUUCUAUCAAUACAAAGAGUUUGUUAGAUUUUGCUCCUUCGAUCUAUGGAUGCCAUGUUUCCUAACAACACAUUUUAAAUGUGGUGAAAUAGAGUAUCCGAGUUUAAACCCUAACCCCUACAUAUAUUAUGCGAUGUCCUUAUCAAUUAAGCUAUGUUCACCGGAAUAUUUCUUUCUGUUUUCACAUCUCAACCAUCAUAUAACCUCUCUCUCAAAUUCCAAUAUCAAUGUCAUCUCCUCUUUAUAAUUUAAUGGUCUAGAUUCCCACACUAAUUCUUCAACUUCUUUUUUACCAUGUAUCAUUUUUGUCACAUCACUUAUUUUUCAACAUGCAAGACUUUAUUCCAUUUUGCAUAUCCUACACUCCAUGUUUGUAAUUGCAGACGAUCUAAUUUCUCAUAAAUGAUCUCAACCUAGGAUCAUGGAUAUGGUCAAUAUCAUGGAUACCGCUAGAAAAUUCAUUUGUAGACCACAAAUGAAUUUUCUAACGGUAACCACAAAUGGAUUUAUGGUUAUAUAUAUAUAUAUAUAUAUAUAUAUAUGCGCGCACGCUGGGGGCCAUGAGUGAGAUGAGAACUGAGGGAGAAGGAUCCACAUAUGCAAUGGUUGCUAGUGAAAAUCCUUCCUUAUCUUAGUUUCAAAGGAUUUAUUCCAUUGCAUCUAUAUAGAAAAAGAGAAAAACUAAAAAUGUGUAGUUCUGUUAUUGAUCAAACAAAUAGCUAACUAAAACUAUAUUAACUAUACCCUCUAGAUGCAGACAAAUAGAAUGCUCAUAUACAUAUUCCCACCAAUAUUCUUCACUUCAAAUGAAUAUAACUAAAUGUGUCGGGGUCGUUUAGGUUUCAAAUAUCAACAUGUGUCGGACACUAAACACACAUCAAUUUGAAGUGUCAAUGCUACACACUUUAAAACCUUUGACCUAAGCAAGCUUACCAUGUCUAUUUUACAUUAAAACUGUUUUCCAUGCUAGAGUAAAACAUUUACUUAUGAUUUGUAUUUAAUUAGUUAGUUAUUCCUAACAAAACUAUAAAUCUUGUAGAAUAGAGAAGGAUGUUAGUUUAAACCUGUACACACGGCAAAAUGAUUGUUUUGCCUUAAUUUAUCCUUCACAUGAGAAUGGAAUUCAAGAUACUGUGGAAAAAACCUAACUCACCCAACUGCAAUUAUUCAAAGCUAUAAAAUUCAACUAAUAAAGAUUUAAAUACAUGCCAUAUAACUAUCUAAUUCAAUCCAUUUAAUAUUAGCAAUAACCACUAUUUUAUUUUAAGAAUUCUUGCACAAGAUAUGUUCAAUUCCAUCAUCAUAAACUGAUUACUUAUUAGCAUCAUCUCUUAAAUUCAAUGUAAUACUAAAUUGCAUAAAAAAAAGUCACUUAGGUUUGAUUUUGUUUAAGCAAAACCUCCUUAAUCACUUUUUCCAAAUUCAUGUAUGAACAACCACCAGGUCUCGUGUCCUCCUCCGCCUUCGUCUUCAUCUCAAUUAUCUUUUUCCACAUCUUCUUUCCUUUCUCCCCCUCCAUCAAUUCAUUGACCAAAUUCUCUACCUCAUCUCUCUUCACAUUGGUGUCAAUUUCCAUGCCAAUCUCCCAUGUAUUGCAAAUAUAUCUGCAGUUUGCUGGCUGAUCAGCAAAAAAUGGCCAACACAACAUUGGAACUCCAGCAGAUAUGCUUUCAGUGGUUGAGUUCCAUCCACAAUGAGUCAAGAAUCCACCAAUUGAAGGAUGGUUUAAUACUUGCUCUUGCGGGCACCAGCCCGCGAUUAGGCCUCUAUCUGAAAUUUCAUUGACAAACUCCGAUGACAAAACAACUGAGCCACCGAUGACAAGAUCGGGCCUAAUGAUCCACAAAAAGGGUUGCUUGCUAUUUGCUAAACCCCAUGCAAACUCUAACAGUUUUUCUGCCGUCAUAACUGUCAUGCUCCCAAAAUUCACAUAAACAACGGACCUCGGUUCCUUGGAUUCAAGCCAACCAAGACACUUGUUAUCUUCUUUCCAAAGAUUGGUACUUAAACUUGCCAAGUGAUUAUGUGGACUUUGACUUAAAAGUGAAGAUAAAGGGCCGAUACCACAAAUAUUUGGGAACGUCGAGGAGAGAACAUUCAUUACAUCCUUCUCAAGUUCACUAGAAGUAUUAAAAAUAAAAGCAGACGCUUUGUGAGCCCUUCCUGCUGCUUCAACGAUAAAUUCUACCAUCGAAUCAUUUGUAUCUGUAAUCCUUAUAAAGUCAGGCAGAUCCUUCAGUCGAAAGUUCUGCAAUCCUGGAAUACAAUCCACUUUAGUGUCCAAAUAUCCGUUUGUCAGAUAACUCUCAUCUACAUGUCAAAUUUAUAAAAGUUGUUAGCUGGAAAUAAAAUCUCCAUACUCCUAAUACAUGUCAUUUGAUUUUGAACACUUUAACUAUUCUACAUAUAUGAAGAAAGCAAGAAGAUUAAUUGUUACCUUUUAGUGGUAUGAGACCUUUAUCCAACAAUGUACUAAAAUGAAUAAAAGUCAAAAAUGUACAUGCAUUGGAUGGACUAAAGAAAACAGAAGGGAUUGAAAGUUCUUCAGAAGCUUGUAUGGUAAAAGACAUGCCAAUAUCAGAAACUAUGCAAGUAACUGGAGGGACAAGACCAGAUGUUGCAGAGUCAUUUAGUCUAGCAAGAAGUUCGCGGAAAGGUUGUAGGAAGUUCUUUCUGAUUGAUUUACAAAGAGCGUAAAUGUCUUGACUAACAUCGCCAUCACCAUCCGUUGGAGUUAAACCAUCCGGAAUAGUCUCAAAGCUAAAAUCAGUGAAACCAUCAAAGGCAUUUGGACCUCUUGACUUGAGCAACCGUUUGUGGUUGUAUUCAGUGUUUACAUAGGUUAUGUGAAAUCCUCUAAGGUGAAGAAGUUUUGCUAGUUUCAACAAUGGAUUGAUAUGGCCUUGAACUGGAUAUGGAAUUAACACAGCAUGUGGUUUUUUAUCACUCAUUUUUGAGUUUUUGUGUUUGAAUGUUGAGCUAAGGGAAGCCAAUGGUUUAAUAAAGAUAAAGCCAAUGUUUCUUGGAUUUGUGUAAAAGAAGAUAAGAGACAAAAGUCAAGGAAAGCAAACUCAAAUUCUAAGUAAUAUGUAACACAAUAAUUGAUACAUACUUAUCAAGUCACCACUUUUUGUUAUAGAAGGAAAACAAUUUUUCAUUAAAAAGUUUAUUGAACAAACUUAAGCAUGCCUUUUGGUUUGCGGUGGCGAGAAUUGAUUUGAAUGAAUUUGUUUGAUAAAAUUAGUAUCAGGUUAAAAGUGCGUUGAAUAUAAAAUAAUUUGUGUUUAUAUAAAUUUACGUAAAAUUGAUUUGAACUAUAAAUUGAAGACUAAAAAUCGAUUAUAAAAACAAAAUUUUGAUAUCUUAACUUUAAAUUACGAGCAAUUUGGAGACAAAAUCAAUUCUAUUUAAUUUGAGAACACAUAACCAUAGGGUCUGACUAGGCUUAUCUAAGAUCCCUAAUGUAACCAACUUGCAUCUAAUCAUAACUAACUUAUAACUAUCUUGAAAAAUAUCAAACUAAUUUUAACAAAUCUGAAACUAUAUCUAACACAUACUUGCAUGGAAUUGCAACCAUUCAGUAGAAAGAUAUUAUCAAACAAAAUCUUCAUAUGCUUUAGUCAAAAAAAAGGAAAAUCUUCAUAUGCUUGUGGACCAACUGAUCCAUACGUUUCAGUUUCAAAAUUGAACUAGAUGACACUUUUAUUCAAGUAAGUGUAAGAUAGUUCUGACAUCAAAGAUUUUUGUUGUACAAAGAAAAUAAUCAUGACCACUUAUUUAUUUUAUAAUAGUCUAUUGGCUAUUAUUUUCCAUGCUUGAAUCAGUCAGACAUUGGACAUCACAAAAAAAAAUUGUCCUUUUCAACAAAGGCUCAAGAUUAUCUCCAAAGUCACAAUUGCAUAAAAGCCAAAUUUACUUUUAUUGUGCAGAGAAAAGUGGAUGUAUAUUAUCAACACUGCCUUCCAUAAGGGCUUCGUGUCCUCUAAUUUUUUUUUUUACUAGUCUUUGUUAUGUCCUUUAUCAUGUCUAUGAGGUAUCAACUCAAUGGUAAGAGUUUGAGCUUUUAACCUCAAGGGAAAAAGUACAAUUCCCCUUAAUAACAGUGGUAAAAAUGCUCAUUGUUGUAACUUUAAUUAAUAAACCCUUAUAUUGACUAAUAGGAAUGUUAAAAUAUUUCUUGAAAUCUCAUGUUGAAAGUUUGUUCUUCUUUUCGGUUUGAUUAGUGUUCCCAUGCACUAGGCGCAGUUGUUUGUUGUUUUCAGCUUGUUGUAAUUUGUAGCUUGCGCAAGGCGAAGGAUAUAGCUGACUGAGGCGCAGGUGUGCAUCAAGAUCUAUAGAUAAGCAGGUUUUGCAUCAGUUUUCAGGGUAAAAAAGUGGGAAUUCUAAGGUAACAAAAGAGGGAAUUUGUAGGGUUAAAAGUUCACAUAUAUAGAUAAGAAUUUGUAGGGGACAUUGAUGAUUUCACACAAUUUGCAUUUGCAUCAUCGGUGAAUGUUUUUGAAUGUUCAUAGAGGAAAGAAACUUUGAAUUCAAAUGCUUUCAAAUCAAUCUAUGCAACAAGAAGCUGACAAAGUAGUGCAGAGAAAUUUUAUAAACGAGCUAAAGAAGAAUAUAAAUUUAAUAUUAUUAUGAUUUUGAAGUAUUGUCUUACUUCGAAGUAUGAACAGCAAUGUACCAUACUUAAGAACAUAGCAAGACCUAAAAUACAAAUGAUUUGUUCCUAACAAAACUAUAUAUAUUGUAUAAAAGUAACUUAUGUUUGAUUUUGUUUAAGCAACACCUCCUUAAUCACUUUCUCCAAGUUCAUGUAUGAACAACCUCCAGGUCUCGUGUACACCUCCGCCUUUUUCUUCAGCUCCAUGGCCUUUUGCCUCAUCUUCUUUCCUUUAUCUCAGGACAUCAAUUCAUUGACCAGUUUCUCCACGUCCUCCCUCUUUACAUUUGUAUCAAUUUCGUUUCCAAUCUUCCAUUCAUUGCAAAUAUAUCUUCAGUUUGCUGGCUGAUCUGCAAAAAAUGGCCAACACAACAUUGGAACUCCAGCACAUAUGCUUUCAGUGGUUGAGUUCCAUCCGCAAUGAGUCAAGAAUCCACCGACUGAUGGGUGGUUCAAUACUUUCUCUUGUGGACACCAACUUGCUAUUAGUCCUCUAUCUGAAAUUUCUUUCAAAAAUCAGAUGAGAAAACCACCGAGCCACCAAUGACAAGAUCAGGCCUAAUGAUCCAUAAAAAUGGUUUCUUGCUGUUGGCCAAACCCCAAGCAAACUCUAAGGCUUCUCUUGAGACUUAACAGUGAUGCUGCCAAAAUUUACAUAAACAACAGAUCCUGGUUCUUUUGAUUCAAGCCAUUCAAGACAUUUAGUAUCUUCUUUCCAAAGAUUACAGUCUAAAGAUGUCAAGUGAUUUUGUGGACUUUGAUUUACAAAAGAAGCUAAUGGACCAAUUGUGUAUAGAGAAGGGAACAUAGAAUAGAAAGCAUUCAUAACAUCACUCUCAAGUUCAUUAGAAGUAUUGAAUACCAUACCAGAAGCUCUAAGACAUUUAUCUGCCACUUCAGUGUUAAAUCUUAUCGUCAAGUCAUUAGGAUUUUUUGUCUUUAUUAACCUAGGAAGAUCCUUCAAUCUGAAGUUUUUCAAACCUGGGAUCCAGUCAACUUUCGUGUCCAGAUAUUCAUUUGUUAGAUCACUCUCAUCUGCAUGUCAUAAUUGCAAAAAUCAAUAGCUUAAAGUCAUAUGUAUAAAUAUAUAUCAUGGUUUAAAAUCACAUUAACAAUAAUAAUUUUGCCUGUGCUAUCAUAUUGAUAUUGCAUAUAAUCCCAAUCAAAUCUGGCUGAUGAAACCUCAAUUGUGAUUAUAGAGACAUCGCAACCUUGAUGUUCGGCCCAUAUUGUGACCGCAAAGCUUUUUUAAAAACCAUAACAUACACACAAAAACACACACAGAUCUCCUAAAAAGAAAAAGGGAACAGAAAUGAUUACCUUUGAAUGGUAGUUGACUAUUCUGAUACAUUUUAGGACUGAGCAAACAAGCCAAGAAAUAACAUGCUCUACUUGGGGAAAAAAGAACAACUGGGAGUGCAUGUUCUUCAGCAGCAGCUACUGUAAAUGGCAUGUAGCAAUCAGAAACUAAGCAAGUGACUGGGGGGAUAAGACCAGCAGUGGCAGAGUCUUGAAGUUUAGCAAGAAGUUCAUCAAAGAAGUGGUGAAAGUUCGUUAUGAUUGAUUCACCAAGAGAGUGUAGGUCUUGACUAAUAUCACCAUCACCAUCCUUUGGAGUUAAACCAUCUGGUAUAGUCUCAAAGUUAAAGUCAGUGAAACCAUCAAAGGCAUUUUCACCUCUUGAUUUAGCAAACGUUUGUGAUUGUAUUCAGUGUUAACAAAGGUUUAUGUGAAAGCCUCUUAGGUGAAGCAGUUUUGCUAUUUUCAACAAUGCAUUGAUAUGACCUUGAACUGGAAAUGGAGUUAAUUAACACUGCAUGUGGCCUUUUCUCUUCAAAGUUGGUCAUGUUUGAUAUUUUUCUUAUGUAAGAAAACAGAGAAAAAACUGAGGUGAAAAAUCUAUGAGGCCUCUAUAACAAUGAGUAAGUUUUGUUACAUAUCUAUUAUCUAUUAUAUAGUAUAAAAAAAUUCUUAAGAAUAGAAAAACCAUUUUUUUUUAAUAAUUCAAUUACUGUCUAAUUCAUGUUUAUCUAAUUUUUAGUAUUUUAAUAAUUGAGAAGAUAAUAAUAUUUUUUUUAAUGUUGACGUUCCGAUUUUUAGAGAAAAUGGGUUCUGAUAAUUUGGAGUUCGGUCGUGAGGUAAACAUCACCUUACCAAGAAUUGAGAAGAGAAUAAAAUAAAAUAUAAUAACAUGAAUCUAACUGAAAAAUGAGGAGAUUGAAACUCCGAAAGCAACGUCUGCAUGUUGAAAGGAGACCACUUUCUAUACACACACAAUGGUGUUCAGACGGGUACAGACUUGCCAAUCUAUUUAUUAUGACCAACUAAACAAACAUACGAUUUUUAAACGUUAUCUAUGCGGACAGACUCUGGACCAUUGUUCAAGUCACAUGACUUUUAAACGUUAUCAAUUUGGUGCGCUUUUAAUCGAUUUUGAGGCUAAAAGACAUCCCAAUCGUAAGAUAAAAGAGUAUUUAGUUUGGUUUGGUUCAGUUGAUUUUUAAAAUAAAAUUUAAACCAAACCAAACCAAUAUGAUUUGAGUUGUAUUGGUUGAUGCGGUUUUUUUGAGACAAUACAAUUUUUUGUUUCCAACAUUAAAAUCGAGUUAAAAAGCUAUAACACAACAUAUUUUCAAUAAUGUUUGAAACAAUGUUUUCAAUUUCAUCCAACAUUACAAUUUUAUUUUCACAAAACAAAAUAGACGAAAUUUAAAAUGUGGACAAAAAGUAAUCCUAUUAUUUAAUAAAUGUAAAAGAUUAAGAUUUAUUAUUCUUAAAAUUUUAUUUUAUAAUUUUUUUAAUUUUUGAAAUAGAAAGCAAAGAAGAAACUUAACGUACAAGGGAAAAAAAUAUGCCGUUUUAUAAAAGUUUUUAUUGAGUUUCUAUGAGUAUUGGUGUAGGUGACAUAGGUUUAAUUUGGUUAGGUGACAUAGUUUCUAUGAGUAUGUCGUUUUACAAAAUAGUUUUUUUGCAUUUUUUGGUAUAUAAGAAGAAACAUAAACUAGUAUACAUAUGAUUUUUUGACAAAAUGGAUCCUUCACAUGAUAAUGGAAUUCAAGAUACUGUGAAAGAAUUCUUAUUCACCCAACUUAACAUAUUUAAACUUGUAGGAUUUAUAUUAUAAAGUUAAUAUACAUGCCAUAUAAUUAUCCAAUAUGCAUAUAUUCAAAACACUUAAAAUUAGCAAGAAUCACUAUUUAAGUUCAGGAACUCUUGCUGAAGAUGACUUCACUUACAUCAGAACUUAAAUUCAAUAGGGGAAGAUCAAUUAAUUAUCGUUGAACUGAAUUGCAUAAAAAAGUUACUUAAAUUGAUUUUGUUUAAGCAAAACCUCCUUGAUCACUUUGUCCAAGUUCAUGUAUGAACAACCUCCAGCUCUCGUGUUUUCCUCCACUUUCUUCUUCAACUCAAUUGCCUUUUGCCGCAUCUUCUUUCCUUUCUCUCCUGACAUCAAUUCAUUGACAAGUUUCUCCACCUCUUCUCUCUUUACAUUCGUAUCGAUUUCCAUCCCAAUCUCCCAUUCAUUGUAAAUAAGUCUACAGUUUGUUGGCUGAUCACCAAAGAAUGGCCAACACAACAUUGGAACUCCAGCACAUAUGCUUUCAGUGGUUGAGUUCCAUCCGCAAUGAGUCAAGAAUCCGCCAAUUGAAGGGUGGUUCAAUACUUUCUCCUGUGGACACCAACUUGCAAUUAAGCCUCUAUCUGAAAUUUCAUUCACAAACUCAGAUGACAAAACGACUGAGCCACCAAUGACAAGGUCAGGCCUAAUGAUCCACAAAAAGGGUUUAUUGCAAUUGGCCAACCCCCAAGCAAAUUCCAACAGUUGUUUUGGUGUCAUAACUGUAAUGCUUCCAAAAUUCACAUAAACAACGGAUCCCGGCUCCUUGGAUUCAAGCCAUUCAAGACACUUAGUAUCUUCUUUCCAAAGGUUGGAACCUAAAGAAUCCAAUUGAUGAAUUUGUGGAGUUUGGUUUAAUAAUGAAGGUAAAGGGCCAAUGGGGUAAAGAGAAGGAAACAUAGAGGAGAGAGCAUUUAUUACAUCACUCUAAAGUUCAUGGAAAGUAUUCAAAACAAUUGUAGAGUCUCCAAGAACUUUAUCAGCCGCAUCAAUUACAAAGUCUAACAUAAUAUCAUUUGGAUCUGUUGUCCUGAUACUGUCAAAGAUAUCCUUUAACCGAAAGUUUUUCAAACCUGGAAUCCAAUCUACAUUAGUUUCCAAAUAUCCAUUUGUUAGAUAGCUCUGAUCUGCAUAUCAAAUGUAUCAGUUAAUAUCUUGAAGGUUAUACAUACAUCCGUACAUACAUGAGUAUUUUGUUUUCGACAAAAACAUACAUAUAUAAUAAGGUAUUAUAAAUUGAAUAAAAGUCAUUUAUUGAUGUAUAAAUUUUAAUUUUGAAGUUUUAUGAAAUUUGUGGAGUUCCUCUAUUCAAUAAGAGUUUUUAAUUUGAUGGUUGCUUUAUUGAAAUUUAGUGUCUACAUUGAGUUUUAUAUUAACUGAAACUAUAUCAAGUGUUACUCUUGGAGUAAGUUGAUUAUCUCGCACACGACCAUUUAUAUAGAUUUAAUUCAUAUAUAGAGUCAAAGUAAAAGUUUUUUACACCGUCAAUAAAUCAUAAGUGUCAGAAUAGUGUAGCAAAAUUAAUAUUAAUCUCUCUAUAAAUAUAUACUUUAUGAAGAAAAAAACUUAACUUAGUACCUUUGAGUGGCGUGAGACCUUUUUCUACAAAGGAACGUAAGUGGUGAAUACUCAGUAACAAACUUGCACUGGAUGGAAAGAAGAUAACAAUUGGUAGUGCAAAUUCUUCAGCAGCUUGUAUAGUAAAGCUCAUAAAAUAAUCAGAAACUAAGCAAGUAACUGGUGGAACAUUGGCAGAGUCAUUAAGUCUUGUAAGAAGUUCACAAAAAGGUUUAAGGAAAUUUUUUCUUAUAGAUUGAGCAAGAGAAGGUACAUCUUGACUAACAUCACCAUCACCUUCUAUCGGUGUUAGACCAUCUGGUAUGGUUUCAAAGCAAAAACCACGGGAACCAUCUAAGGCAUUUGGACCUCUUGAUUUUAGCAAUCGUUUAUGAUUGUAUUCAGUGUUGACAAAGGUUAUAUGAAAUCCUCUAAGGUGAAGAAGUUUUGCAAGUUUGAACAAUGGAUUUAUAUGUCCUUGAAAUGGAGCUGGAAUCAACACAGCAUGUGGUUUUCUGUUUGCAAAACUUCCCAUCUUUGAAAUUUUUCUGUUUGUAUGUUAUUUGUGCAAGAUAUGAGGUUGAAAAACAAGUGAUAGGCAUGUGCUUUUAUAGAGAGAAAAAAGGACAAUGCUACAAAAUUGAAAAAUAUAAAGAAAUCCAAACAGAUAAAUUCUGGGAGGUUCUAACAAAAGGAAAUAAGUUCAUUGUAUGAAAAGACAGACACAUAAAAAGACACCAAAAAUGACACUGACACGUUAACGUCAAUGAUAAUUUGAGAAAUAAAUUAAUUCAAUGUAAUUACAAUGUGUCUGACAUAAAAUUGAAAUCUUAUACAGGUAUGUUCUUGUAAACUUUCCUAUAUGACUCAUUAUAUUGAUUGAAUAUGUUUGUUGGUAUUUGGUUUAACCAAUCAAUGUGGCAUUAACAAUUCAACUGUUACUUGUUACUUAGAUGUCGUUUGAGAUUUAUUUGGGAAUUGAUAAAAUAGAAAAGUUGAGAAAAACUUUAUAUUGUGAUCCUAAAAUCACUAAUAUAACCAAAUUGAAUCUAACCAUAUCUAACUAUCUUCCAAAAUAUUAAACUAAUUUUAACAAAUCUGAAACUACAUCUAACACAUACUUGCAUGGAAUUGCAACCAUUCAGUAGAAAGAUAUUAUCAAACAAAAUCUUCAUAUGCUUGUGGACCAACUCUAUACGUUUCAGUUUCAAAAUUGAACUAGAAGGCACUUCUAUUCAAGUAAGUAUAAGAUAGUUCUGACAUCAAAGAUUUUUGUUGUACAAAGAAAAUAAUUAUGUCCACUUAUUUAUUUUAUAAUAGUCUAUUGGCUAUUAUUUUCCAUGCUUGAAUCAGUCAGACAUUAGACAUCACAAAAAAAAUAUUAGUCCCUUUCAACAAGGGCUCAUGAUUAUCUCCAAAAGUUACAAUUGCAUAAAAGUCAAAUUCACUUUUAUUGUGCAGAAUAGUGACUAGUGGAUAUGUUGUCUUCAUUAUCAAUGGUACCUUCCAUAAGGGCUUUGUGUCCUCUAAUUUUUUUACUAGUCUUUAUUUAUGCAUGUAUUAUAAUCCUUUAUCAUGUCUAUGAGAUAUGGGCUCAAUGGUAAAAAUUUCAGCCAGUAAUCUCAAAGGACAAAGUUCAAACUCCCUUGAUAACAGUGGUAAAAUGGUCAUUGUUGUAACUUUAAUUAAUAAUUCUUAUUUUCACUAAUAAGAAUGUUAAAAUAUGUCUUGAAAUCUCAUGUUAAAAGUUUUUUUUCUUUUCGGUUUGAUUAUUGUCCCCAUGCGCUGGGCGAAGCUGUUUGCUGUUUUCAUCAUGUUGCUAUUUUGUUGCUUGGAUGAGGCGAUAUAGCUAAAUGAGUCAUAGGUGUGCGUCAAGAUCUAUAGAUAAGCAAUUUUUGCAUCAGUUUUCAGGGUGAAAAUGUGUGAAUUUUAGGGUUACAAAAGAGGGAAUUUUUAGGGUUAAAAGUUGAGAGCUUUUGGAAAAAUUAUAGGAUUAGGAAACAUUUUUGUACAUCUUGGAAAUAAAGCAUCGAGUCUUUUGUCCAUCGGAAGAGAAUUGGGAAAAUUGUAACCCUUGUAUUUCUUUGUAAGAAACUCUUUGUUAGUGGUAAGCCAGAUUUGGGUCGAACUGGAUAACUUUGUUUUGGUUGUUGCUAAUAUUUCUCCACACUUCAAAGUAUUGAUGUGAGUUUUUACAAAUUCACAACAACUGGAACCCACCGUGGGAGAAAUAAGAGGUAACUUUUUCAAGUGUGCAACAUGGGUACCAACUGGGAUAUCAAUAAAUUUAUCGGAGACAACGAUUUGGGGCUGUGAAAAGUGAAGAUGAAAGAUGUGUUGAUUCAACAAAAGUUUGCAGAAGCACUGAAGGAUGAGGUUGCUCUCCCAGCUACCAUGUUACAAGCAAACAAGACCGAGAUGGUGGACAAGGCCAUGAGUGUCAUUGUCUUGUGCCACACUGAUAAAGGUUUUAGAGAAAUCGUAAAGGAGCAAUUGACGAGUCCUACAAAAUCCUUGAUGAUUUGACAACUAUUAAAGUGGAUAUUGAGGAUGAAGACACGGAUAUACUCUUAUUAUUAUGAGCAUUAGCUAGAUCCUUUGAGAACUUCAAGGAUACUAUGCUUUAUGGUAAAGAAGUCAUUGUCACUUCGAGGAAGUCCAAGAGGCACAUAACCAAGUCCAAGAACUUGAAAGUUGAUGAUAGUGGUGAAGACAUGAGUGUCUAAAGAGGAAGACGUAUAAGUUGAUGAAAUCGAGGAAGCUCAAUUGAUGGUGCAAGUUGAAGUACAAAUACUCCAAGUGUCAAACGACCGGUCACUUCAAUAAGGACAUUCCCAAGUUAGAGGACAUUAAUGAUUCCGCACAAUUUGCAUUUGCAACAUCAGUGAAUGUUUUUGAAUGUUCACGGAAAGAACCUUUAAUUUCAAAUCAAUCUAUGCAACAAGAAGCUGAUAGUGUAGUGCAGAGAAGUAUGCUUUUGAAGUAUGAUUUCCAAGACAUCCUUAAUCACUUUGUCCAAGUUCAUGUAUGAAGAAUCACCAGGUCUUGUGUCCUUCUCUGCCUUCUUCUUCUUCAACUCCACGGCCUUUUGCCUCAUCUUUUUUCCUUUCUGUCCCACCAUUAAUUCAUUCAUCAGCUUCUCCACCUCCUCUCUCUUCACAUUUGUAUCAAUUUCGAUUCCGAUCUCCAACUUAUUACAAAUAUAUCUGCAGUAUGUUGGCUGCUCAGAAAAAAAAGGCCAACAUAACAUUGGUACUCUGGCACAAAUGCUUUCCAAUGUGGAGUUCCAUCCACAAUGAGUCAAGAAUCGUCCAACUGAAGGGUGGUUCAACACUUGCUCUUGCGGACACCAGCUUGCUAUUUGGCCUCUAUCCGAAGUUCCAUUCACAAACUCGGAUGACAAAAUAACUGAGCCACCAAUGACAAGCUAAGGCCUAAUGAUCCACAAAAAAGGUUUCUUGCUGUUGGCAAAACCUCAAGAGAACUCUAACUGCUCUGGAGUCAUAACCAUAGUGCUUCCAAAAUUCACAUAAACUACAGAACCUUGUUCCUUAGAUUCAAGACAUUUCAUAUCUUCUUUCCAAAGAUUGGAACCUAAAGAAGCCAAGUGCUUUUGGGGAUUUUGAUUCAAAAACGAAGAUAAAGGGCCAAUGGCGUAAAUAGAAGGGAUCUUAAUAGAUAGAGCCUUUACUACAUCACUCUCAAGUUCAUUAUAAGUAUUGAAAACAAUAGCGUUAGCUUCAUGAACCAUAUCGUCCGCUUCAAUGAUAAAAUUUAUCAUUAGGAUCAGUAGUUCUUAUAAAAUCAAGCAGGUCCUUUAGUCUAAUGUUUCGCAAACCUGGAAUCCAGUCAACUUUAGUGACCAAAUAUCCAUUUGUCAGAUAACUCAUCUGCAUAUUAUAAUCACAAAAUCCAUUAGCUUAAAGUUAAAACUCUGAACCCCUAAUAUAUAUCAUAUUAAUUCUAAUACUACAUUCUAUGUUGUAUACAUACUCUCAGUUUCUCCAAAGGAAGAACUUCCAUAGUAAAACUAAACUAUAGUAAUGAAACUCUUCACUUCUGCAUAAUAGUCCUACACUAUCGAUAAAGAAAGAACAUAAAUGAUUACCUUUGAGGGGUAUGACACCUUUAUCAAUAAAUGUACGAAAGAGCAAAGCACACAAAAGUGAGGAUGCACUAGCAGGAAUAAUUCAAUAUCAGAAACUAAGCAACUAACAGGAGGAAUAAGAUCAUCAUUGGAAGAAUCUUUUAAGUUUAGCAAGAAGUUCACAAAAAGGGUGAUAGAAAUUCUUUCUUAUUGAAUCAUCAAGAGAGACAAUUUCUUGACUAAUAUCACCAUAACCUUCUGUCGGAGUUAAACCAUCUGGAAUAGUCUCAAAGGUAAAAUCAGUGAAACCAUCAAAGGCUUUUGGACCUCUUGAUUUGAGCAAAUGUUUGUGAUUUCGGUGUUGACAAAGGUUAUGUGAAAGCCUCUAAGGUGAAGAAGUUUUGCUAGUUUCAAUAAUGGAUUGAUAUGGCCUUGAAGUGGAUAUGGAGUUAUGCUUACUGAUAUGAGUGAGAAGCAUAAGAAAAUCAUAAAUAUAUUUGACUUUAAUAGGUCCCCCAAAUCAUUGGAAUAUAAAAGUUAGGUGCACAAUUUUUCAUCAAGAAUUUGUUUGCAGCACGCAUUGGAAGUUUGUUUAUUUUUAUUCUCAUUAAGAAUUUGUUGGCACUGCACAUGCAUAUACAAUUGUUUCUUGGUUGAAAAAUAAUAUAUUUUUCAUGGUUUAUACUAUUUCAAUUCUUUUCUUGUUGAUAGUUGAAAUGGCAAGAAUCGUUGAAAACUCGCACACAUAAGUGGAGAAGUUUGGAUUCGAAACCCCAGUUACGGAGUUGGCCUAACAAUUUUGUUCUUUAUUGUCUAUUAAGCUAGAACUUGUCGACAUUUAUUUCCUGUUUUUUAUCAGACCAUACAUGUGAAUUUGAAUUGCAUGCAAGCACAAUUUCCACGCGAUCAGAAUUAAUUCAAUCAACAGCUCGGAGUCAUUUCAUCAAAUAUUCGACGUCUCUUAUUGUAGGAUAUGUGAAUCCAUUUUAAAAGCAAACUUAAAAUUGGAGUCGUCCAAUGUUAAUCUAAUAUCUCCGAGCUGCGCUGGCUGAACAAGUGCCUAAAAUUGUGAUUGUAGACAAAGGUUGCUAGUAAAAAUACUUCCUUAUCUUAGUUUUAAACGAUUCAUUAUAUUGCAUCUAAAUAGAAAAUAGAGAAAAACAUAAAAUUUAUAGUUCUGUUAUUGAUGAAAUGAUUUCCUAAAAGAAAAAAGCUUUGAAACUAUAACCUCUACGUACCGAGAAAUAGAAUGCUCAUAUACAUAUUCCCACCAAUAUUUUUCACUUCAAAUGAAUGUAACUAAAUGUAUCGGGGUCGUUUAGGUGUCAAAUAUCAACAUGUGAAGUGUCAAUGCUACACACUUUAAAACCUUCAACCUAAGUAAGCUUACCAUGUCUAUUUUAUUUUAAAACUGAUUUCUAUUUUAGAGUAAAAUAUUUACUUAUGACUUGUAUUUAAUUAGUUAAUCCUGAUAAAACUAUAAAUCUUGUAUAGAACGAUAGAACGAUAUUAAUUUAAACCUGUACACACAGAAAAAUGAUUGGUUUGCCUUAAUUUAUCCUAUACAUGAUAAUGGAAUUCAACAUAGUGUGCAAAAGCCUUACCUACCCCAUAUAAUUAUCCAAUUCAAUACAUUUAAUAUUAGCAAGAAGCACUAUUUUAGUUUAAGAAUUCUUGCACAAGAUAUGUUCGAUACAGUCAUCAUGAACUCAUUACUUAUUCACUACAAUAGCCUCAUCCCUUAAAUUCAAUAGCAGAAGAUCAAUGGAUCAAUAUAAUACUACAUUGCAUUAAAAACGUCACUUAGGUGUGAUUUUAUUUAAGCAAAACCUCCUUAAUCACUUUUUCCAAGUUCAUGUAUGAACAACCACCAGGUCUCGUGUCCUCCUCCGCCUUCUUCUUCAUCUCCAUUAUAUUUUUCCUCAUCUUCUUUCCUUUAUCUCCCACCAUCAAUUCAUUGACCAAAUUCUCCACCUCAUUUCUCUUCACAUUAGUAUCGAUUUCGAUUCCAAUCUCCCAUGUAUUGCAGAUAUAUCUACAGUUUGCUGGCUGAUCAGCAAAAAAUGGCUAACACAACAUUGGAACUCCAGUAGAUAUGCUUUCGGUCGUUGAGUUCCAUCCACAGUGAGUCAAGAAACCACCAAUUGAAGGAUGGUUCAAUACUUUCUCUUGCGAGCACCAACCAGCAAUUAGGCCUCUAUCUGAAAUUUCAUUCACAAACUCCGAUGACAAAACAACUGAGCCACCAAUGACAAGAUCGGGCCUAAUGAUCCACAAAAAGAGUUGCUUGCUAUUUGCUAAACCCCAUGCAAACUCUAACAGUUUUUCUGAAGUCAUAACUGUCCUGCUCCCAAAAUUCACAUAAACAACGGACCUCGGUUCCUUUGAUUCAAGCCAAUCAAGACACUUGUUAUCUUCUUUCCAAAGAUUGGUACUUAAACUUGCCAAGUGAUUCUGUGGACUUUGACUUAAAAGUGAAGAUAAAGGGCCAAUAGCAUAAACAUUAGGGAACGUCGAAGAGAUAACUUUCAUUACAUCCUUCUCAAGUUCAUUAGAAGUAUUAAAAAUAAAAGCAGAGGCUCUGUGAGCCCUUCCUGCUGCUUCAAUGAUAAAUUCUACCAUCGAAUCAUUUGGAUCAGUAAUCUGUAUAAAGGCAGGCAAAUCCCUCAGUCGAAAGUUCUUCAGUCCUGGCAUACAGUCCACUUUAGUGUCCAAAUAUCCGUUUGUCAGAUAACUCUCAUCUGCAUAUCAAAUUUACAAAAGUUGUUAGUGUGAAAUUGAAUCUCCAUACUCCAAAUAUAUGUCAUAUGAACACUUUAACUACUCUACACAUAUGAAGAAAGAAAGAAGAUUAAUUGUUACCUUUUAGUGGUAUGAGACCUUUAUCUAGAAAUGUACGUAAAUGAAUACCAGUCAGAAAUGUACAUGCAUUGGAUGGACUAAAGACAACAUUAGGGAUUGAAAGUUCUUCAGCAGCUUGUAUAGUAAAGGACAUGCUAAUAUCAGAAACUAUGCAACUAACUGGACGGACAAGACCAGAUGUUGCAGAGUCAUUAAGUCUAGCAAGAAGUUCGCGGAAAGGUUGUAGAAAAUUCUUCCUGAUUGAUUUACAAAGAGCGUAAAUGUCUUGACUAACAUCGCCAUCGCCAUCCGUUGGAGAUAAACCAUCUGGAAUACUCUCAAAGUUAAAAUUGGUGAAACCAUCAAAGGCAUUUUGACCUCUUGACUUGAGCAACCGUUUGUGAUUGUAUUCAGUGUUUACAUAGGUUAUGUGAAAACCUCUAAGGUGAAGAAAUUUUGCUAGUUGCAACAAUGGAUUGAUAUGGCCUUGAACUGGAUAUGGGAUUAACACAGCAUGUGGUUUUUUAUCACUCAUUAUUGAGUUUUUGUGUUUGAAUGUUGAGCUAAGGAAACCAAUGUUUUAAUAAAGAUAAAUCCAAUGUUUCUUGGAUUUGUGGAAAAGAAGAUAGAGACAAAAGACAAGGAAAGCAAAAUCAAAUUUAAAGGGUGAGAUCUUUUUCUUAUAAUAUGAAAUAAUUCUAAGUGACACAAUAAUUGAUGCAUACUAGUCAAGUCACCACUUUUUGUUACGUGAGAGAAGGAAAACAAUUUUUCAUUAAAAAGUUUAUAGCACAAACUUAAGAAUGCCUUUAGUAUGCGGUGGUCAGAAUUGAUUUAAAUAAAUUUGUUUGUUAAAAUUAGUUUUUGUUAAAAAGGGCGUUGGAUAUAAAAUUAUUUAUACUUAUAUAUAUUUACGUAAAUUUGAGUUGAGCAAAAAAUUAAAGACUUAAAAUCAAAGACUAAAAAUUGAAGACUUAUCUAACUUAAAUACUAUUAGUUAGACAUCGUUUGGGAUUUAUUUUGGAAUUGAUAGAAUAAUAAAGUUGAGAAACACUGUAUAUUGUGAUCCUAAGAUCACUAAUAUAACCAACCUUGCAUCUAAUCAUAACUAACUUUUUUUUAUAAGCAAUAAUCAUAACUAACUUAUAACUAUCUUAAACAAUACUAAACUAAUUUCAACAAAUAUGAAACUAUAUCUAACACAUACUUGCAUGGAAUUGCAACCAUUCAGUAGAAAGAUAUUAUCAAACAAAAUCUUCAUAUGCUUGUGGACCAACUCUAUACGUUUCAGUUUCAAAAUUGAACUAGAAGACACUUCUAUUCAAGUAUAAGAUAUAUAGUUCUGACAUCAAAGAUUUUUGUUGUACAAAGAAAAUAAUUAUGACCACUUAUUUAUUUUAUAAUAGUCUAUUGGCUAUUAUUUUCCAUGCUUGAAUCAGUCAGACAUUGGACAUCACAAAAAUAUUUGUCCCUUUCAACAAGAGCUCAAGAUUAUCUACAAAGUCUCAAUUCCAUAAAAGCCAAAUUCAUUUUUAUAUGUUGUCCCUUUACACAUGAAUUAUAAUCCUUUAUCACGCUACAACGUAUCAGCUCAAUGGUAAGAGUUUGAGCUUGUAAUCUCAAAGGACAAAGUUUAAAUUCCCUUAAUAACAAUGGUAAAAUGCUCAUUGUUGUAACUUUAAUUAAUAAACACUUAUUUUGACUAAUAGGAAUGUUAAAAUAUGUCUUGAAAUCUCAUGUUGAAAGUUUUUUUACUUUACUAUUGCCCCCAUGCGCUAGGCGCAGUUGUUUGUUGUUUUUAGCAUGUUUCUAUUUUGUAGCUUGCAUGAGGCGAAGGGUAUAGCUGAUUUAGCAGGUGUGCGUCAUGAUCUAUAUUAGUUAGGGGACAUUGAUGAUUCCACACAAUUGGCAUUUGCAAACAUCAAUGAAUGUUUUUGAAUGUUUAAAUAAGAAAGAACCUUUGAAUUCAAAUGCUUUCAAAUCAAUCUAUGCAACCAGAAGCUGACAAUGUAGUGCAGAGAAAUUUUAUAAAAGAUCAAAAGAAGAAUAUAAAUAUAAUAUUAAUAUGAUUUUCAACUAUUGUCUUACUUUGAUUCAGGUGAAUUCAAUCAAUCAAAAUUUGAAGGGGAAAAAUAAAGGUAUGUGAUCUUUAUUUAUGAAGAAUGAACUUGAUGAACAAGAAUGCAUCAUUACAAUGUUUCUGACUAAAUUGUUGAUGUUCAUACUUAAGAACAUAGGAAGACCUAAAAUAUGAAUUAUUUGUUCCUAACAAAACUAUAUAUAUUGUAUAAAAGUGACUUAAGCUUGAUUUUGUUUAAGCAACACCUCCUUAAUCACUUUCUCCAAGUUUGUGUAUGAACAACCUCCAGGUCUCGUGUCCACCUCCACCUUCUUCUUCAGCUCAAUGGCUUUUUGCCUCAUCUUCUUUCCUUUAUCUCCGGACAUCAAUUCAUUGACCAGUUUCUCCACCUCCUCCCUCUUUACAUUAGUAUCGAUUUCCUUUCCAAUCUCCCAUUCAUUGCAAAUAUAUCUGCAGUUUGCUGGCUGAUCCGAAAAAAAUGGCCAACAUAACAUUGGAACUCCAGCACAUAUGCUUUCAGUGGUUGAGUUCCAUCCGCAAUGAGUCAAGAAUCCACCGACUGAAAGGUGGUUCAAUACUUUCUCUUGUGGACACCAACUUGCUAUUAGUCCUCUAUCUGAAAUUUCUUUCAAAAAAUCAGAUGAGAAAACCACCGAGCCACCAAUGACAAGAUCAGGCCUAAUGAUCCACAAAAAGGGUUUUUUGCUGUUGGCCAAACCCCAAGCAAACUCUACGAGCUUCUCUCGAGACAUAACAGUGAUGCUGCCAAAAUUUACAUAAACAACAGAUCUUGGUUCUUUUGAUUCAAUCCAUUCAAGACAUUUAGUAUCUUCUUUCCAAAGAUUAGAGUCUAAAGAUGUCAAGUCAUUUUGUGGACUUUGAUUUACAAAAGAAGCUAAUGGACCAAUUGUGUAUAGAGAAGGGAACAUAGAAUAGAAAGCAUUCAUAACAUCACUCUCAAGUUCAUUAGAAGUAUUGAAUACCAUACCAGAAGCUCUAUGACAUUUAUCUGCCACUUCAGUAUUAAAUCUUAUCGUCAAGUCAUUAGGAUUUUUUGUCUUUAUUAACCUAGGAAGAUCCUUCAAUCUGAAGUUUUUCAAACCUGGGAUCCAGUCAAUUUUUGUGUCCAAAUAUUCAUUUGUUAGAUCACUCUCAUCUGCAUGUCAUAAUUGCAAAAAUCAAUAGCAAGUCAUAUGUAUAAAUAUAUAUAUCAAGGUUUAAAAUCACAUUUGCAAUAAUAAUUUUGGUUGUGUUAUCCUACUGAUAUUGCAUAUAAUCCCAAUCAAAUGUGGUUGAUGCAACCUCAAUUGCGAUUAUAGAGAUAUCGCAACCUUGAUGUUCGGCCCAUAUUGUGACCGCAAACCUUUUUUAAAAACCAUAACAUACACACACAGAUCUCUUAAGAAGAAAAAGGGAACAAAAAUGAUUACCUUUGAAUGGUACUUGACUAUUCAGAUACAUUUUAGGACUGAGCAAACAAGACAAGAAAUAACAUGCACUACAUGGGGAAAAAAGAACAAUUGGGAGGGCAUGUUCUUCAGCAGCAUCUACUGUAAAUGGCAUGUAGCAAUCAGAAACUAAGCAAGUGACUGGGGGGAUAAGACCAGCAGUGGCAGAGUCUUGAAGUUUAGCAAGAAGUUCAUCAAAGAAGUGGCGAAAGUUCGUUAUGAUUGAUUCACCAAGAGAGUGUAGGUCUUGACUUACAUCACCAUUACCAUCCUUUGGAGUUAAACCAUCUGGUAUAGUCUCAAAGUUAAAGUCAGUGAAACCAUCAAAGGCAUUUUCACCUCUUGAUUUGAGCAAACGUUUGUGAUUGUAUUCAGUGUUAACAAAGGUUAUGUGAAAGCCUCUAAGGUGAAGCAGUUUUGCUAUUUUCAACAAUGCAUUGAUAUGGCCUUGAACUGGAAAUGGAGUUAACACUGCAUGUGGCUUUUUCUCUUCAAAGUUACUCAUGAUUGAUAUUUUUCUUAUGUAAGAAAACUAAGAAAAAACUGAGGUGAAAAAUCUAUGAGGCCUCUAUAUAUAACAAUGAG